AUUUUUUUUUCUAUUUUCUCAUAAAAUAAUAGGUUACUUGAGGAUCUUAGCCCUUGUAUGUACAGGAUUUGUUUAUCAUAGGAGCCAGCAACAGGCCUGAUCUUAUCGAUACAGCACUUCUAAGGCCAGGUCGAUUCGAUAAGCUCCUUUAUGUUGGAGUAAAUACCGAAGCAAGUUACAGGGAAAGGUUAGACUUGCAUAUAAUACAUAAUUACUGAUUUGAUAGGUUUACUAGUACGUUGAAAUUUCACAUACUUUGCAGGGUCCUGAAAGCAUUGACCAGAAAGUUUAAAUUACAUGAGGAUGUGUCAUUGCUAUCAAUAGCAAAAAAAUGCCCCCAAAACUUUACUGGUGCGGACAUGUAUGCCUUGUGUGCAGAUGCCUGGUUCAAUGCUGCAAAGCGCAAGGUGAGUCUGAGGAUCACCAUAUUAUUAUAGUUCAAACCUACCGUAGUUAUUGCUAUUAGAGGAAGGGUAAUGGUAGAGUGAACUUGAUACACAAGUCUAUAACCAUAUGUUAUGCUCUCUUCAAUAAAUGAGCAACAAGUAGAUAGAAGCCUAAAGUAAAUGCCUAAAAGCAGAAGACUAAGAUUAAUAGUAAAUGCCCGUUGAAGAACGCUUGGUUUUAUCUGAUGCAUUUGGUGCUAAAACUACGUAUCAAGUGUGAGUGUGUGUGUGUGUGUGUGUGUGUGUGAGAGAGAGAGAGAGAGAGAGAGAGAGAGAGAGAGAGACCCCAAUUUUGCAGCACCCCAAUUUUGCAGCAGCUGGAGGAUUAAGAAUAAUAUUUUGUCAUGUGUAUUGGCCCCUUAAUAUUAGAGGGAUCAGGAUGUAUCUUGUUAUACUUUGUUGAAUUUCAUAUAGAUUCUAUCGCAUUUUAGCACUUCACCUUUUUAAGUUGGAUUUUCUUUUGAAGCGGUAGCUAAGACUAAUUUCUCACUGUCUGCUAGGCUUUGGCUACUCAAGCUGAUCCAAGUGUCACAGAUGAUCAAGCUGACUCUGUCGUCGUAGAAUAUGAUGACUUUUUAAAGGUAAGAUAGGCUUCAAUAAAAGUGGUUUUGUUGAAGAUCUUAUGUUACAGGUUUUAAUAUACGAGACAUGCUGCCAGGGCCCUUUGCACACUCCUAUAUAGUUUCAAUUUAAAGUCUCAAGUGAUGUUAUCUGAUAUUUAAUUAGCAAAAAUAAAGGUUAACUUACAAGUGAUAAUAAAUUGGCAAAAGAAAAUGUUAGCUGAUAUUUCUAUUUGGCAAAAAUAAUUAGCUGAUAUUUUUAUAUAGCAAAAAGAAUAGCUGAUAUUUAACUUGCCCCAAAAAAAAGAGUUGGCUACUAUUUGGCAUAAAAGAAUUAUAUAGUUAGCUACAGAUAAUUCUGGUGUCGAUAUAUUAUUUUGCAACCAACUGUGCAAUUUGACACCGCACCUCGGGUUCUACUACAACAACCAACAAUCUUAUUUGCACUAGAGCUAUUGAAUUUCGAUUUCAUAAACACUGAUCAACAAAAGUAAUAGUGUUUUAUAUUUCUGCAUAGCAAAUACUUAUUAAGUGAGCAUUCUGAGCUUUCCUUUCUAUUUUUGACGAGAUCUUCCCAAAUUGAUUUUACAAGUCUGUUUUUGUGAAGAAGAGAUGUUAAAUUUAUUUUUUUUGUUUCUUAUCUUUUUUGCAGGUUGUAGGAGAGCUCUCUCCGUCACUAUCCAUAGCAGAACUGAAGAAGUAUGAAAUGUUGAGAGAUCAAUUCGAAGGAACAUCUACGAGAUGAAUAUUGUUCCCAGGCAGGCAGCAAGUGCCUCCACACUAGGUAGUAUUAUACUAAUAGUAUCACUUUGUCAUAGAACAAUAAACAACACUUUAUGCAAUCAUGCUCAUCAUAGUGCACUAUAAAUGAAAAAACAUGACUAGUGAAGAAACAUAAUUUAUUAAUACAAAAGCAUCAUGUAUUGUUUGGUGAAAUGGAGUGCAUUGUACUUGUUUAUGAACUUAACAUUGAAGAUGACGAAAAAGAAACUACAAAACAAUGCACAAUCUAAGCGGCCAUUGACACAUAUGCCCCUUAUUUGCGGCUGGUCAAAAAUGGGGAAAAGUUUGGUCAACAGAGAGCCGACUACUUGAGUCCAGGCUUCGUUAUGUAAUUGUUCCCUUUUUCUGAAAAGUUCACAAUUGAUUUGUAUAUACUUCUUUUGGUUCACAAUCAAGUUCCUAUCUGCAUUUGGCAUUAUUUUCUGAACCUUAGACUACAUUUUAUUAGUCUUGUUUUCUUUAUUUGACGGUUUGGCUUUUUAUUAUUGCAUGAUAAAAAUUAUUAUUAUGAAUUAUCAAGUCUUUGAACCUUUUUGGAUCCGCAAUUACAUAUCAUUUAUCAGUAUUUGUGUUAAAAUAGAAUAGUAUUAUUGUUUUAUUUAAAUAUAAAUCAAUGGAUAGAUAGAGAUUGGCAUUACAUUAAAAAGUGAAAAUAAAUAGUGGGCGGAUUUGUAACUUCUUACAUUGACUAGUCAAAAGAGUAUUUGAACACUUUAUAAGCACGUACAAAUAAUUAAUGUAUAUCAAUUUGCUAACACUUUUCGACCGAUAUGUGAUGUGUUGUUGGGUUCGAUAUCCAUUUGAGUUUGAGAUGUUAUAAAUGGACUGAGCUUAUAUUUAAGAGAUUAUGGUACUUGAAAAAUAAGUUAAAUUUAGAACCAACUAUCGAAAACAUGUUGUUAGUUUACUAUCAAAAAUCAUUUUUCGGUUUUUCUAUAUUGUGUCUAUGGGCAACCAAAUUUGAUGUAUUUAACUCAUUUUGAUUAACUACUACUUAUUAAUAAUGGUGAUAACAAGCUAUAUACAUCAAAUUUAGCGCUUAGUCAACCCGUCAUUUUUGAUAGUAUUAAAUAUUAAAACAAUAAUUAUAUCUAUGACAGUUUUUCAGCAAUUAUAUAUGUGACUUGUAUAAAAGGUCUCGUUAUAGGUUUAGGUCUGCGCACGAAUAAUAUCAUAUGACUAGCAAUUCAUUUAUUUUUAAAUCGACUCAUUUACAAUAUUAUUUGAUUGACUAAUCCUUUAUAUCAGAAUGUUUGAAGGGCUGCGCUCUAGAGAGAACCAGCCUUAAAAUAAAAUCAUAGAACCAUUAAGGUUCCGUUACAGAACCCUAAAUUUUAAAUAGAUUUUUGGGAUCUAAGUCUAAAUACAUGUUUUUUCGUCGUUGUGUGUGUUCAAAAAUAAUUUUAAAAUAUAAUACAUAGAUAUUGACAUUUUUUGCAUGUUGAGUUCUAGUGCUGAACCCUAACUAAUACUAGAAAUGAGGUAAGGGUUUUAUGGGUUCUCUCUUUGUUGGUUCUCUCUUAAUCAUGACCCAUGGUUUGAAAUCUCAAAAUUUUUGAUAUUUUGUCCAAGAGGAUGAAUCAAAAGAAUUUUGAAUUAAACUUCUAGAAUUUUAUUCAUCCCUUGUCGUAAUAAUAUCUCGGAAUUUGCUGCGAUAACUUAGUAUAUCUACGACAUCAAAUAUAUUAAUGCUGACAUUAAUGGAUUUUUUUAUAUCUCAUAAAAUGAUGGAUUUUGUUCUCAGUGUAAUUUAAUUUUUUUUUUUUGAAAUCCCACCAAAAUUCUUGAAAUUUUGAAACAUUGUGCUUAAAUCCUAAAAAAUCUACAUAAACUCUGCGACAUUUUAUCAAGAAUCCGCACAAAAUCAAAAUCACAUACAAUCAGUUAAAAUACAUAAAUUAAAAACAAUCUAUUAAAAUCUCAAUCGAAUACACCCCUUGGAAGUAGCUUCCCUAAAUCACGUGUAUUGGAUUGAGAUUUUAAUGGAUUGUUUUCAAUUUAUGGAUUUUAAUGGAUUGGAUAUGAUUUUGAUUUUGUGCGGAUUCUUGAUAAAUGUCGCAGAGUUGAUGUAGAUAUUUUAAGAUUUAAGCACAAUGUUUCAAAAUUUUAUGGAUUUUGGUGGGAUUUCAAAAACUUAAAAUACAUUGAGAGAUCCCACAGAAUCCAUCAUUUUAUGAAAUCCAAAAAUAACCAUCAACAUAUGAAUACUUAUUAGAUAUUAAUGGAUUUUAAACAAUCUAAAUCGAAUAUCUUCAGAUUUUUAAGCAUAAUAUAAAAUCCUAAUUAAAUACUACUAGAUUUUGUAGCAUAAUUUAAAAUCUCAAUCGAAUACAUCAAGAUUUUAAUGAAUUUUAAACAGUCCCAAUCGCAUAUCCUCAGAUUUCAUGAAUGAAAAAAAUAUCUGUUAAAAUCCCAAUCGAAUACACCCACUCAGUAGGAUUCAUUAUUUUUUUUAUUAUUAAUAAGUAAUGAGAUAGGUAAUUUAUUGGACUUGCUAUAAUAAAACAAAAACCCUAUUCUCCUCUCUAGCCGCUCCUAGUUUUCUUUUGCUUAACAGCAACACGAGCUUCCACCGGAUCUCUAAAGCCUCGAAACCUUCUAUUUUCUUUGUGUUUUCUUCGUUCUUCCGAUAAACCGUAUUUUCAAGUUUUGAUUUCCUUAAAAAUCUUCCUUGUUAGGUAAGAUUGGUUUGGUUUUUCUUAAGUUUUGGCCUUAGUUUGUUUUUUCGGAUCUAAGGAUUCAAAAUCUUUUUCCGAUUUGGCCUAUUUUUCUUAGAUUUCAAAAUCACGGAGCUACAGACUUCUAGUUUCUCCGGAGGUUUUGUUCUCGAAACUGGUCCGAGUUAUUUUGUUUUUGUGGGUUUGUUCCCCAAUCUAAGGAUUGUCUUGAUUUAGCUAGUAUUUCAUUUAUACAUUUGCAAAUAUAAAGUUGCUAGUUUGUCACAUUUAAUUUGUGUUUGGUUUUGGUUGUUUCGUUGUCUCGAUAUGAGUUUUGUUAUGGGAUUGCGUUCUUACUCGAAAGCUCAAACUGGUUAUGAAGGAAGUGAAAGUGACAGUGACGAAGCAUUUGUAAAUAUCAUCUUUAACAAAUCAAUUAAUUUUAUCUACAAGAAGAAUGAAUUUAUCGAUGAAUAUUUAUGUGUUUGGUUUGUUCGACGCGACUGUUUAUGCAGAUGUCCUAUGACUUUUUAUUAUUGAAACGACUCAUCUAUCAAAAAAUACAUAAAAUACAUGUUCAUAUGUGUCUCUGAUUAUUUAUUUGUUUUUACUAAAAAAUGGAGAAAAUAAUAAUUCAAGAAAAACAAAAUAUAUGUGACCCUCCAACUUAUCCGCAAAUGUUGCACUACAAAAAAUGUUCACUACAUGCCAGCGCGUAGCAUCUACCCGCUGUCACCUCGUUUAGCACCUCCAGCAUUUUUAUUUCUCAGACACAUCGCCUCAAUUUACCGGAAACCUCACCGGCUCAACCCAUCCAAAUAAAAUUUAUAAAUUCACUUCCCUUUUAAAGUUUAAACCCACAACACAAAACAACACAGUAAUUAAAUAAAAAUAACACUAACAUAAUUUCUUAACAAUACGCAAAAUAAACACAAAAUAAUAAAAAAAUAAACGCGGCUGCUAUACACCAAACCCAGAGUCUCCUCUCUCUUGUCAAUCAAAAUUUACAGCUCUCCGAGAUCGAAUAAAACCACAUAUACAUACAAACACCUUGUAUCUAUCGAUUCUUCAUCGGAGAUCGUGCCGCGCCGAGCUCGAUUCUCUCAAUUUCCACCUAUUCAUACACGCACAUCGAUAUAUUUUAUAAUUUAAUUUCUAAUUUCGCCUGUUUUUGUCAAUCUGAUUGCUUCGAUCUUAAUUUCACGCGUUUUCAAGUUGUUUUUAUUGUUAGAGUUGAGAUUGAUUGUGUUUGUUGCUUUUGUGUUGGUGAGGGAUGUGUUUGGGGAUUUAAGGGCGUGUUUGGCUGUGUUUUAAUUGGAUUAUUGUAUGAUUUCUGUUGUUGAUGGGAGGAAGGGGGUAGGGUUAGGGUUUGAGAUGGAACAGACUGAAUUGGAAGAAGGAGAGGCGUGUUUUUAUUCGAGUAAUCGCGUAGAUUCAUCGCUUGACCCUGAUGUGGCGUUGUCGUAUCUAGUAAGUGUUUUCGGUUAGUUAAUUGAGUUUGAUUUAGUGUUGUGAUUGUUGUUGUGAUGGUUUGUUUGGAUUUGAGGUUGUUUGAGUUGUUUUUGUUUUUCGAGAUUCGAGUUGACUUGUUUGUUGCAGUGUAGAUUAGGGUUGUUUGGUGCAUUGUUUGGUAGCUGGAAAAUGGUUAUAGAUUAGGAAUUAACUUUCUAAUGAUGAAAUUUGUGUUUAGCGGGAAAAUGAGAUGUAAUUCAUAGCAUUAUUUGAUGGAGAUAAAUUAGUUUGAAACAGUUUUGGAAUUGUGUCCUAAUGGAAUUCAGGCUCAGCCACUAUCUAUAACCGCUUGUAUUAUUGUGCGAAAUGAAUCAAAUUGUGCAAAUUCUCUGAUUAGAGUCACAUAGUUUACUUGAUAAUGGAUACUCCCCAUUAUUCUAAAAGUAUGUUGAGGAUCUAUGUGAAUGGGCUUAUAAGAACUGCAAGACAAAAUUAAGUAAUAUACUCUUUCAUUGUGAUUAUGAUCUUUUUUCUUUCCCAUUUGCUUGUUCCUGUGAUUAAUUUUACUAUGUACCAGCUCUAAUGUUUAUAAUUACUGUUCUUUUUGAAGGAUGAGAAAGUUGAACAUGUUUUGGGACAUUUUCAAAAAGAUUUUGAAGGCGGAGUGUCUGCUGAGAACUUGGGUAAGUGAGAUGAGCAUUAUUGUUGAUAUUCUACUUAUAUAACUGAAGAGUAAAGUAGAACCAUCGAUUUUGUAACACUUCACAAUAAUUAGAAGCCAAACUGAUACGACAAUUCCUGAAUCUCACAGGGUCAAAAUUUGGUGGAUAUGGAUCUUUUCUACCCACAUACCAACGGUCUCCUGUUUGGUCUCAUCCAAAAACUCCACCAAAUGUUCAAAACAACAAUGCACCAAAAUCUCCAACCAGUUUGCCUUUGGAGGUAGAUGUUCUUAUUUGAUCUACGGUUGUUAUUGACCACAUUUGUAAAGUAAGGUGGAGAAUCAAAAUAACUCUUGGUUGACAUGAUUUUGCAUGAGAACUUAGAGUUAUGUUGUCAUACAGGGUGCUCAUGUUAACUCUGUUUCGUCAAGUGCGUCUCUAUCUGCUAGGCAUGGAUCAAGUGCUGUAGGUAUGGGAACACUGCCUUUAGCCAGGGGUUCAUCUGUGGAUGAAUAUGUGAAACGAGAAGCAACCAUGCCCCCCACCAAUGUUGUGAAUAAGUCUGAUAAUCAAUCAGAUCAAAAAACUAUUAAGGUCAAAAUCAAGAUGUGUUCUGAUAAUUCGUCGACUAAAAAAAAUGCUGAGAUAUAUAGUGGACUUGGCCUUGAUGUUUCACCUACUUCCUCAUUUGAGGACAGCCCUGCAGAUGGUGAAUUGGCUCGUGAGUCUAAGAAUUCCCCAGAUAAAUCUCCCGCGAGUAUUCUUGAGGUGAGUUAUCUCAUCUUAUAUCUUCUCAUGUCUCCAUCUCUUUGACACAUUGACAUCAAAGGUAAUUUUUUUUUUGUCAAUCUGGUGGUACAGAUUAUGACAUCAUCUCCGCUGCAUGGGAGCCUGAUGUUAUCACCACUCCACAAUGAUCUGAAUUCCAUGUGUGAAAAGGAAUUGCUUUUUCAAGAGGGUAGAUCUGCGCCUAUCAGGCAUAGGAGUAGCCAAGAGGGUUCCCUGAUAUCUGGAAAUGGUCCUCAUUCUGGCAGGUCUGAUAGAAAACUUGUAGCAAUGAAGAAACCUAAAACAUUGGAGAAGAAGGCCUUUAGAAUGGAGUUCAAAAAUAAUAAUGUUAGCAACAUUCAAAAUAGUGUUGAACUUCAGGUAAAGAAGGAAAUGGACGCGGACUCCUCUGUUUGUGAUGAAUUAGUUUCUAAUGCUCUGAGGCUCCCUCUUCUGUCAAAUUCAUAUGGUAGUGUUGCUGAUUCAGCAAAAGGCACUCCGAGGGUUGAUGAUAUCUCUAGGGCGGUAAAAAAAGGUGGGAUGAAGGAGGAAUUCUUUAGUCAUCUAGAAAUAAAUGAACCACAGGAACCAACGGUAAUACAGGAAAAUGGUGUUGUUGGGAAGGCCGUCUCAGGUACAAAGGUUUCAGAGUUCAAGAAAACUAAUUCAUAUGAUGAUGGGUCUAGGUGUCCCGAGAAAGGAGGAAACCUUAAACGUGAAACAAUUGAUGAUUCAUUGAAAGUUGACAUAAAUAUGUCCAAGGUGAGGGAAGGCAUAAAUCCUGAACGCAUGGAUCAUGCAAAACAAAGUGGUCAGAAAUCUCUUUCAUCUGUUGACGAUGACAUGAAAGUUUGUUCUGGGAAGGAGAACUUAUCCUCUAGUAGCAAAAGGAUAUCAAAGGGAAGUCAUAGUCGUGGUGCAGAAAUCACCACAGAAGUGCAAAAUGGGAGCACAAAGGGUGAUGUUGUUUCUGCGCCUAAAAGUAGGAAGACUGCUAAUCUUAAUGCUCACAUGCCUACUAGUGAAGUGGAAGAUAUUAAACAAGAUUUAGGGAAGCCCAAGGAUAGAUACAAAGAUUUCUUUGGAGAUCUAGAGAUGGGAGACAAUGAUAUUGAUGAAGACAUGCCUUCUAUCAGUAAGACGACUAAUUGUCCAGUGUUUGAGAAAGGCAAUGGGAAAUCCAGUAGUGUAUUAAAGGAUCAAUCAAGUAGCAAGAAAAUUGAUCAGCCAUCCACAACAGAGGCAUAUGCGAGAGCUUCUUCAAGUCUGGUUCCUCCCACCGGAAAUAGGUUUAGCUCGGAUGCAGCUGCGCCGCUAGUGCCUUUAGUCAAAGAAGAUUGGGUCGGUUGCGACAAAUGCCAAAAAUGGCGGCUACUUCCUGCUGGUAAAGAUCCUAAGAGUCUCCCUAAGAUAUGGCUGUGCAGCAUGCUUGACUGGUUGUAAGUUCUCUUUCUCUACUACUGUUUUGUUGGCUGUAUAGCGCUGCUACAUGAUGGGUUACUUGCAUAGUUUACAGUUUGAGACCCCAGUGCAAAAACAGGUGUUGAUCGUUAAGCUCACACACAUGUGCACACCGACAAAAACACAUUAUUUGUAUCUAAGUAUACAAUGAUUAUGAAUUCUUGUCUUGCAAAAAAAAAUACACCCAUUAUAAUUCAGUACUUGUUUAUUAAUAUAUUUUAGUGAAAAGUAGCUCUUAUUAUCUGCUGCUAUCUCACUGUCGAUCUCACUCUCUCAUGGGAACAGUUCUUUUGGAAUUUUUGUAGGGAUGGAAUGAAUCGGUGUAGUUUUAGCGAGGAGGAGACGACAAAGGCUGUGCUCGCCCUUCACCAAACCUUUGCUCCUGGUCUUGCUCCUGCUCCUGUUCAUGAGGGCCAAAGUAGCCUGAACAGAUAUUCUGGUAUGGCAUCAUCUGGACUUGUUGAUUCACUGCAGGUUGACCAAAGUCUCCAAGACAUAGGUGGAAAGAAAAAACAUGGUUUAAGAGAUGUUUUAAAUGCAUCUAGCCACAAUGGCUCCUCGCCAUAUUCAAGCUCUAAAAAGAAGAUCCCUCAUGCAUCGUUUAAAAAUCAAAGCUUUAAUGGUGAGAACCGUUCACCUAGUCAGCAUGAAGUUGACUUCCAGCUUUCUGGUCAGUCUAGUGGUUUAGUUGGGCAGAAACAGAGACAUAAGAGGAAAGAUAAGAGCAAACCACAUGCAACUCCUGGCGAAGGUAGUAUAUGGAAUGGCACUGCAGCACUUGUUUUAGACUCUUUUAUCUUGCAAUGUUUAUUAAUGUUCCUUCCUACAAUCUCUCAGGUGAUACCAAGAGCUUGAAGAUAAGAAACAAAAGAGAGAACAAUCAAGAAUUUUCCAAAGCCUCUAAGAAACUUAAGGCAAGCAGUGACCAUAUUGAGGAAGAGUGGAAGUCUGACAAUGGGGGUGCUGCCUUGAAAGUGGGCCAUAGCUCAAGUAGUGGGUUGUCAAUAAAGAAGACAGGGAAGCAUCGACAAAAAUAUGAUGAUCAUCCUAAGGAGUCAAAGCGAGACUUGAAGGUUUCUGUCAGAAAUUCUGAAGACCGGACUCAGUUUCCAUCAGAUGAGAGGUUGCUUCAUACGGAAUAUAUUGAUGGAGAUGUGAAGAAAAGGAAGAAGAUAAAUGAGUAUCAUGACAUUCAGCCGUAUACCACAUCUCACAUAACUGAAGGACAUCGCCCUGAAAAUCACAGGGAUUUUAUGGAAGAAACAAGUGAAAGCAACCACCGCGAGGAAAAGAAAGCAAGAGUGUCCAAAUCUGGGGGAAAAGAAAGGUCCAUGAGCAAAGGGAGUGGAGUUGACAAAAAAAGCAGGAGUUCAAAAAACCAGCAAACAGAAGUAGCUCUUGAAAAUGGUUUGUUUGACCGUAGCAUGGAUGAUCUAGUCAAGAAGGAUGUCAGAUCUACACAGCCACCUGUUGCUGCUACUUCAAGCUCUUCAAAGGUUUCUGGCUCUCGUAGAAGCAAAGCCAAUAUACAGCAGGAGGUUAAAGGUUCGCCAGUGGAAUCAGUUUCUUCAUCUCCCCUAAGAGUGUGCAAUCAAGAUAACUUUACAUCAAAUAGAGGAGACCUUAAAGGUAAAGGUGAUUCUAAAGAAGAUAUUUUAGCUACAAGUAGUCCAAGAAAAUGCUUGGAUGGUGAAGAUGGCGUGGGGAGUGAUCAAUCGAGGAUGUUACAGAAGAAUGUAACCAUCACUGUUAAAAAUCGUGGUUCCAUGGUAUCCUCCAUGCCUGAUUUGCAGGAAAGGGGUCAGUGUCAAAUAUCUGGGAGAAAUGCUGCAGCAGAGGCUGUAUCUUCUUCACAGUUUGCAACUCACCAUGUUACUGACCCCUUACAAUCUAAUCAAUAUCCUCUGGUUUCAGAGAAAUGCUCAAAUGAUGAAAGUGGGAAAAUGAAUCAGUAUCACAAUAAUGGGUCUCGUCGUAAAUCUGGAAAGGGUUCGUCUUCAAGAUCUAAAGACAACGGUCGUGGCUCCAGAUCUGAGUCUGAGAAGGGAAGUCUCAAGGCAGCAUUCGAUUCCAAUGGAUACAUAGAUCAUUCCUCUCACGAUGAAAAUUCGAAAGCAAGAAGUAAGUUGCAGGAUAAACUUGGUAUAAAUUCUGAAAAAACCGAAAAGGAUAUUUUUCCUAAGAAUGAUCCUGCUGCAAAUUCAUCGACCGAAAGCGGUAAACGAGAGACUCAGUCAAAGUGGGUUCCGCUUGACAGUUCAGAUAAAAGACAAGUUGUUUCCAACCAUGACCCCAAACUGAACCUUCCAAUGGAUGGGAACUCUGAAAAAUCUUCGAAGAGGUUUUCUUCUGACAAAACAGGCCGGGUUGAUGCAUCAGGAAAAGGCAAGUCACAUUCAUUACCUCCAUCAGGAAGAGGUCAGAAUGAGACGUCACGCUGGCCUCAACCAAUUAAUGGAAUUCAGAAAGACAAUGGCAUAAAUUUAUCAGCAGCCAGUACCAGUGAAGGUGAUGAUGCAUUAAAUGCUGCAAAACAGAUCAAGAAGUUAGAGAGUCAGAGUGGGAAUGGCAAACAGCCUAUUAAUACCAAAAACCCAAUAAAUGGUCACAAGGGUCGGGAAAUUGAUGCCCCAAGUCCUAUUCGAAGGGAUACAUCCAGUCAGGCUGCGAACAGCGCUGUAAAAGAAGCAACAGAUCUUAAACACCUGGCUGACCGUCUCAAGGUUUCUAAACUGUUUUCUUUUUGAGAUGUGGUUUCUGCUGUUAAUAUGUGUGUGUAUAUAUGUAUAGAUCUUUAUUGGCUUUCUAACCUGAUUUCUUGUGCAAUAUAAAAUGUUCUCCACAGAACUCUGGAUCAACCCUCGAAAGUACUGGUCUUUAUUUCCAAGCAGCUCUCAAGUUUCUGAACGGAGCCUCUUUACUAGAAUCUGGCAACAGUGAAAAUGCAAAGCAUGGGGAAAUGAUUCAGUCAAUGCAAGUGUAUAGUAGUACGGCUAAACUUUGCGCGUAAGUAAAAUCAAAUUUCUAAGCUGCACUUAUCAUUGUGAAUACAUAUGUGUCUGUGUAUUUAUACGCGUGCGCGCACACACACACAUAUAUAAUAUAUGCUAAGUAUGGACCUUUAUGAUGUUUGGAGUAAGUGUACAAGUACAUGGUGUGUUAUCUUUUUUAAUUUAGAAACAGGAGUCAGAGUUGAAGUAAAAAAGAACUGGUGUUAUUCUAUCAAAAUCAUUAGUAUGUACUUGAUUAAUUUAAUUUUCUUCGACUGCUUAAGAGGGGGUGGCGGGGCAUGUUUAAGAUCACUCUAUAAAUUCAUUAUACUCCUACGGAAAGUUUUCUUUUCUUUUAAUUUUUUAAGUUAUAAGUAACAGUAAAGAAUUAAGGAGUGUGUGUCCAUUGCUAAAUUUUGGGAAGGGUUCGUCUUUGUGAAGAUGUGAACUUUAUUUCUUUUUCUCCACUAGAAUCUUGUUCAGACAUCGUGAUUUACACUCAAGUGUACAGGUAUUUUAAAGGAUUAACACUAGAUGCAGCACGGCCAUUUAAAAGGAAAAAUAUUCUUGGAUUUUCCGGUUCUAUGGCCUUUGAAAGCCUAUUAUCUAUAGUAUUGUAUAAAUUCAUUUCUGAUGACUAUAUUUUUAGAUUAGGGAUAAAAACUUAUAUUUUUGAGUUUGACUAUGUGUAGGAAAGUUUGUGCAGCUAGAUUUUAAAUAGUGAUUAAAGUCACGUAUCCAUGCAUUUCAUUAGUGAAAUACUGAUUUCUGUUUCCUAAUAUAUACUUUGCAUGAGAAUUGUUCCUGCGAUGCAGUUCCCAAGUCAUUGUGUCAGUCUGUCAGCCCUUGCUCAGUAGCGGCAUUACUGUAGAACACAAAGAGCCAUUGUUUUGACAUUAAACUGAUAAUGAGUCUUAAGGCGAAUUUGGAUUUGGCAGCUGAAGUUUUGCUUUUAUUGGUUUACUCCUAUACUAGCUUACAACCCGUGAGCUACACGGUUUUUUAGUGUUUUAUGAAUUUUUUAUUUAUAUCUGAACACUUUGUUUUUAUUCUCUAAUAAUUUUUAUGAUUACACUUAAUUUUACGUGAGAAAUAUUAUCAUACUAUCAUUCACAUUAUCAAUAUCUUUAUAUGGUACAUUUGUUGGUAAAUGAUCUAUAUUAGUUUUAAGUUGUAUUCUUUAAAUAUUUUUUACAGCCGUCUAAAAUAAUUUUUAAAAAAAGUUGCAAGUUCAUUACAAUUUCAUAGAGUUCUGAUAGGAUUCCAUUAUAAGUUAUAAUAUGUAAUUCUUUUUAAAAUAUGAUUUACGGGUUGAAUAUUAAAGAGCCCAUAUUAAUACAUAUACCAUACUAAAGUAUACUAUUUAAAGCCCAAAAUAUAUAAGUAAUCCAGAAUAUAAUUUGAUCUAUUACACUCAGUCACUCACUAAUUCAUUUUUUUUUUAAUUUGAUCUGGCCAAAUUACUAAAUGACUAACCCAAGUGCAGAUAUAUUAUUAAGUAUAGAUAUAUGAUAUUCCAGUACGAGUGAGAAAUUCCAUUACUUGCAAUUUCCAGUUCUGUAAUGCAGAAGUAUUUCUUAUACUUAAAGGUCUUAGAUUGCAGUUACUUUUAUAUUAUAUGGCUGCCUCAAAUAUUAAGCUGUUUCGGCACCUUUAAUCUGUUUUUUGCUUAUUAUUUCUGACCAGCCACUUUACAGCAUUACAUAAGCUGUAUUUCACAUAGUCACUAUGUUGGAAGCUACUUUUUUCUGAAGGCCUGUACAUCUAGACCUGCUCUUAUUUGUCCUGUACCCAGUAAAUUAUUUGUUAAUGUAUAUAUUUUUCCCAGGCAUCUUGAGUCUGGGAAAUGGAGGAAGACAUUUGUGUUUCUAAACCUAUGCUCCAAUAUAUUUUGUAUAUUUCAGAGUUCUCUUGGUUUAUCGACUUGCAUAUACUUUGUUAAAAGAUGACUAGAUGAGCACGAUUGAUGGCAUAAGCAAGAUCAUGUUUCAUCUAUGUAGCAAACUUAGCCAACAAGUUUUAAAUUUCUAUAAUUGAGGCUAUGCCUCAUUGUAUCAGAUGCAGCCAGGGUGAUAAUAAUGUAACAUGCAUGUACCCUGCCCCUCAUUUCUGCUCUCUACUGAUUGAUUCCCUAUUACUUUCAUGCUUUCUCAUACUCUGUAAGAUAUACUAGAAAUCUGUGAACCUGCAGGGUCAUGUGCAGCUUAUUUUAUCAACCUUUUGCUAUCUGUUCUAGGUUUUGUGCCCAUGAGUUUGAGAAAAUCAAAGACAUGGCCUCUGCAGCUCUUGCUUAUAAAUGUGUAGAAGUGGCAUACCUUAGAGUAAUUAACUCUUCACAUUCCAGUGUAAGCAAAGACCGGCAUGAGUUGCAAUCCGCCCUGCAAAUAGUUCCUCCAGGUAUAUGUAGAGACAAGAAUAAAUUUUAUACAUUUAGUCUUUAUAAUUUUUUGAUCUCGGUGUAAUUACUAAGCUAGCCAGAACUCGACCAGAUAAAAAUGGGCUCCACAAAAAAGAAUAAGCCUGCACUAGGCUAUUCUUGGUUCAAAUUUUAGUUAUAAUUAGAAGAAUCUUUUUGAGUUCGGCCUGUAAUCCAGGUGCAAACAUCUUUAAUUUAAUAUUUGUCAGAUAGCGGAUUUUCAGUACCAAUUUGUGGCAUUCUCUAUGCUAUUGUUGUAAUAAUAUGAUUUUGGCUUUGGACUACUCAUCAUCCCCAUGGCUAGAUAUUGGUCAUUGUUUUAGAGUCAUCACAUCAUGCUCUUUUUGACGCUUUUGAGCAUUUAUUACCCUAAGAAAAUGAUAAUUCCUUUUUUAUAAACACGUAGACAAAAUAUAGAAAUGUAUUUAUUAACCAUCUCAUCUUGCUCAAUCUUCCCACUUUUAGUCUUUUACGAGCAGUUUGUUGUCUUACCUUCACUCAAGACUUUUGGUGAAUGCGUAAACUGAUCUUACAUAGUUUGUGUCCUCUGCAUCUUAUGAGUUGAACUGAUCUCACACGGUUUUGUAUUAUCAUUAGGAGAAUCUCCGUCUUCGUCUGCUUCAGACGUUGAUAACUUAAACAACCCAGCAACAAUGGACAAAGUUGCCUUAACCAAGGGUGCUAAUUCUCCUCAAGUUACUGGAAAUCAUGUCAUACCAUCCCGAAACCGACCAAAUUUUGUGCGGCUGCUCAACUUCGUAAGUAUAUGGAGACAUUUUUUUUCUCUUAAAUGUAAGCGCAGGAAAUCAAUUAGGAAAGGAGAACAGAUGUAGACUGUUAUAAAUGUGAUGCAGCAUAAAAAUUUAAAACAUUGCUAUAUCUAAAUAAUAGUUUUGCAUUUGGAAUAAGGAGUCUGUAGCAAGUGAUAGAUAGAGAAAUGAGUUUCAGUUAUAUAGAAGAGAUGAGGUCGAAUUCCUGUCUCAUCAUUUGUUGUGGUCAUAGAAGAAGUUUUUUUCUCUUUGCACCUCAGAUGAAAAAUCUCAAGCCUAACCCAGCAAGUAGUUGACAGAGUGAGAGGGUCAAAUGGUUACUUUAAAAGGAUGUUCACUUGGCUUUGAAUGGAUCUGUUUAUACCAAAAAUGAAAAGAACACGUAUAUACUAUAUACCAUCCCUAUAUCUUUCUUUGUUUGGUUUAGCUUUGUCGCCUUAGAAUCUUAGAUGUUUUGGGUGUAAAUCAAUACUCUGGCCACCAUCUAUCACAUAGAUAAUGUCUGGCUGGAUGCAAAUAUCUUUAGCUCUAUGUCUCUGUUAUCCAACUUCAGUAUCUGCCAGUCUGGCCUGGCUUUUAUAUUAUAUCUGUUACUUGCAUUUAAAUGUCCGAACAUCUGCAGGCGCAAGACAUUAAUUUUGCAAUGGAAGCCUCCAGAAAAUCACGAAUUGCUUUUGUAGCUGCUAAUUCAAGGGAGGAGACCAAGUAUCGUGAGGGUUUGCCUUCUGUUAAAAAGGCUCUUGAUUUCAACUUUCAAGAUGUGGAGGGAUUCUUGCGUCUGGUACGGCUUGCAAUGGAGGCUAUAAGUCGUUAAAAGGACAAAUGCAAAGAGUGAUAAAUUUUGAUGAGAGUUCCUUCCCUUGCUUCCUGAACUUUGAUCACAGUGGGUGGAGAAGUCAAGACUUACCCUGAGCUGUAAAAUUUUGUUAAGAAAUGAACGUACUAGCUCCUUCACAUCAUGCUCUGUACAGUUUUAGGAGAAAUGUGAAAGUAAAUAUGAUAUCCGAUGUGUAUUUCGGGCUCAAAAUUUUGUCAAUUAAAUGAUGGCGAAAAUCAAUUGAAACUUUCCCAAGAAAGAAUAACAUUUAGAUACAAACAGUGUGCUAUGGGCGGUUCAGGCCUGUAUUUAGAGUAUAUACAGAGGGGGGUGGUAACCAAAAAUUCUCUACCAUUCUAUAAAUUUGGGACUCUUGAAGUUUGGGUUUUCUUCAUUCUGGCAUUCUUUUCAUAAGGGCAUUGAAGGGAAGACUGCCUUGUUAAUAUUUUUUUUUAGUUUUUAUUUGCAAAAAUGGAGUUACCAGAAGGUUAAUGUACUUGAGAAGAGAUCCAUAUGCGGAACUUCAUAUAGCUGUACAAGGAGAGUAGUGCUAUUAAAUCACAGGUAGAGUUAUUUUCUUACGAGUUACUCUUAGUAUCGUUUUUAUGUUACUUUUUAAAUUAAAUGCGGGUUUCUAGUUUCUAAUUGUCCUCUUGUCCAGUUAUGUGCAGUGUGUUUUAGGCGGUAAUCUGCUUCUGCCUGGGAACCGUGUAAUAUUCAACAUUCGUAGAUACUGUGUAGAAAAAUAAUGGAUUUGCAAUGCUGUAAUGGAGUGCAUAUUGCUGCCUGUUCAUGUGUUCCCCGAGUAAUUCUUUAGAAGGUAAAUUCUAGUUGUAGAAAGUCCUUACUGGGUCCUAUAUUUCUUUUGACAACUAUACAUCUUAUUCCAGAGUCAAGACUGAGUUUAGAGUUCAUCCUGUCCUGAAAUGACCCUAAAUAAUGUAGUUCUACAAAGAUGUGUGUGCAUGUGUUCUUCUAUAUUAUUUGUUGAUUGUGUUUUUAAAUAAUUAAUCAUUCUUUUGUUCCUUGGGGAUUUGAAGUCAUUUUUUUUGUUGCCUUUUUUGAAUCUACGCACCAGUUUCUGUGUAGGUAUUUUUACUCUUGAUAUAGGAAGAAUAUAUUCUUUAGAGCCCUGAAAGAUGCAAGUCACUACUCAUCCACAUAUGUUAUAUCAAGAUUUUACUUAGUCUGUGGCUUAUAUUCAUAGAUUCGUAAAUCCUAAUAUUCAGAUUAUUGCCAUGAUCUGUUAACCUCCCUGCCAUUCUUAGAACUGUCACCUGUAAUUUUCGCAGGGUGCAACUUAAUUGUACUGAUGGACUAUAUGAUGCACCCUGCAGCCCUGAAGCACCAGUUGUGUAUUAUUUGAAAUACACAGAAUAAAAAACCACAUAUUAAGAUUAAAAGAUGAUGGUAUAUUUGUAUUCAGCUACGUAGGGCAUUUCCGCCUUGGGUUGCCCAAAUAAAUGUGGAAUAUCCAGACUAUUAUCAUCAACUUUUUUCUCUUUAUUGACCGUCUGUACAAACAGAAGUUGUUGGAUAAAAGCUUCUUAUUUAUAAAGCAUUUUACAAUGUCAACAUGUUUGGAUCAUUUGCAACACAUUGCUAACGGCCGUGUUACUUAAAUGUAGUCUCGUUGACAUCUUAGUUGCAAUUUUGUAUUUCUAGGGUACUGCGAAGCCACAUUCCCUGUCAUACACCCUUUCCACAACUGUAUAGUCUUUCUGGCAACACGCGCAUACUUUCAGUCGUCCAUUAUCCCUUGAUAAAUGUUAGUAUCCAAUCCAUUAGUAGAAUACGGAUAAUGUGACGAACCAGCCAAAGUGAUUACCAGCCUUGAUUCUUCUUUCCACAUUUGAAUUGACCCUUCCUAUUCUGAGGCUGCCAGAGACUUGUAUAUAUAAUAUAUCUGAACAAGAGAUUUUCAUAAUAUGCUUAUUAUUUCCAAGUUAAGGAGGCACAUCGAGGGGGACACUGCUGGAAGAUAAUUGUCACUCGUAGGUCACAACUAAUGUCAGUUUUCACUUGGGGCAUAAAUAAUUGUGACAAUGUCUUUCGAAUCACAGGGUCCAGUGUAGAACAUGCAGCUUAGAAUUAUAAGAGCAACCCAAUCAUUAGAACUUAAAUAUGACUUGUAGAGGAUAUGUUUAGUACUGAUGAUGAAGGAAAGUUAGAAACUGGUAGUUGAAUUUGUGAGCUAUGUGCUUAUCAAGCAUGUGCGAAGUUGGCAUUGAUCCUAGUACAGGACUGCGAGUGCUGUGAAUUCUGGCAACUAUUGUGUCUGCACCCUUAUUGUUUUUCUUUUUCUUAUUCGUUUUCAUCUUUUAUUCAGUACUUGCUAACUCUUGUCUGAUUUUUCUCCACUGUUACUUUGAAAGUAAAACAACAGUUUGUUAAGCUACAUCUAUGGCCUGACAGCAAGAGUGUGUUGAGUUAUUUAUUGAUAGUUAAGAACUUGUUGUGAAAUCACUUUAUCUGUGCUUUAACAAUUUUUUUUAAAGAAAAGGUUUAGCGUCAUACUUUUACAGCACAAGAUAUGUGUAACCCACCCGAUUGGAUUAUAAUUUAAUUGAUGGUUUGCUAAUUGCUGACGGGCUUUACAUUUUUUGAGUGAAUGGUAUUCCAGUCACCUGUGAUCUUCCAGUUAUGGAAUAUUAUGUUAACUUAAGAUAUACCUUUUUCUUUUUUAAUAUGGCCUUUACAGGUGCUUACUGGACAAAUGGUGUAGAUCGGUUGGCGAUAGAAUUAGUAUUUUUGGUUUUCAUUGUACCUGUAUUCCUGUGUUAUAAUUUUGUCCGUCUCCUUCUCUGGGGAUUUGAACUGUUAUUUUUCCGGAAUUGUAAAUCAGCAAAUUAUUCAAUUCAUAAUUUGAUCUGUUUACUGUAGAAACAUAUGAAUGCAAAGUAUAUGGCUUGUCCCAUAAAUUUAGGUGUAGGGCGAGGAUAAGAAUACACGAGGCGAGAUAUCUGAUGUAUAAUUAUUUAGAGGUGUGUGGAGGUUGUAUCUUUUGAAUGUAGCAGCUAAAAUAAAAAAGUUAUAGUUUCAAAUGAACAUACAGUUACUAAUUUUACAGAAUGUACUGGCAUUAUGAUUUUAAGUUUUCCCAAGAAAUGUUUUUGGUGCUGGGUAAAAUAAGGCUCAGUUUAAAACCGAGUUUUUGGCUGCAGGUAAAAGUAUGGUAAAUCUAAAAUCAAGUUUUUGUGAGUAGUAGUUUUUGAGCUGCUGCCCUGAUUGCAGUUUGUAACGAGUUUUUGGCUGCAGGUGAAAGUAUGUUGUAACUCUGAAAUAAAGUUCUCGUGAGCAGUAGUUUUUGAGCUGCUGCCCUGAGAGGAAGCAGAGAGAAAGCUGGUGUUUCUAUACCUUUGAAAAUGGAAAAAGAUAAGUUUUUCUGCGAAGUUUCUAAUUUUUCACAUAUUUCAUUAUUAAACCUACUUAAAGUAUAAUUUUACUCUUUUUUUAGUUAAAAAACAAAAGACCCAACCAUAUCUAAGCUAUAUCAAAAUUCAAACUUGAGAGUAAUCUCAUUCUGGAAUAAAAUUGGAACAUCUCUUAUCUCUGAGAGUCUUCAAACCUUAUUAAAAGUAUUAUUAAUUUUAUUAUAAUCUAGAGUAUUUACUAAAUAAUAAUUAGAUAAUUAUUUGAUUUCUCUAAAAUUAUUUUAUCGCAAGUACACUUUUUUAAAAAGGACAACAGGUCGAAGAGACGUUGAAUUUUCAACUAAAAAAAAAUGCUAAAAGUGGGAUGUUACAAUUAUGAAAGAAAAAUGUGAAUACUUUUUUUAAACAUGUUAAUUAUAUAUUUUGAGGAAACAGUCCUAUUUUUUGGAAUAACAUAUUGCUGUUUGGCUUCGUUCGUAAGAAAUUAUCUCCUUUGUUAAAGUAAUAUGAAACACUAAUUAUAUAACAUUUGUUAAAGUGAUUAACUAUUGAGUUGAUUAAGUUUUGAAAGUAUAUAUUAUUAUUUAUUAUUGUAAUAAAAUACUAUGAUAGUGAAAUCUUUGUACAAGCGUUUGCAGAUUCCACAAAUAGAACAUAAUUUUCAUACAAAUUUUUGGAAUUUCGACAAAUGUAAUGAACCCGGCACGCUCUGUUAAAACUUAAAAUGCAAAACUUUUACACAUUCGUUGUGAUACUUCUUUGUUUUAGCUUAAAGUUUCGGCGGGUAUACUCUUAUAAUUAAAAAAUUAAUUGUAAAUAUAAAUUAUUUUUUUGAUUUUAUUAGUUUAGAUGAAUUUAUUGAUGAUUUAUAACUUAUUAGGUAUAUACUUUUAUAAAAUCAAAUAUUAAAACUUAAAAUAAGUAAAUGAAUGAAGUCAAGAGAUUAAUCUAAACUUUAUUACAAUGUUUCUCAAUUUAAAUACAUUUAUGGCAGUUGACAACUUAAUACUCCCUCUGUCCCAUUUAAUUCUAUACGUUUCUUUUUAACUGCUCGACACGUAUUUCAAUACUCUUAUAAAAUAUAGUUCCGUAACUUAUUUAUGAGAUUUUCUUUUUCUGUAUAAAAAUAUAACAUCCAAACUUUAAUUUAAAAAAGAAAAUUUUUAAAAAUAGAUUGCACAACUACACUUUGCAGGAGUAUUAAAGUCCGUGCCGCGUCACCGUCCCCCAAUGUAUACUACUCAGGGAGACGGAGGGAGUAACUUAUUAGAUAUAAAAUUUGUAAUAAAAUAAUAUAAAAUAAGCAAAAUUUAAAAUUAAAAAAGACAAUCGGAUAGUCCACGUGAUUUGAUUUAUUCUUUGUUACUCUUGCAAUAAAAAAAGUUAAGAUUAACUUCACAUUCUUCACAUAUCUUUGUUCUGUAUUUUAAAUUUCAAGUGAUUUGAUUUAUUUUCUAUUAUAUCGGGAUACCAAGUUCGAUUCUUACUCAUCAGUUCACAUACUAAUUUACAAGGUAUACAAGUUUAAAUUAUCAAAAAAAAAAAAAACGAUGCAAAUAAAGAACUUAAGAUUACUUUCACAUUAUUCACAUAUCGAAAUUUGUUACACAAACAAAUUUCUUGAUAUACAUAUACAUAUACUGUGAGCUCAAGAAAUCAAUUGCAGUGGAGAAACAUUUAAAAUAUAAAUUUGACAAUUUCUAUCAAUUUGGUGACAAAAAACCCUUCCAUGAUGAGAUUGACUACAGUUUUUGCUAAACCGAAAAACAAAACUAAUUUGGUUUUUCUUUCUGCUUUAGUCUAAUGUUUGAAGAAUUAUAAUAAUCCUCAAUAUCAGCAUAAGACAAUUUUGAUUAUAUAUAACACGUUUGGCGUCAUGAUUUGGUUUAUAUCUUAGGUUUCUGGAGGAACUUUAAAAAGAAAAUAAAGAUGUCUUUGCAUGGCUAACAAAAUGGAUUCAGUCUCAUUUGAUAGCGGCAUUUAUAUCAAGCUACGUACUUAAACAUAUUCGGGUUCUCCUUGUCCCUUUCCAGAUAAUCCCUGGCUAUCAAAUCUUCAAUGCGCCUCUUAAUUAGCUUGAAAUCAGGCUGCAGAAACAGAAACAGUCACAAACUGAGCACAUAAAAAAAUCUAGGACUAAUGUCUAUCCAUUAUAAAAAAAGCGGAUAGAUUGCUACAACAAUCACUUGUCGGGACACAGAUGCUUAUUAAUGAUACCUUGAACAUGCGGCUCAUUUGCUCAACACACUCCGUCACCAGCUGCUGAUGGCCUAGGACUUUUCGACUCUUCAUGAUACGAACAAGUGAGGCAUCAACAGCAUAACGUCUGUCUUUGUCAACAUCUUCAACUGUUUUCCUUCUUUCAUCUACUGGGGGAAGAGGGAUCUGAUGCAAACCAGAAAAAAAAAAAAUUAAAAAUCGUUGUCAAACUAUUUAGAAAGGCUAAAAAGAGAUUAUAGCAAGAAUAUUGCAGGUCAUACCCUGAUUUUCCUCAUCUUAUCGGUGAACUUUGAAUUAAAUUCAAAAUAAUCUGUUGAGGACACAGUGUCUGAGCUCGGAGUCUUUUUCAGAAUUUUAUACUUGGCACAUGAGAGUGAGUGCAGUACUCUAACCAGAUCAUCAUCAGAUAAAUGUAAUUGUGCCUGGACUUCUAAAUAGCUCAGUUUGUCUGCAGUAUUAAACAGUAACAAAGCUGCAGCCUGAAAAAAAGUGAACCACAAUCUUGGUGAUUAGCAGUCCUGCUAAACACAAACACAAUGAUGUUCACAAUUAAACAUACACAUAAAUCAAGUACACGUUUUCCGUACCUGAAAUGUGAGCACAUUAAGCUCAAUAGUCUUUCUAUCAAAUCUUCCGGUUAUAAUACAGUUUCCUAGUGAGUAAUUCCAUGUAAGCUUUCUCUUUUUUGUAUUAGUUUCAUAGAAGGUUUUGAAAACCUCGACACACUUGACCUGAGACAAUAAACAUCAAACAUAAUUACCUUGAACUUGUACAAAAAAGAGUAUCUUUAUGAUAUGUUAGUGAAGUAGGCAGGUUGUACCAUCUCGGGUGGAAGAUUGAGAUCGGAGGACUUGUAAGUUGGCCAGAAUCCAGUAGUAAGAACCGUAACAUUCAAAUCAAUCCCUGGAUGGACAACUCCACUAACUUUAAGAUAUUCCACAAAUUCAUUCUGUUUUUCUUUGGCUAAGGUCAUAUCUGUCACCUGAAAACAAGGAUAUUACACAUGCAACUAAUUAACUAGAUAAAGAGCUAAAUCAUUUAAAGUUUUAAACCAAAUUUACAACAUACAACUUACCAUCCCCUCCAUCUUCGAUGUAAAUUGUGCACCACAUUGUUGUUUCAGCUUUGUCAGUAUAAGUCUUUCAUGGUCGUCGCCAGCACUUUUGUCAAAAAGCAAACGUCGAGAAAGCUUUUUCCUAUAACAGCGAGUAGAAAGGAGAUGUGGAUGAGUUCAGGGUUACUUAAAAACAAGUCAAUAUUCUCCAGGAUAGUAGAUGAAACAGAACAAAAACAAGCAAACCUAUACCUGCAAAACUCAGCAAAGAGAUCUUUUUCACUAAUAUACGAGAGUAGCUUGACAGCCUGCGAAGUUCAGUUAAAAAUAUUAAUAUUAAUGUUAAAGACUGAUUUCAUGACUAGAUAUGUUACAAGCAUAAAGAAAGACACUACCUUAUCUACUGUUUCUUCAUAAGCUUCAUCAGUCAAAUUGCUUACACCCUUGGUGAGUAUAUUAUUACAAAAUGAAGCCAGUAGUUCUGCACUUGGAGAGCCAGAUACAUUUUUAUUACAGACGACCUCAAAACCCACUUUCAAGGCCUGGAGAAACAUUAACAAGUUAAUGCCUGUCACAUGCAGAAAGGCAUAGACUAUAAAAAGACAAUCAAGAGCACUGACCUUGUGAAAGAGAGUGUGGUUCGUGAAACAGUCAUUGACAUAUUUCAUGUACUUGUCAUGCAACUCGAUAACUUUUUGGACAAAAGCCUGAUGAGAAAAACCAGAUUAGAUACAUCCUUAAGUUACUCUUAUCCAAAGCUUAGGCUUUGUGAGCUAUCAAAAGUUUUUACCUGUUCUGGACCACCAAGAUUUUUUGCCUGUACAAUUAACAAAUCAUAUUAGUUAGCACUGGGUAUAUGCAAGAUAAACACAUUAGUACUUCUUUACACAUAUAACCUUAAUUUACAUCCCAGAUCUCUGAUUCUGUGAGAAUCCAUAUUAUUACAUGUUUUACUCCAUUCAACUGUAAAAAAUACGAACACGAAGGUCCAAAACCGGAUACGCCUGACUAAAAUUCUGCAGAAAUCAUCUGAAGUUGUUGACCCAACAGUCCAUGGCAUGGAUCUUAUCUUCUCAUCAAUAAACACAUACAUAUGCAAAAGUAUCUCAUAGGGAACUAUUACGUUAAGAAGUUUACCCUCUUAACAUGAGGAUCCAAGUAGUACAACAAAAAUUUUGUUCAGCUAUUACCAUAAAUUAUUUCAUAACUCUCUGUGUCAAUUAACCAGAAACUUUAACCAUAGUUUAUAAUUAAAAGCCUGGCCAGCUAUUGAACCAGUUCAACUGCAACAUGAUUAUUGAUUCCUAUUUCCCAAACCAGGCCAUUGUGAAUAUUGAUUGGUUCUACAUCAGAUACUCCAGUUCUAAGACCAACCAACUCCGAUCCCUAUGGCUACUUAUUUAAAAGGUUUAGCUGUAGUUUGAAAAACAUUAUAAGAUUCAACUUUUAUUUUGAGCAAGAUUUUCUUUAUCAUAAAAAAAAAGUUAAAUAAUUUAUAUUAUAUACAAACAUAGCCUACAAUUGUUGAUACUAUUGAUACAUACCACAAAAUUCCGUGACAGGGGAUUGGAGAUUAUAAUGAAGCAAAAUCUGUAUUAUUUAUACUGUUUUCCCAGAGGUUAGUAUAUAAGUUUGAUACUCAAGUACAUAAACACGAUUUUUAGGUCUAACAUUAAUAGCCCAGAGAUGAGUACAACUCAAGAAUCAGCAAGUAGUUGAUAUAUAUUUGGGGCUGACAAGGAGCCAUAAACUAAUAUUAUCAUAUUACCUAGUUUCUCCGAUAGCAAACAAAUAUAGGAAUAGAAAACAUGUACUUGAAAAGAAUAACAUGAAAAAUUACCAAACAAUAAAAUUAUAUAGAGAACUUACUUUAGAUGCUGCUGCAAUAUCUUCUGCCUGUUGGAUGAGAGCUGUACCUUCACACAUAAUAUGCUGCAUCAUGGAACACUAUGGAUUAAGGUAAGCUCUUUUAACUUUUAAUUAUGGAAGAAAUACAGCUUACUUUUUUAAAUAUAUCGGCCACUGGUUCCAGUCCCUGGGGAAUUUUGGAGAAAAGUCUGAACAUUCGAGAAAGAUCUUCGACCUGACACCAAAAGAAUAUGACUGUAAAACAUGGUUACAUGUGCAUAUGUAUUUGUAAAUGGUGCACAUUCAAGAACCAUAUACCUUGCCAUCUUCAAGUAAAACUCGGCAUCCAGAGUGCUCUUUUUCAAGUAAUUGGCUGUGAUGGGCCGCCAACAGUUCAUUUUGCACUUUCUACAAAUCACAUGCAAAUACUAUCAAUUAGAUAAUAUCGAUAUUAUGUUCAGCAAUGUGUCUCUAUAAAUCAAAUUAUACACUGUCAACAGUUUCAAAAUUAAGGACAAUUUAAGCAGUUUAUUCUAUUUCAUUUAAGGGAUGGCGUAUAUUUAUGAACAAGUGAGUCUCAAUGCUGUUAUUUAUCUUUCACUAUAUUGGAAGAUUAUUACAAGGGGGCAUUUGGCACGUUGAUGGGAAUGAGAAUCGAGAAUAGAAAUGAAGAGGAUGGUAUAGGGGUUAUUGGGAAUGAGAAUUGAUAUGAAAUCCCAAGUUGUAAUUAGGGCCCAUCUAAUUGAAAUGAGUUUCCUAUUCCAAGCAACUAAAUUUCUAAUCCAAACACUAACGCAUGGGAUAAGGGAUCCGAUUCCCAUUAACCAGGCUCAUUAAUUAUGAAACAAACACCCACAAGAGUUAUUCGCAUAUAUCAUUUGGCUAACUUUGAUCUGAAAACUAACUCAAAUUUGGCUUACAUAUUACGGAUGCACUAAUUUCACAACACAAAAAGAAAGAAAUUAAUACUAUCAUAUAACUCAGGAAACAAGACUCGCAACAACUUUCUUUUUACUGUUGUUGAACUUAGAAAGAGUUGUAAGGGACGAGCUUUCUAAGUUUCAACUGUUCAGCAGAAGGCAAAUUCAAAUUUUGUUCGUAACUAAUAGAAAAGAAAUUUCUAAUAGAUACAAGACCAACCUCUAAAAGUUUUACUUCAGUACUUGAAUGCAGAUAAUGAGAUACUCUUUCCUUCUCCUUUUUUAAGCAUUCCUCUGCCUAUUGUUUCCGAAGGAAGUGUCAGAGACUGUCAUUUUUUUUCACAGUAACAUACCAAGGAGCACGAGAUCAAGUGACUUACCUUGAGCAUGUAAUCUGGACAUGAAUCCUCGGCAAUCCAGUUUGAUGCCUUUCGAGAAUAAUAUGAAGAAGAAUUAUCAAGCAUGAAUGCUUCAAAAUCUUUUUCAUAGGAUUCAUUCUUUCCCAUUCCAACUCGAAUGAUGACAUCUAUGAUGUUCUUUAAUAAAGCUCUAUCAAUCUGUUCACCCUCUCGUUCUUUAUUAAUCUGUUCAAAGAUGUUUCUUAGCUUCUUAAAAAAUUAAUUCAAAAAAAUUUAAAAAAAGUCAAGAAGCAUACAAGUGUGAUGACAGCGUCUCUGGCUUUAAACUUCACCUCUUCAUAAACCUGGUUAAAGGCAGUUACUAGUCAUCAUUACAUGAUACUAUCAGACAAAUAUUUGUUCAAUGUAUAUAAGAUAGAAAGUUGAAAAAAGAAAAUUUGAGGUAUAAACCAUGUCACGAAAGCAAAUAAGUCCAGCUUUAUUCAAUGAAGAAAGUGAAUUCUGAGUAACGAAGUAGCGAUCGAGGUAUUCGAAGAAUCUUGAAAGCCACCUCAUCAUUAUUUUGUGGUUCAACCAUCUCUUUUCAAGCUCUCUCAGCAUAAACUCAUCAUGCCGUUGGUUCAAAGACGGUAACACCUAACAAAAUUGAAAUAAAAUUCAGAAGAUAUUCAAUUUAAAAUAUGUCUCAUACUUUCAAAGUUAGAGCAUGGUGGGCCUUAGGUCACCCUCAAGUAAACAUCCCGAAGUUAUGAGAUUCCAUACAAAUGCAGGGGCAUUUAACUCUCGAGGGUGACCUCAAGGCCAAUUUUCUCUUUAAGUUAUUAUGUAUUUAACUUUAAUAUACUACAGCACAAAGUUCUGUAACAUAUCACAUUUGAUGAGAGCACGAUAUGCAUCAAAAGUCCAGCUCUGAUAUUUUAUUUUAGCAACACUGCUAUAACUUACGACUCCAUAUGUCAAUGUUUUAUCUUAGGUCAGUUUGUUAUCAAUAUAAAAUUGCUGCUGCAUUGUACGCUGUUCAGUAAUCAGUAUGCAACACAAGUGUGGCCUCUACAGGUUUCUAGUUCAACAUAAUACAAUAACUUCUCAACGUCGUUAUACCAACAGUUAGUGAAACAAUAACGUGCUCUUGCUGUCAGUAAAUUCACUCACCCAUAAGUCAAUGUAAUCUUUGAAAAUAUCCAGGUAUUUGUCAUAGACAUCUUGAGAAUAAUUAUAAGGAUAAUGCUGGGAACACAGGUUAUAGACCGCCCUGUAAUCAAUCAUUAAAAAUAAGUCGUAAGUUCAACAUCCAACCAAAUAAGGUACAACAAAGAGAGUAUGUAUCAUAAGGCAAUUUGCUUCUCAACAAUUGAUCAUAGAAACAAAAAUAAACAGCAAGUGAAGAAGUAUACGUGUAGGUAUUAAUGUAUUCCUCUGUGGUAAACGACGGUUCUGGAAACCCUUCGAGGAUUUUCUUAAGCUUGGUAACCCCCUUGUUCAAAGUAGCCAAACCAUCCUUUAGCUGCACAAUUUUCAUACUAUCUAGUUGCUAACACUCUUCCAAAUACAAUUAUCUGCAAUUCGAAAAUUACAUCACAUUCCCAUUAUCAAACACAUGUUCAAAUUGCGAAAGAAAAACACUUCAUAGAUAGAAGGUCCCAAAAAGAAUCUCAUCAAGUCUUAACAACAAUGAUUAAUUCAUUAACAGGGAACAGUCAAGAACAGAGUUUACAACAAGAAGCCAAUUCAAAACUUAAUCUUAAAACAUAUAAACACUUUUACUUCAAGAACUUGUUCAUUAGACCAUGAUUAUCAAAUUUCAUGGUCUAAUGCAUGACAUAACAAACAAGUGCCUAACUACUCAAUAUACUAAAUUACAUUAAGUAUUCAUAGACAUGCAUGAUCAAGGUCUCAUAAACUAGAGGAGGACAGUUAAGAAAUUUAGAACAAACCAGAAGUUAAAGUGGAGUUGAGUUUCGACGAUUGAGAGCGUUUAUGUAAAACUCUUUUGUUCUGUCUUUCUGGAUUCUUAAACCCUUGUUUUAUUUUUCGCAAUAAAACAAGAGCCUAUUUUUCCGGGAGUCUGCUAUUUAAUGAGGUGUUUAAGCUGCCUUAUUUUGUUUAAUUGACGGUUACGUUUUCUUUUUUUGUCCAUCAAACAAAUUUAAAAACGGUAAUCUCAGAUAUCAACUCUAUCGAUCCAAACCCGAAUCGGAUCUACACUAUUCUAAAUAAUCCGAAUCUUAGCCGACCCAUUAUAAUGUAUAAUGUAUAUUAAUAAUAAUAAAUAUAUGUUUCAAUAAAAGCUAUUAGUUUAGUCCUAUAAAUUAAUAUACAUUAGAUUAAUAUAAAUCUCUUUUUAAGCAAAUGUAAAUCUUUUUAAAUUUAGAUAAUUAAUAAAAAAUAAAUAAUAUGAAAAUAAUAUAAAAUAUAUGUACUUUUUAUGAAUAUAAUAUUGUUAUUAUAUAUACAUAAUUUAGGCUGAGUUUAGUAAACCGAUUUGAUCUAAAAAAGUCCGUCUUUAUUCGGAUCAAUUUUUUUUUUUGAUAAAUUUGACUUAUAUCCUAUAAAUGAGUAGUACAUGUUCUAAACAAUACAAUAUAGAGGUACAAAUGGUACAUGUUCUAAGAAAUUUCGGGUGUGGCACUGUCGAACCGAGUACCUGCCCGUCAAAGAUAAACUCUUAAUCAUUUGAGCUAGCCAACCGUGCUAUCAAACCCGAAUCAACCAGAAAGAUUCCGACUGAAUUCAUACUUUACCACAGAAGACGUGUCAGGUUUGAUAUCACCCCCCAUCAUUAUGGAUAUUUUCUCCCUGGAAUCAAGGAUUUCAGAAGUGCGAGAUAAAAAUAAAAAUCAUACCAAAGAGUUACAUUACAUGCCAUAUUUUGUCCUGCAUUCAGUAUUAGCCUAGUCAAGGCUCAAGCCCGUUCAAUAUCAGUACCUUCUAGCUUUAGGAUGUUUGGAUACAAGUUAAUCCGUUGUCAAAAGUAUCUUUUUAAGUACUUUUAUCAUGACUCAGAAGUCAGAGGUUUUCUUAAACAUCCCAGAUGGGCUUCUCAAGUUGCUGCUGGAAAGGAUUCAUCAUCUGCAUUCUUUGUUGUUGUUGCUGUUCAUGAAGGUUGUGUGGCCUUGAUCCUCCUCCCAGUCCUAAGAAAUCCACCGUGAGUGUGUCGUUUCCUCGGCUACUUCCCUGGUUCACUCCAAAUCUGGAGGGGCCUAUUGGGUUCUGACUCAUACCAUCUUCAAGAUGUUCCAUAUGCUUCAUGAAGCCCUGCUCAUUUCCCAUCAGCAUGUCACCAAACAUUGCCAUGUCAGUCAUGGAUGGUGAGCUACUAGGCCCGGAGGCAAACAUCUGAUGCGGGGCCUUUUGCAUCAGCUGAGUUGUGAAUGCUCCACCAGUAAGCCCAACAAAACUGGUUUCAUCAGGUUUUGAUGUUACAUUUUCGAAGGAGGUAUUUGCAUUGUCGAUCAUAGGCCCUGUGUUACCAAAAGUUUUUUGGAUCAUGGGUGAGCUAAUAGUGUUGUUGCUUGCUGUGGCGCCCAUUUGAGCUGCUUUUUGGAGCAGGGCAGUGGCUGACAUGUUUGCAGCGCCUAAAAGAUUGUUAGGCCCGUUUUUGUUGUCUUGGAGGUAACUAAAACUUGAAGGACUGUUGGAACUGAGCUGGAGGCCAGAGGAAGAUGAUUGCACAUUGUUUCUUGGGCCUCCGAAAAGAGAACCUGAAUUGCUUGAGAACAUGCCAGUAGCUAUGUUCAUGGGCUUAAACUGCAUGUCUUGAGACAUUGACUUUAGUUGGUUUUUCUGAUCAUAAUUGUUGAAAUCAGACAUUAGGGCCAUUGAUGUGUUGUUAUUCAUAUCAUGAGGCAUCUGUGGUUGUAGGUUUGAUCCCAUGCUUUGCAUCAGGCCUUGAUUAACUUUGUUGUUCUCUUCAGCUAGUGCAUCACAGAAAGCUCUGUGAGUUAUGAAGCUAUCCCUCCUGCAUUUUUCAACCAAUUCGAGCUUAGAAAAUUGGAGUUAUAUGUUUUAUAGUUUAGUUCAGGGAACAUGAUUAUAGUAUGUACCUGGAGAAAAUGGUACCACAAUCACAUUUAUACUCUCUAGUGCCACAAGUUUUCUGGUGAGCCUUCCAAUCCGACUGCACUGCAUAUCUUUUGGAACAUUUGUCGCACUUCCACUUCUUCUCCCCAUGUUUUCUGCUAAAAUGCUUCUUGAUCCCAGUCAGAUCUCCUAGUGCUCGGGCUGGAUUGUGGUGGACACAACUAGUCUCGGGGCAAAUGUACACCCUCUUGCGCACCUCAGUGGUGGUUCUUUGCUUGAGCUUCCAUGGAAGAUUAUGACCUCUGCGGUGUAAUUGCAAGUUUUGGUCCCUCUGAAAACCUUUGUUACAAAUCUCACACACAAACCUGUUGGUAGCCAUUAGCGUAGUGGGAGAUAGAGCAAUGACUUCAGCAGUUGGAUCUAUAUUAAGGAAAAAAACAACGAUUAUAGCAUAUUUAUAUAAACUAUGAUUGCACAAGUGAUCACGAAUGUUAGAUAUAGGCAGAGCGACAAAAUUGAGCAGCAUCUUGCCGAAACAAAAUAUUAUGUAUUGCAGAACCAAAAAGAUUCUGUCAGAUAAUAAAUAGUUCCUCAUAGUCAGAAAUCGAAAAAAUAUGCAGACUGAAAAUUCAACACAGAGAACAUAGAAUCUAGACAUGGUAUCCUCUUAAUUAAGAAAAAUUCUGAACUUCUGUUUCGUGUCAUCGACUAUUCAAUCAUCAUACAUAAACAUACUGAUAUUAAGCAAAAAAAAUUCUACUGUAAAAAUUAUUGAGAUAAGUUGAUGUAAGGUAGAUAAGAUGAAUUGCCUGGAGUUCCUGGCAGAUUUCUUUUCUUCUUAGCAGCUGCAGGCAUGUGCUGGGAGCUAUUUUUCGUGACGACACCAUGGGGAUGAUCAAGCAGUAGUGGCUGUUCUUGAUGAAGUUGUUGCACUUCUCCAGAAGACAAGCUUCCUUCCUGAUCACCUGUUAUAUUUGACAUCACAAUUAUACUUAUGUAUAAAUACUUGCAAUAUCCUUGUGUUAAUGACUCCAAGGAAUUGAAAUUUAUGAGCAGACAAUUUUCUCUUAACAGUUUGCUGGAGAGUUUGGUUGUAUUGCACAAAAUAUGAAGCAGGGUCUACUUUGGCUUAUACAUAUAUAUAGUGGAUCAUCACAUUUUUGUAAUUUAUUUAAUUAGAGUUGUGCACCCUCCUUUUUUAAGCAUUAUAAUUUUCUUGUUACAGUGGAAUUAUAAUUGUUUUUUGUGUUAAUUAUUUGGUUUAUUAUCAGUUGGUUUUAUCAAACGGAUUCUCUUGUAUUUGUUUCACUAAUGUUGAAUGUACAUGCAACUCAGCCUUGCUGCCACCUCUUUCCAUAUCCGUUAAUUAAUUUAUGUCGGUUCGAUUAAUUAGUGACAACUGAUCGAGCUAAGUAUUUGUUAAGAAGUUGAGAUGAUUCAUUUAAGAUAUUCCUCUGUUAACUCAACAUACUUCACCACCUAAAUUGUGUGCAGUAUCAUACAAUUUUUUUGUCUACUGUGCAUGCUCGUACGAGAUAUAUUCCAACUAAUUUUUUUUAUCAUUUAAUCAAAAGAACUCCCUUUAUAUUUAGAUAAUAAUAUUUCAAAUAAAAUUCCUGAAACCUGAAUAGUUUCAAUUGUUCAUUUAUGACGGAAACCAACUUUCCGUCAUAAGUUUCAGAUCCGCCGUAUAUCAUUAUAAAGUGUGUGUGUGUCUAUGUAUAUAUACAUAUAUAUACACAAUCUAUUUUAAAAUGUAAUUUUCAGUUUUUUAAAAUAAUAAAAAAAUAUGUUUAAUUUUUGGUAAAAAUAUAAUCAAUUUGAUCAUUAAAAAUAAAAAAUGUAAAAAGAGAUAUCACUCGGUAGUAAUUGAUUGUAAAUAUGAAUUACUUGUAGACCUAACUAGCGUUGCUGCCAUAAUUUGGAGGGAGUGGAGUCGACCCCAAAUUUGUUUUAGCUAAUACAAACAAUUAAAAGAACCAAACAAAGUUUGUCAAAAAAAAAAGAACCAAACAAAGUAACGAGUUGAAUGCAGGAUCAAUAUGGCGCUUAGAUUCGAAUCGCCAUAAGUGGCAUCAAUAAUCCAAUUACGGUCGAAUAAAAUUUCUAUAUCCGAUAUACACUUUCUCCGUUGCUGGAAAUAGUUUUUGACGAAUGAUACGCAUGAGCAUAGUUAAAUACCAACCCGAUCCUUCAACUUCUCGUCGAAAUAUCUUCACAAGUAGUACUUAUUCUACCUCUUAGAAGUUGAUAGAAAUCUCUUCAUAUAUUUUAUCGGGUUAUAUUCUGAUUUCAGUUCAGAUUUCUACAACACUGUACCCUCGUCGCUGAAGUUAAAUACCUAAUUUAAACACCUUGCAAUUCAGACUUUCGACAGGUACUUAUCCAUUGUAUCUUUUUUAUCUAACGCAAAACAGGACUAGGACUCGAAAGGUGACGACACAAACAUAAAAGACUUCGUUACAUAUAUGAUCAAGAGCUUGUUUGACGAGUUUAUUACUUAAGCCGACUUAUUUGAUAAGCUGGGAGCUGAAUUAUGGGUAAUAUAUAUCAAAAAUUUAGUUAUUGAAAAAAACAUCUCAGACUAACUUGUGACUUUAAUUCAAUUUCUGCCUUAAUUCUGACUUUAAGUUGACUUCUACCUAAUUACACAAACAGACAUUUUUCAGCUUAAAGUAAAAACGACUUAAAACCCUGGACUUUAAGCUAUUGCAAACAGAUUAUUUUUAUCAAUCCUAAACUGGACACUAGGGUUUGCUAAUAAGACAACAGUACUGGCAAUACCGUAUUAAUUAAAACAACUUGAGAUAUCACGAUCACAACUGCUUAAAUAUUGAUGAAGACCACGUAACUAUUCUUGCUGGCUCUUGUGAUUUCAAUAGCUACUAAGCUGGACUUCUCUGAUUUUAGUAAUGACUUUUUCUCUCUAGGGUUUACGUACCUGUCACUAGCUACCCGUCACUGCCAUGUCCCUUUACUAUAAUCUAUUUAGAGAGUGACCUAUACACAAAAAAUUCAAUCCAAUACAAACAAAACAAUUAUGUAAUAUUAUACUAAUUUGGUAUCUAGACAUAUAAUUAAAUUAAUUAAAUAAUCUGCCCAAUUCUAUUCCUCCCAACUGCACAUUUACAUGAUACUUGCUAGCUUCAUCUUAGCAUGCAGCCAUGCACUAUAAUUUAUAUCUUUGUUUUUGUCAAUAUUGUAGAAAUAAAUGUGGACUAGGAUUAGUAUGUUUAUACGGAGUAUCAGAUUGAGAGGACUGCAUGUACUGGCCAUUUAUAUUAUGUACUUGGUUUUAUUGAUGAGGUUAAUAUAUCCCUCUGCUUCUUGACAGAAUUUUACAUUCUCAUUGUUAUUUUAGGCAGGCUUAUUGUCCAAAAAUUAUGUCUUUUAGCAGCUAAUUCUAUUCCAUAAUUAUUUUAAUUCAUGUACAGAAUUCAGGAAACAAACUCGCAUCAAUUGUCUGUCAUGUGUGCAUGUCCUUGUGUAUUUAUACUUUAUGCAUGGACCUAUGCAAAAUUUUCAUUUUUUUUUGUAUAUUUUGCAGAAACUUAUGGAAAUUAAAAUAAUGGUUUGGGAUAAUAUCCGGUGAUCAAUUUAUUUAUCUUAAUUUAUCAACAUUGAUAUUGUGAUAUAUACUGAUAUGUAUUAGCAAUUCUCAACAAGAGAGAACUGCUACUGAUUAAUUAAUUAGUCUCUAAUUAGACUUAAUAAACUGUAAUUGAUGAUAGAGUAGGAGUAUUUCUGAGAAGAAAACGAAUGGAUAAACUAUUCAAAAGAACUAAAAGUUAGAAACAAAAUGACAAAAAUAAGAAUCGUCCGUGUAGACGGGAAGUUAAUAUAUAUUAAAGCUCCGGUCAAGAAAAUAAUUAGAAAGACCUGAUUGAUAUAAUAUGAUUCUCUGAUAUAAUACCCUUUCACCAUCACAAAGACAACUUCUUGGCUUUGUUUUUAUCGAUCAAACAAUCGAUAAUUCUGAUGCAACAGCAUUAACAUAUGAAAAGUUGCUCUAGGGCAUAUUAAUGAAUAUUGAAACUGUAACGUUAUUGUUGUUAUUUUUUUAAGGACCAUAAUAGUUAUAUGAAAUCAAAUUUAACUGUUGGCAUAAUUAAUAAAAUUGCAGAGGUUUCUAAAAGAUGAACAUCGAUUGAGCAUAUAAAGGAUGUAAAGCAUCUAAAGCAUAUAAUUAAAGAGUACCUCACAGUACUCUUGUUCAUUUUGAAACCGGUGAUAUAUUAGAAAGGAAUUCAACAAAAUAUUAUAAACAUUUUAGCAAAUAAAUGAAAUCAAAUGUCCUUAAAAAAUAUAUUAAUUAAUUUCAUUUCCAGUAAUUUGUGUUGUGAGAGUAAAUAGAAAUAAUACCUCAUUUAGAACUAGAACAAGUUUUGCGUAAUUCUUGACAGAGAUGUGAAGACAUUGGAACAUGCAUUGUUAGAUGGUAAGAUGUGCUUAAUGGCAAAAAAAAUUUUUAAGCAUAAGUGGCCUGCUUACGUACUAAUCACAUUCGUUCAGAUUUAAGCAAUCUUCUUACAUAUAAACCCCUUACCGGUUCUGGUGAGUAUAUAAUGGCCCUUGAUGCGAGACAAGUUCAAAUUAUGGAGGUGUUUGGCCGGGGCUUAAUUAAAAGUCCGGCUUCUGAGUUUGUAAGUUAGAAGCAUUUCGUACGGUUUGUCUAGUAAGUUAAGAAAUACUUAUAAAAAGUUGAGAAUUUUAAACUUAUCCAAACGGUCCUAUGCAUGUAUAUAAUGGUUUUGUCAAGAAAUUUGAUAAUAUAGUGGUCUAUUAUUUCUUAUUACCGAUGAAUGUUUCUUGUACAGGAUCUUUUGCAGAAAUGGCCACCAACUCUACUUGGUAAAAUUGACAAAAGACUUGAAACACUACAUGAGACAGCUCAGAUAUAGUUUGUAGAAAAAAAUUACUUGGUUCAAAAAGGAGAAGACCUGAGUAUCUAGCAUUUGAAAAAAAACUCAAAAAUAUCGUUGAAUAUGUAAAGAUAUGAUCUGUAGAAAACAAUUACUUAGUUCAAAAGAAGAAGGCCAGGAUGUCUACAUAUUUAAAUAGAUACUCAAACAUACUGUGUUGGAUACGUAAAUAUUUCGUCAUCUCUUUAUUCAUUCUUUAUCCAUUCUUUAUUUCUCAGUUAAUUAAAGAUAACAAAUUAAGAAUCUUCAUCUCAAAGUUCAUACACUAAUUAUUUAGCAAAAAAGUUUGAACCCAAGCAUUAAUGAUCAGUCAAAUAAUUAGAAAAAACUAUAAAGUACCAGGUAUGUUUAAAAUUGGAAGUAUGCAUACAACACUUCUUAAUUAUCACUUGCAGGAUCAUAAAGAUCAAAUAUUUAAUAUUUUGAUACGGAAUAACGUUUUGUAAUUUUCACAUACUUGAUUAUCAAGAAUUAUAAUGUCACAGCAUCUCCGAUUGUUGAAAUCCUUAGCUAAAAUAAUUUGCAUGAGGUUCGUGUAUCUCUAUUACUUUGGUCUUGCAUAAACUUUAUACGCUAAUGGUUAAUUACAUCAUUUGUAUUUCUUGUUUUUGGCCGCAACUCCUAAAAAAACCUCAAAUGCUUUGCACAAGCUUAAUAUAGGUUUUAGCAAAAAGAAAAAAAAAAGGGCUUAAUAUAGGUUGGAUCUUAAGCGGGCUGGCUACUUAAUGCGGACUUUACGCAAAUAAAAGCCCAGUGGCAUAUCUGUCAAAAAAAAGGGCCCAGUAGCAUAAAGCAAAAGUUUACCAAAUCAUGAAAACAAGCCCACCUACCCACACCGAUUUAUAUCGAUUAUAUCAGUGUAAAUUGGAUCAGAUAUAUCCUAAAAUGUGGGAACUUGUAAUAAGGUGGAUAUGGAGACUCAUAAAGACUUUAAGUCGAUCACUUUUCUUAAUUAUUUCGACAUUCUGCAUGUGCUAUGAUCCAUGAAAGAUGUAUUUAAUUUAAAUAUUAACAUGUUAAUUAUAAUUUACAAUUUUGGUAUAGUGCUGAAAAUCUACAUAGGAGUCCCAGCUUCAACAGCAUAUUUUUUUAAUACUAUACUUCUGCUUCGCUUAAUAGUACUGUUUACACACAGCAACAACAGCUGUUGUCCAGAAACUCGUGAAAAAUAUUUGAUAAAUUUAAAAACACAUUUUCCAAAUCAUAGUUUUUAGCUUAAAAUUUUCUAUCAGAAAAAAAUGCAUCUGAUCAUCAAAAAUAUUACUUUUUAUAUUAUAACUUACUCUCUCCGUCCCACAAAGUUGACGUUCACUAUUUAUACGCAGUUUAAGGCUCUUAUAAAUUAUAGUUUAAUAAUAUUUUUUUAAUUUUUUUUUGGAAUAUAAGUUUGAACAUCAAACUUCUUUUCAUGAUUUAUUUUUUUAAAAAAAGCAUUAUCGAACUAUACUUUAUAGAAAUCUCAAAAUGCGUGUCGAAAAGUAGCGUAAAUAAUCUGGUGGGACGGAGGGAGUAAAAUAUACAAAUUAUCAAUAUAAUUACUAAACAGUUAUCUGAUUUUUGUAACAAUUUUUUUUAUCGACAAUUUUUUAACGAGGACAACAUUUUUUAACAAUAAUAGGAAACAAUAAUCCUUCAUCUCUACGAGUUUGGAAUGCUACAUUUUACCGCUACAAAUUUUUCCCAGCUCCGAAAACCCUAGCACGCAUCAGUAGUUUUCUCCCUCGCCCUUGGCCAGCUGGUCAUAUCAGAUAUGCAGUGUUUUUCAAACUGUUGAUGAUCCGUUUCACUUGUACCAAAGCCCUGCUAUCCAAUUACAGUCCUACUACAAUAAAUUAGAGCGCUCAAUGGUGUAGUCCAUGAAUAAAAUUUUCCGACUUUUUUUAAGUAGUGGUCCAAAACAUCUACCACCAAAUCUCUCGUAUUUUAAGUUCAUAGAUGAGAUCAGAUGCCCUCUUAAAGCAAGUAAUAUUUGUGUGGGGGAGUGCAGGAGAGAAUCUAAAGCAGAUAGUGUGAAUUAUGUGGAGAUUAAAGAAGAGAGGAAACAACAAAAUGUGAGAUAGGUUUUGUAAAAGCAAGUGUACGUAUUUUGAAUGCUUACAAGAGUGACACUACAUUAGUUUAAUAUCCAACUUGUUCCGGACUCAUUCAGUCUCCGCACGCGACAGUUGUCCACUACCCAACUCACCAUAUGUCGGCUUCCGUUCAAAUCAUAUUAAUUAAUCAAUUUUGUUUUCGCUAUAAUUCUUAACACGAAUCCUCUUGUUUUAGGGGUACGAUCAAAAAUCGGAGAACUAAUUAAUGCGAAACUAACGUCAAGUAAAUUUUUUAGAGAAAUGAUCCGUAACGACUGGUAAGGCGUAUUUGUAAACAUAAUACAAAAAUAGAUCAUCUAAACAAUUACCUCAGAUAUGUUCGCAUAAUUUCAUAUCUUCUAUUUGAUAUUGAUGAUUAUUUAUGUUUAUGAAGUCAUUGAAUUCAAUUGUGAGUAACUACAAAAAUUACAAAAUUAAUUUUAUAAUGGUUGGGACGAUGAAAUCGAUAACUUGUGUCACUGUUUUCCCUGAUGAGAAUAUGUUGUUUUUUGUUUUCUUACAACGCCAUAGAAGUUCACACAACAUGUGACAUGCAAAUCACACUCACUUAUUCAUAUGAUGAUCUUUCAACCCAAAGUGUGUAAAAAGUUCCCCACAUCUUUAACAAUCAAGAAACUCAAUUAUUUUGAUGAAUAAUCUAUGUUCUCUUCGACUUAUAUUUGUGUCCCUAAUAUGUUUUUUUUUUGUAAUAUCGGAUAUGUGUUUACCGCACUUUACAGUUUUUACAUAGUUGCAAGAAAACAUAAAAACAAUUCAAUAGAUAAUAAUUAUUUUUCAGCUAUAACAGCAGCUAGCUCUCAAUGAUCUUUGGCGCAUAUUUAACGACCAGUUGAUUAAUGAGGAAUAAAUGACGAAGAUUAAUAACACGGGUAAUUAACCAGCUUAAUCUCUCUCCCGAGUCUCCGGUCAUUCUCUACAAAAUUUUACUCCAAAGUCUUCACUCAUAUAUAUAGGUCGUCUACGUUUUAGCAUAAUUCCUGCUAUAUAGCUCUUUAAGCGAUUGAUUAGAGUGGCAUCAUCUGAAAGUGGAAACCUACCUAGUAGGUGCGCAAUUCAACUAAAGAGUUUGAAGUUUGUAAUCUUUGCUUCUCAAUCUGUUCAUUUUUAGGUUUUUGUUGGGUAGCUUGCACGCUGUCAGAGAAACACGUGCCUUGCUUUUGUCCACUAGUUGAAGAUUAGGAUUAUAUUUUAUGCUUCUUAAUCCAUACUUAUUGAGAGCAUUACCACUAAUGACCCAAGGGGGGACCAUGCACAAAUACAUAAACAUUAUAUGUCAUUCUUGAUGAAUGCAAGUCUUUUUCUUACUUUCUUAGGGCUUCGAUUGCUUCCACAAAGGCCCCUUGCUGUCCUUGUUUGCAUAACAAAAUCAACCUAACUCAUACCCAAUUGCCUGCCACUGUCUCCCAUCAACAAGCUGACCAUAUUAUUAUCGACAUUUUGCCACAGUAUAUCUUAAUUAGUGAAGUUAACUUUGAGAGAUUGUGUGUGUGAAUUUUGAGGGUAUAGUUAAUUAUGCAUCUAUUUUUUGAAAAUUAACGGUAAUUAGCAGUUAUCCGUUCCACACUUGACUAACAGUGUUUGUCGUAAUUAUGAUGAUAAUCGUUAUACCAGGAAUGUAUUAUUGAUCCGAUCCUCCUUAAUCCUCUCAAUGUUCUAACGCCUUACCAGAUAUGACCAUUUCCUACGAAUUCAAGAUUUGAACUUCGUUAUAAUAAAAUAUCCGGAUACAUUGUGUAGUAUUUAUUAUUAUAAUACGUAAAUAAAAUAUAUCGGCUGACUAAUACAUCUGUAUCUGGACCACAAACAUAUAAUACGCAUAUAUAAAAAAGCGACUAAGAUAUAUAAUGCGGGCAGAUGGAUGACAUACAAUUAGUAUAUAUAUGUAAGCAUCUAUACGGAAGCGAUUUAAUUAGCCGUAUAGCUAAACUAAAGCAACUUGACAUAUGUAAGCAUAUAUGCGAAAGUGAUUUAAUUAGCAGUAUAAAUCAGUACAAAUCAGGGGCAACGUGUCGAUUAGUGUGUAAGAGUAAGAGGAUUAGCCUUGGGUUUAUGUUUUGCCCGUAUAAAAUGGUUGACAAAAUAGCAACAAAUUACUCAGAAAGAAGUGCUACUUUCAGCUUUGGUGGAGGCUUUGGCGGAUCAACAAGAGAGGAUACCCGAGAUGUGAUUAAAGAGCAAGAUCGAUUGCUACCGAUUGCAAAUGUGGGUCGAAUCAUGAAGCAAAUACUCCCGAGUAAUGCAAAGAUCUCGAAAGAAGGAAAAGAGACCAUGCAAGAAUGUGUGUCUGAGUUCAUCAGCUUUGUCACUGGAGAAGCAUCUGACAAGUGUCACAAGGAGAAGCGCAAGACUGUGAAUGGAGAUGAUAUAUGUUGGGCUUUGGGGAGCCUAGGGUUUGAUGACUAUGCGGAGCCACUGAAGAGGUAUUUGCAUAGAUAUAGAGAGCUGGAAGGGGAGAAAGCGAAUCAACAUCAUAGGGGAGGAGGCAACAUUAACAUGAACCAUAAUAUUCAAGAAAUUUUCGAAGAGGCGUCGAAUCAACCAGCAGCACCGAAUUGAGAUUAUUAUGGAACAAGACAAGUCAGAUCUAUGAUGUUCCAAUAACUAAUUAAGAUCUGUGGCUUAAUUAACACUUGGGCUAAGAAUUGCAAUCUUUAGGCUUAUGAAGCAGGUUUCACCUCUGAUUAAUCUAUAUAUAUCCUCUCACAACUAUAUGUUAUUUGUAUCUCAGCUUGUUCUUGUGUCUGAUCCUGUGUUUGGCUGUACAUCGAACAUUAACUUCAUUGUUUACUUUUGAUAUGUAACUCCUUUCCUGCUUGCUAGCAAUUCUUGUCUGGAAUUGUGUAAAUGUAUAGCACAGGGCUCUAGGGCUCAAAGCUCUUGAGCUGUUUUGUGUAACAUUUAACAUUGUGGCUAGACUACUCCUUUUUUUUUUUUUUUUUCCAUAAAACGGUUGUAUUAUACCAAAGUUACGUGGCUAGACUACUACUGAUCAAGUGUUUACAACAUAAAAUAUAUUUUAUUUACUAAAUACUGGUCUCUUUCAUGUAGCAUCAUAUUUUGCUUAAAUCUCUAAUUCUUUACUUACCUAUGACCUAUGAGCUUCCAUCUUACAAGUAGGGCUGUAAAAUGAUCCGGGUGAUCCCGGGUACCCCUCUGCUCAAGUACCGGAUCAUAUUAUUUUUAGCUUGUCCAGAUUUGGGUCCGGGAUCGUUUUAUUCGGAUCUAAACCGAUCCCGGGUAUUUGAGAUUCGGAUCUGAACCGGAUAUGAUCCAGUAUCGUAUUUUCUAUUUUUUAACCGGGUAGUUUAUGAUCCAUCGAAUAUGAGCCGGAUAUGAUCCACUAACACUAAGUAUCAUUAUUAUUUCAGUUGUUCAAAUAACUAUCAUUAGUCUAAGUAAACAUAAUAUUAUAAAGUAUAAUAAUUUUAAAUUAAAACUUAUAGUUAUAUAUUGAUAUAUAUCAUUUAUUAAAUAUAUAUGAAGAUAAUAAGUAUGAUCACAUUAAAUUAAUCAUAUUUUAUGAAGAUAUAAACUUAAAUAAGAUAUUAAAAUUUUAUAAAAUGAUAACUAUUUACUUGCAAAUAUGAUGGUGUUAAAAUAUAAUAUGUAUAUGAGUUUGAAUCGAAUAUGAACCGCGGAUCAUAUUCGGUUAUUCGGGUAGGAUCAUAUUAUGAGAAGAUAUAUGAGCCCGAAUCUGAGCGGGUAUAGGUGUGCUCGUAUCCGGGAUCAUAUAUUAUACGGGCUUAAUUUUUCCAGCUGAUUUGUGUCGUUUUCAAAACGAAUAUCAGACAUGUAUCAUAUUUUCGAGCCGGAUAUGAGCCGAGACACCGGAUAGUCCGUAUCGAUUUACAGCCCUACUUACAAGCUGCUUUGACUCAACUGUUUUAGGCUCAAGCGUGUAAUUCAGGAACUAAAUAUCAUACCAUCAAAUUUUAUAUGUUUAUUACAUUAAUUUGCAUGGACUAUUGUAUUUAAUUACUUAUAUAGCUAUAAUUUAUAUGGAGUACUGAUUUCAUACAAAAUUGUAUACUUGUAUAAACUCUUUUGUUUUCCCUUGAAUUGGUUCCCUCUGUCUUUAAAAUGUGUGAACGUGCUUAUAUAUUUGUAUUGUCCCGUAGUACUCCAAGUAUUUUUACGACCCAAAAUUUUAAACUUUCUUGAGUAAUUAUGAUUUAGGUUUAUUUCUAUUAUCAUUAGAUUUUUUUUUCAUUUGAUAGUUUUUGUAUUAUAAAAUAAAAUACGUAUUUAAAUUCUACACUCUCAUCAAUUUGGAUUUAAAUUCAAUAAUGUUACUAUUUAUUAUACAUAAGUUAUUAAUAUAAAUAAAAAAUACACAUUUUUACAUUAUUUGGAAAUGGAUAUAUGCAUUUUAUAAAGUUGAAGCGUGAAAAUAAAAGUAACUGAAAUAAAUAAAUAAGUGUGUGUGUGUGUGUGUGUAUAGGGGAGGGUUCUGGUACAAACUUACAAACUUACAAACUUUUUUUGUUCAACACAUAUAUAACUUGAGUUCAACAUUUUUUAAGAUAUUUUGUUGAACAUCGAUUAAAAUUGUGUUGGAGAAAUAAGUAAACUAAUUUUUCAAUGUAAGAACUAAAUUAAACGUAUUAUAUAACUAAUAUUUAUUUUUCUAGACCCUACCCAAUAAGUUUAGUUAGUGCUUAACUAUGUAAUUAUAAUUAUAACAAAUCAUUUUUUAUGAAAGAAAAAGUAAAUGUGUUGAAUGCACGAUUUAUUUAUGCGUUAUUUUUAAAAAUCUGUUCUGUGUUGUUCUUUUUUUAAAGUGUUCUGUGUGGAGUGCAACCCUUCGUGAUGUUUUUUCAAGAAUUUUCAACAUGAAUACUUUUUAUAACUAAGGAUUAACACGAUGGAAGAAUAAAAAAAAUUCAAAAAAAAAGUUUGUAAGUUUGUAACUUAAAAAGUUUUUUAUUAAACUUUAAGCUAAUUAACCAUUUAUUAUGAAUAAUAAUAGUAUCUAGCAUGUUUAACAAUAAUUAUGGAUUAAAAAUAACAUGAUUCUAUGUGAUAUUAAUCAUGUAAAGAAUAUAUACAUGAUUCUAUUCUGGAUUCUGUAUUCGAUUCUGUUCUGGAUUCUAUAAUAUUUCAUAUUAAUAAUUUGGAUAGAUUUGGAUGUUAGAUUUCAUAUAUUAAGUUUAGUUAGUGAUUAAUUAUGUAAUUAUAAUCAUAACAAAUCAUUUUUUAUGGAAAAAAAAGUGUUAUGAUAGUGUUUCUUUUUUUAAAGUGUUCUGUGUGGAGUGCAACCCUAUAUAUAUAUAUAUAUAUAUAUAUAUAUAUAUAUAUAUAUAAAGCCAAUUUAUGGUACAAACAAUACUAAUAUUAAAAUGUAGGAAGGAAUGACACAAGCACAAGCUUGGAGUAUUUCCAUUGCUCAAAAGUUUUUAGUCAGAAAUCUAGAUAGCAUGCUAAAAAAUUGUAGAAAAUCUAUUACUUCAACGGGAAUAAACACUUAUUUGUAAUUUAAGUUAGUGGAAUCAUAUUAUUGAUUAUAUAUGCAUGUUAAAUAAUUAUAAAUACAUAUUAAAAUUUUAUAUCAUCUAGGAAUAUAUAAAUAUAACAUUACAAAAAACUCACCUAGUUUCGAAAGAAAAUUUCUGUCAAAAUUAGUCAGGCAGCAUUACGUUGAAAUUAUCUAUUUUAAAAAAAAUCCUAACAUCGAAAUUAAGGACGUCGAAAGUAGUCAAUUUAUUGAAAAUAGGUAUUUUUUGACAAUUUAUUUUCAACCGUUUAUCUUUGACAGUUUAAUUUCGACAAGAUUCCGUUGAAUUCAGUUUUUGUCGAAAAUACUCUUUCAAAAUUAAUAUUUUUUCUAAUAGUGUAAUUUAUUUUAUUAAAAACUAAAAUAUAAUGAAAAGUUAAAUUUAAGUAUAUAGACCACAACACCUCCAAGCUCAAUAAAGUUUAGUCCACUCCUUAAUUUAUACUCCCACCAUCUCAAAUUAGAUGAGUUUGUUGACUUCGGGCACACAUUUUAAAGUUAUUGACCGCAUAGUUACAUUACUUAUUUUUGAAAUUUUAUUUUUGCAAAUAAAAAUUUAAAUAUGAAAUUUUAAUUUACAAAAAAUAUUAAAAAAAAUAAAUUUCGGAACUAUUCGGUCAAUACACCUUAAAUUACGUGCCCAAAGUAGAUGGAGGGAGUACCAAUAAAGCUUUACCAAUUUUGUCAACUUCAUCAAAGAUGAUCUUAUCAUUUAAUUCGUUCAUAUUAUAUAAUUUUUUUUUGAGUUUUAGAAUUAAUAAAAAUAUGUGAAUCUCAAAUAAAAAUUAUUAUUAUCAGAUGCAUACUUGAUUAUUCACUAGAAUUAUAAAAUGUGUACUUCGUAUUCAGUUUAUUAAAUUGUGUACCUCAGUCCACCGAACAAUCAAGAAUUUCAGUCUAUCAUUGUUCCUCGAGUGAAAUUUAAUCUGAUGGGUCGCCGUAUUUUGUCCGCCAAUCUCGCCUAUUGGGCUAGCUCCUAGGAAUUUCAGUCUAUCAUUGCAGGCUUAAAGUAAAAAGUGCUCAUUAUUGGAGGCUAUGUUAGUCUAAAUGAAAUUGUCAUUGUUGAAACUCUCAACAUAUUUUUCAAGAAUUUCAAGUUGAUCAGUGAGCGUUGUAGGUGAUGAUACAAGAUUUGUUUUGUACAAGUGUGUAUUCACUGUAUUAGUGUAUUGUAAUGUACUGCAGGCAGUCUUGUUUGUGACCAUCAAGCACCGCUGCUUGGCAAGUUGAGCCUUUCAGUUGGCCUUGGUUAGUAAUUCCAUGAAUUGCUUCAAAGCAAAACUAGAGGUAUGGAAGGGCUAAAAGCAAUAGUCAAGUGCGGUGGGUACCUAAUACCUCCUUUGUCCUUGCAACCAAGAUGAAUCUUUGAGCCUCAGCGCAGUAAUAUGCAAUCUUCAGAAUAUGAGAAAGAGCUGCAGCCUGCAGUAAUAUCUUACAAUAUGCAGAUCGCAGAUUGUAUUUCAUGGCUCCAGACCCACAAAUAUUAAAGUGAGUCGCUUAUUUACCAUUCAAUGUUUUACAACAUGUGUUUGUCAGAGAACCAUUCAAUGUACUACAACAUGUGUUUGUCACAGAACAAGACGGUUGCAAUUCUAUUUGUCUAGUGACACAAAAACUGCUGGACGUGAAAAAUCCUAGAAUGAGGUACUUUUUCGCUCAAUGAUUAUCUAGCACCACCUCACCCCCUGUAUAUACAUCAAAAAUCUAAGGUUAAGCUGUCCAGCAUUUUUUUCUCCGAACAUAUACUAACAUUCGUAUGUGAAUCGGAAGCAACUUGUUUUAUAAGCAGUUCUGUGUCACCGUUUCUUAAGGCAGUUCAUUAUAAAAUUAUAUAAAAACAACGGGCUGUUGAUCAUAUUGUUAUAUAACUACAUGCUCCUAUAUCACAUAAAAAAACUCCAGGAUUUCUCAGCAAUUUACUCUGUGGGGAAUGUAAAAACAAUAGCUAGUUUAAGCAGUUGUGCGUCACUGUUUCUUAAGUCAGUUUUCAGCAUUAUAUUAUAACAAAAAAAAACUGCCUGUUAAUCAGUUAUCACCGAAUCCAAUAACUACAUGGUCCCGGAUUUGUUAGCAAUUUUUCUCUGUUGGGACGUGGGGCUUCUGUAACCUGUACUCUGCAGGAGUCUUCACAAUUUGCAAAACAUGUGGUUCAAUAUAUAAUAAUAUUAAUUAAAACAAAAAAAGAUGCGCAUCCAGGGAAUCGAACCCUGGUCAGUACCGUGGGAGGGUACUAUGAUACCACUACACCAGAUGCGCUUGUGACGAUCUAUGACCAGAACUUUACUCUUUACUCCCCUUCCGACCAUCAAGUAUCACUUUACGUCUACAAGCAGCAUUAGCUCAGAUCAAAUGCAAAGUUGAGAGAAUUUAUUCUCACAAAACACAACGUAUUGAUUCCUACUCUAUCGUUUAUUCAGUUGGAUCGAUAGGAAUAUAUGCUUAUCUGCACAUUUUCAUAUAAGCAUAUCAAAAUUUUGGUGAGAAAAAAGCACAAUAGUCAGUUGGAAAUUAGGCAGUUGAGAAAUUAAUACAGGGAAAGCUUUUGAGCACUUCGAAAAGUCGUAAUAUACGAUUCUUUAUUUAUCUGAAUUGUCCUUUCAUUCACAAGUGGGAGUCAUAGUCUGUAACGUGUCUCUUUCAUAUUAGCCUUUGGAUUCUCGCGAACUCCUGAUCUUCUUUUCUACCCGGGGUCUUUCUGGAGUGGUCAUGUGCACACAUUAAUCACUAAUUUGAUGAGUUUAGUAGAUAUUAAUUGGUGUACUUGGUGUAAAUGCAAGUAAACCAUCUUUAUAUACGAUCAGAUAACCAAUAAAAAUGAGCUGAACUCAUAGAAUUAUGUUGUGUUUGGUUGGGGUGAAUGAUUGCGGAAGAAAUGGAAUGAAAAACGAACUAUAUUAUAAGCAAUUGUUAACAAAUUUCAUUCAUUCAUCCAUUCCAUUCCUUACAUUAUGUGCUAGAGAUCAUACCUUCAAUUUGAAAUGAAAUGCUUCAUUCUAUCCUACCCCAAUUUCUUCUCAAAUCAUAUCAAAGAAAUCUUGUCAUACUUAAAUUUAUUCCAAAACUUCCCUCCUAUUUCUAUUGGUUCCAAGUAAUUUUACUCAUUUCAUUCCAUUCCAUUCCAUUCUCCCCAAUCAAACACAACAUUAGUGUUUAUUGUGUGCCCAUGAGCUAUCAUAGAAAAGCUGUGCUAUGAAAUAGAGGAAAAACGGAUAAAGGCCCGUUGGCCGUCUUAUUUUUUUUAUUAAAAUUUAAUUUACCUAAAUUUUAUUAUCAAUUUAGUUUUUGUAAAAAUAAACUUUUGAAAUGGUCUUUUUAUGAAAAAAUAUAUAUAAUAUAUAUUUUAUUCUAAAAAUAAAUUAUUAUGAACGAAAAGGUAAGUGACUAUAUAUAUAAAAAACAACUUAUCAGAAAGGAAUUUUUCUUGCUCUACAUGUUAGUGAUCGCUAUCAACAUCACUAUAACGUGUCAAAAUAGCAACUGGUUUCAAUACUCUAGAGAACUGGUCCAUGUAGAUAUAUUUUUCAUUGAUAUCGUAUUAGUACAUAAUUGGGUUAGAGCAUCUUCUAUUAUCGAAAGCGUUUAACUAAAAGAUGAGUUGAAUUAUUAAAAAUAAAAUAUUUUAAUCAACAGUUUGAAAAACUCAAUUCCAACCAUAACGAACUGUUGUUUAAAAAUUUAGCCAACCUCCUAUGGAUGACUAAAUUUGUCGAAUCUCUACAGGUCUCUAAGAAAUCUGUAGAAAGAUUCCACAUCAUUUAUUAUCAUAUUGGACUGAUAUAUUCUAUUUUAACAAUUUAAAAUAUUAAUAACAUACUAUUUUUAAAUUAUAGCCAAUUAGCCAAUACCAUUGAAGCAAAAUGUCUUACAGGUUCAGCAAAUUUUACAUAAUGUCUUACAGGUUCUAUUUAGCCAACACCGUUAGAGAUGCUUCAAUCUGUACAUUUUUCUUUCCAAUAAUAUUUAAUUAAAAUAUCAAUAUUCAAUAAACGGUAUCUUAAAUGUUGACUAGAUACUUAUAUAUUUACUCUCAAUACUCUAUAUCUCGAUACUCUAUCGUCUUUAAAAUUUUAAAUAACAUUAUCACUGUGAUAUUUCACCAGUAAAGAAAUAUCAUGUGUAAUACUCCACCCCUAAUGAUGCAUGUAUCAUAUUUUUAUGAUUAAUGAUCAAAAUAUCAAAAUUGUGAUAAAAUGUUUCUUAUUAGUUAUUAACGAUGAAUAAUUUAGUUUUUGAAUUUUUGAAAGAAAAUGAUACAUAAUAUUAUGUUUAGGUCUGAAAAUCAUACAAGACAUAAUACAAUCUAUUAUUUUAAUAUAAAACACUACGUUAAAUAGUGUCUAAUACUACAAAACGCUUAAAAAUCGUACAUUAGGAAGUAAAACAAUACUUUGAUACUGAUCCAACACCCUUAAAAAAUCAAAAUUAACUAUUCAAGUUUCAAAUCAUGAACGUCUUCUUUAACAAAGAGGUUGAAAGUUUCUCGACAAACAAAUAAGAUAAAGAUAAAGCUUAUUUUAUAUAGAAAGAUCAAACGGCUAAUAAUAUUUUAUAUGCCAAUAAUACAACACCCCUUAUAAAAAAGUGAAAAACGAAUACAUGCAAUAAGUUCUCGGUCCCACCAAAGGAAGUGUACACUUAGCUGUCCUCCACAAGUAAUAACGACAACAUCGUAAAUCGGAUUUAAUCAGAUAAAAAAUAAAAGUUAUAAAAUAAAAAUUAGAAAAAAUUCAUUUAAAUAAAUGAAAUUCAAUAAAAUAUUUAAUUAAAUGAUCAAAAAUUCAAUUAAUCCAAUAAACUACAAAAUAAAAAUUAAUUAGCGAUGAAUCAUGUUAAUAAUCAUUGGCAAAAAUAGUGACACCACAACACGUGGACCCCGCCUUCACGUGACAGUUCACCCUGUCACCGCACUCACUAACUCCAACACAAAUAAUGCACAAUUCGUCUAUAAAUAACAUCUUCAUGCACCUUCACUAUACCCUUCAAUAUCCCGGCCUAACAAAACCAUCCAAGAGUUGUUUCAUUUCUCUCGUGCCUUGUUGCCAUGAAACCUCACCACCUCUCCGGCGAUAGCUCUUUGAUUCGCGAAUCCAAGAUGACUAUCGGGGAGAAACUCCGGCGAGCGUACGCCACAACUAUGACUGUGAUGGUUGGUGACACGAAUCCUAACCAACGUGGCAAUAUUAAAAUCUCUAAGGAGAUUGAGAGACGAAACGGGAGGUCUGGUCUAGAAGAUCCUCUUAGAACCAUGAUGUUCUUAGGGUCGUGGAGUCAUACCUAGGCUUUGAUCUUUUGUAAAGAAAUAUGUGUACGUAAAAACGUGACAUGGGUUUCGGUUAAAUAUGAAAUUCGUGUUGUUUAUAAUGUAAGCUGUGGAUCACUGAUCAACUUAUGAGUUAAAAGAAUGGUGGAAAUUGGAGGGGUUUAAUCUGAUUGUACAAUUUGUUGGUUUGGAGAUCUAACUCUGUUUUCAGUUUCUCUUCUUUCUUCUCUUCUUAUAUAUUUUCGGAUCGAGUCAAUUUGUUUAUUUUUAACUAAAUCGUUAUGAAAAUAUAUAUGGUUCGAGCUCGGCUCGUAUAUGAACUUGAAUCAGAUCGGAUUUUAUUACACGAGUUCGAGCUCAAAUUGCUGGUGAGUAGUCCGACUCGAAUUAUGGGGUUUUUUUUUUAUUACUGCAAACUGCAGAAUAUUUACCGGAAUUUCAAAUUUCCGAUGAUGUUAAAUUCGAUAGAAGGUGGGCAAGAAAAAAAGUAAGUCACCUUUUUUUCUUUAGAAAAAGAUGUCUCGCACUAGAUAGGUAGGCGAAGUCGCGAAGAAAAAGUGGGCAGAGAGCCCAACAAAAGUUAGCCUGAUUGUUUGCUUGUGUAAAUAGAUAAAAUAUUUUUUUCCUCGGAACUAGUAUUUGUUUUUCAAAUAUUUUAUUAGUUUAUUUAUUUUUUAUUGCUAACCCACUUGAACAAGUAAUUAUUUUUUUUAAGUUUUAUACAAACGGUCCUGAGUUCGGGGAGAGCAGAUGGUAUAUGAAAUAAAGAUGGGCUUCUCUUCUUUUCUUUUUUUUUUUUUUUUUUUUUUUUUUUUUUUUUUUUUUUUUUUUUUUUUUUUUAAAGUAAGAUGGGCUUCACUUGUUAAUCGGCUUCAAAUUUGUAAAUAAAAUUUUAUUCUUGUGAUUAAUAAAAGGAACCGAGUUUCAUAUUUAUUGGGAUAUAAUUUCACUCAGUUAAUUCGAGGUUAGCUUGAAUAGAGUUGUCUUCCAGAUAUUAGAAUUUACAUGUCAUAUAUAAUUAACAAAUAAUUCAAAUUUAUAAAGAUAAAACAAUGAAAUUAUCAUACUAUAAAAAUAAAAAAAAGAAUUAUGACACUAAAAGUUCCAUACGUCAUCAUAUAUAAUAUAUUAAUCAUUAAUUUUUGAGAAACUCUUGUUACACAAAAUCUAAUAACAAAAACUGUGUGUAGAUUAUCAUAUUAUAAAAACAAAAACAAAAUUAUUCGCUCUAAAAAUUUUAUACAUCAUGAUCUAUAGUUCACCCCAUUAUGUUUAAUUGCGAUGGAUUGCUUUUUUGAUUCCUUGAAUUGUGCGAGUAAGCAAUCCAGCUACACACCCCCAUUCAUCACCACAUCCAUUGAUGACAUAUCGACAGCUGCAUAAACUAUUAAUGAUCCAAAUGCAUCGCUGGAUGUUUCUUGUAGUCUCAGCAACUCUGAUUUGAAUUACCACAGGAAGCAAAUUUAUGAACCAAACAUUUUAUAAAGAGCAGACAAUGAAAAGAGACCAUCUAUAUUUUUUUUUAAAAACUAAUCAAACAUUAUUAAAAUAAUUAACUCUUUUUUUAAAAAAAAUAGCUAAGUAUAAGAAUUUGAAUUAGAGAUUCUCGAACGGUGCAAACAUGUGAAAUAUACACUUGUUGAAGUUGGGCCUGUUGAUGACCCACGAAAUAAUUAAUGCAGGACCCAUACAAUGAUGGAUUAUAGGUCACUUGAGGCCCAUGAAAGGAGAAACUUGGGUUUGGAAUCUGGUACCCAUGUGCCUGAUAUGGAGGGUUGAUGUAACUGUAAGUUGUUAAAAAGGCCUGAAGUUGCCGAGAGCAUUUGUGGAUACAUUUUUCUUUCUCAGUCUUUCAAGCUUGAUGUAUAUGUCUCGAUCUUUUCCGAAUUCUUGACUAAUGUCCUACUUAUAAUAACAAGGAUUCUAUUUAAGUAAUAUAUCACGUACAAACAAAUUCUUGUCAUAUACACAACAAUUUCAAUCCAGCCAGACAAUUUUGCAUAUUUAUGAUACAUAAGUCAAUUAUUACAAAAUUUUAAUAAGCACAGAAGAUAUAUUACCUGUGGGUGAUAUUGAAAGAGAUCUGGAGCAUUUUCUUCAUCAUUUACUACAAUUAUUGAAAUAAAAAAAAUUAGAAUAACAAUACACGCUAAUUAAUUUUUUAAACAAAUUUUUUAUGAAACACAAAAUAAAUUUAAUAAAUUGACAUAUGCAAUAUGAGAGAAAAAUGAAAUUGAUUUUAGAAACUUACCUUAUCAGUUGGAAUCGAAAGAGUGAGAGAAAACUCACGGCGAUAUUAAGAACUUCAAAACUUGUACAAAUCUCAGAAAAGAUUACAAAAUUUUGGCAAGUGGGUCGACAAAUCAUUUUUAAAAUCUUGAUUUCAUAAAAACAUAACAUGUGUUUUAUCAAAUCAUUAUAUCUAGACGGUAGACUAUAGACAGAAGUAACCGGAAAAUUCUAGAUUUAGUCAGAAAAAAAAUAUAUUUUGAAGUAUGUUUAUGAAUUUGGGAGAGAACGAUGAACUAAUAAGCGGCGGAGUUGGGUUUGAAAACCUAAGGUAAACAUCGUGCAUUAUUUAUAAGCAAGAGAUUAUAUCUCACGGUCCAUAUCUUCUAAAAUUUAUCAUCCGACGGUUGUUAAUCACCUAAAAUUAGAAAGAUUAUUCUUUUAACCAAAUGGGUCCAAGGGUUGAAAUAUGGGCUUGGAUUAUAUCCAGGCCCGGUUUUGAGGGUAGUAUGGAGAGGCAACGGCCUAGGGCCCAUAAUUAAAAGGAGCCCAACAUUUUUAAGUUAUAUAAUUAUAGUAUAUAUUUUUUUAUCAGGCCGGUAGAAAAUAUUAAAAUGCAUUUAUAGGAAUUAAAUUGUUAAUAAAAUUUAACACACACAAUUUUUCUUGAGCUUAUUUGUCUUCUCCAUCUGAUACAAUAAUGAGUUGCACUCUAGAUGUUUUGAAUGGCGACAUAGAUGAUUGGCCGUUAAGAGUAAGAGUUUGUAGAUGUGGCACUCGACAAAUCCAAACACGCGAGAACAAUAUAGUCUUGACAUGAUAUUCAUGGAUGAAAAGGUUAAUAAAUUAACUGUUACGGAUAUAUGUUUGUUCUUUAUUAUUUUAUAAUGUUUGUUUUGUUCAUCGGAUAUGUUUGUUAUUGUUAAUUUUUAUAUGGUUUACUUUGUAUACUGGAAAAGAUUAUUCAUGCAACACUAUCACAAUAUCUAUUUGCUCGGUUCAAGCACCUUUUAAGUGAAGGCUGUUUAUACAACAUAAAUAAAGGUUGUGGCAAAGAUAGUUAUAGACCGAGAUCUCGUGGAUUUAAAUUGAUGUUUUUGCAUUCAAUCAAUCCAAAAAAAAGAACAAAUCACUAAUACACCUAUGCAUGGAUACAUCACGAGAUGAUUAAUGUUCGUAAAACCAGAACAUAAUGUUUAUCCCUAUUAAAAUUAGGGAUGCUUUCGAUGUUGUAUCUCAAUAUUUACGCAUCUAUGUUAAACACAACCAAAAUUAGGAUUUGUCGUGCUUUGAAUCGUUAAUUACAUGCAGAUUUUUAUUUUUAUUUUUUCAAUCAUGAAUUAAGUCUAAUUUUGCAAUUUUAUAUAUUAAUAUUGGUAUUGCAUCGAGAUGUUUAUAAUAUAAAAUUAUUUUAUUCUAUGUUAGAUAUAAUUGAUGAUUACUAAUGUUCUUAAGGUUUGUUUUAGAACAGGAAUCAUCAGAGUUUAAACUGGAAGCUGAUCAGAGUUUAGUAAAGUCUGACAGAGUUUGAUAAAGUCUGAUCAGAGUUUACAUAGUCAAGACUCGACAGAGUUUACACGUGGAAAGAGCUCAGAAGCGGAUAUACUUCAAGGAAGGAUAGAAGCUGAGGAGUGAUUUGCUGACUAUGGAAACUAAACAGAAAACUGGAGCAAUCUUUGAUUGAUAGAUUUAUUAGCUGAUUUAUAGGAUAUCAAAUCAGAGAUUGAUUUUGUAACUGUGUCUAUAUAAACACAGAUUAGGGUUACUCUAUAUGAGUUGAGUUAUCGAGUACAUUGUUAAGAACCCUAGCAGCUCUUAGUGAUACAAUAUAAAUCACUGAGAGAGUUUUUGUAACCAUUAAAGCUUUGUGAAUAUAAGAGUUUACUGCUUUCAAUCUCUUAUAUUGUCUUACUGUGUUACAGAUUGUGAUCACUAUAUCAUAUUAUAUAGUGAAUUUAUAGGACCUAACAAGUGGUAUCAGAGCCAGCUCUGUUAAGAUUACUACAGUGAGAUCUUAAACACAAUCAUGUCUGAAAAAUCACAAGCUUCAUCCUUUAGAGUCCCAACCCUUAAGGCAUCUGAAUAUCCAGUCUGGAAAGAAAGAAUGAUCAUAUUCUUAGACUCUGUUGAUCCAGAAUACCUUGACCGGAUUUAUGAUGGACCACAUAUGCCCACCAAGCUCUCUGUUGGGAUUGCAGAUGAACCUCAAAAGAUGGUUCCAAAAGAAAAGAAAGAUUAUACUCCAGAGGACAUCUCAUCUAUCAGUAAAGAUGCAAAGGUGAAGCAUCUGUUGCAUAGUGCCCUUGAUAAUGCAAUGUCUAAUAGGGUGAUUGGGUGCAAAACUGCUAAACAAAUCUGGGAUGCUCUGGAAACCAGAUGUCAAGGAACUCAGGCCAUUAAGAAAAACAGAAAAACAAUCCUUACACAGGAGUAUGAGCACUUUGACUCAAAAUCUGGUGAGUCUCUGACAGAUCUGUAUGACAGAUUUGUCAAACUGCUGAAUGACUUAUCUCUGGUGGACAAGGAAUAUGAUCUUGAAGACUCAAACCUCAAAUUCCUUCUAGCUCUUCCUGAAAAAUAGGACCUAACAAGUGGUAAGAUUAUGAAAAGAAGAUGUUUGAGGAAGUGUGUAGACGAAGAUUUUGAAUUGCAGAGAACAGAGUGUAAGAGUUUUGUUUAGAAGGUGAAUGUAGAGAGUAAGUGUAAAAUUGAAUAAUAAGCAAUAAAAUCUGAUCUGAAAAACUCUUCAGAUUUUGUUGAACUGAGCACGCAAAGGCUUUUUGUUCAAUCAGACACCUGUCAAAAUGUAACUGGUAGAUGAGUGUUAGUGGGAUGGAGAAACGAGAGUAAUAAUCAUGAGUGCAGUAAAACAUGCGCAGUAAUAAAUGCUGAUUACACGUUCUCCUAUUAAAAUGUUUUGCAUGUAAACCCACUAAUAAUACAUCCGUUUGAAACACAUUCUCUUCACAUUCUCUGAAUAUUUGAAAAAAAAAUCAAGAUCAAAUCUCUCGAAUUUUUAAACUCUGAGAUUUAAGACAAAGAAAAUAAAUUUCUGCGAACCUCAGAAUAAAGACAUAAUUUUCAGAAUAUUCAUCAAUAAAUCAGAGUUUGUUCUAAAAUCCAUAGCUCAAUAAUGUGCUUGUGAAAUGUGUGUGUGGUCAUGUUAAAUCAGAGAAUAUAAAAUUUCACAAUUUCGUAAUUAUAAGGUAGACUUUGAAUAAUUUAUUCAAACUCUCAAAACUUAGACUAAGACAUACUCUGAAGAUAAUCAAUAAAAUAAUCUACCCCCUUUUUUUUUUUUUUUUUUUUUUUUUUUUUUUUUUUUUUUUUUUUUUUUUUUUUUUUUUUUUUUUUUUUUUUUUUUUUUUUUUUUUUUUUUUUUUUUUUUUUUUUUUUUUUUUUUUUUUUUUUUUUUUUUUUUUUUUUUUUUUUUUUUUUUUUUUUUUUUUUUUUUUUUUUUUUUUUUUUUUUUUUUUUUUUUUUUUUUUUUUUUUUUUUUUUCUUCAGGACGCUUCUCAGUGUGAGUGAGGCACGACCUUUAAAUAUACUAUUGCAUUGGUAUUUCUCCAGUAAUCAGAGAUUGUGACUGGUCACCAUAGAUUAUAAAAUCUUAGCAAUUACUUAAUACCAGCAAAUGUUUGGUUCUUCCCAGUCACUGUCAUAUUAACAUCUAAGAUCUCAAAGGAGUACCAUGCUUAUUUUUCAGGGGGUUUUGUCUCAGGUAACAAAAGCAUCAGAGUUUAUAAUCACUGUCUAGUAUAUGAGAGGAAAUUUAAAUUAAUCAGUCUCACUUAUAAUUAAGAUAUGUGAAGUAGUAGAGUCUCAAUGAUAUCAACAUACAGAGUGAACCAAUGUAACACAAAANNNNNNNNNNNNNNNNNNNNNNNNNNNNNNNNNNNNNNNNNNNNNNNNNNNNNNNNNNNNNNNNNNNNNNNNNNNNNNNNNNNNNNNNNNNNNNNNNNNNNNNNNNNNNNNNNNNNNNNNNNNNNNNNNNNNNNNNNNNNNNNNNNNNNNNNNNNNNNNNNNNNNNNNNNNNNNNNNNNNNNNNNNNNNNNNNNNNNNNNNNNNNNNNNNNNNNNNNNNNNNNNNNNNNNNNNNNNNNNNNNNNNNNNNNNNNNNNNNNNNNNNNNNNNNNNNNNNNNNNNNNNNNNNNNNNNNNNNNNNNNNNNNNNNNNNNNNNNNNNNNNNNNNNNNNNNNNNNNNNNNNNNNNNNNNNNNNNNNNNNNNNNNNNNNNNNNNNNNNNNNNNNNNNNNNNNNNNNNNNNNNNNNNNNNNNNNNNNNNNNNNNNNNNNNNNNNNNNNNNNNNNNNNNNNNNNNNNNNNNNNNNNNNNNNNNNNNNNNNNNNNNNNNNNNNNNNNNNNNNNNNNNNNNNNNNNNNNNNNNNNNNNNNNNNNNNNNNNNNNNNNNNNNNNNNNNNNNNNNNNNNNNNNNNNNNNNNNNNNNNNNNNNNNNNNNNNNNNNNNNNNNNNNNNNNNNNNNNNNNNNNNNNNNNNNNNNNNNNNNNNNNNNNNNNNNNNNNNNNNNNNNNNNNNNNNNNNNNNNNNNNNNNNNNNNNNNNNNNNNNNNNNNNNNNNNNNNNNNNNNNNNNNNNNNNNNNNNNNNNNNNNNNNNNNNNNNNNNNNNNNNNNNNNNNNNNNNNNNNNNNNNNNNNNNNNNNNNNNNNNNNNNNNNNNNNNNNNNNNNNNNNNNNNNNNNNNNNNNNNNNNNNNNNNNNNNNNNNNNNNNNNNNNNNNNNNNNNNNNNNNNNNNNNNNNNNNNNNNNNNNNNNNNNNNNNNNNNNNNNNNNNNNNNNNNNNNNNNNNNNNNNNNNNNNNNNNNNNNNNNNNNNNNNNNNNNNNNNNNNNNNNNNNNNNNNNNNNNNNNNNNNNNNNNNNNNNNNNNNNNNNNNNNNNNNNNNNNNNNNNNNNNNNNNNNNNNNNNNNNNNNNNNNNNNNNNNNNNNNNNNNNNNNNNNNNNNNNNNNNNNNNNNNNNNNNNNNNNNNNNNNNNNNNNNNNNNNNNNNNNNNNNNNNNNNNNNNNNNNNNNNNNNNNNNNNNNNNNNNNNNNNNNNNNNNNNNNNNNNNNNNNNNNNNNNNNNNNNNNNNNNNNNNNNNNNNNNNNNNNNNNNNNNNNNNNNNNNNNNNNNNNNNNNNNNNNNNNNNNNNNNNNNNNNNNNNNNNNNNNNNNNNNNNNNNNNNNNNNNNNNNNNNNNNNNNNNNNNNNNNNNNNNNNNNNNNNNNNNNNNNNNNNNNNNNNNNNNNNNNNNNNNNNNNNNNNNNNNNNNNNNNNNNNNNNNNNNNNNNNNNNNNNNNNNNNNNNNNNNNNNNNNNNNNNNNNNNNNNNNNNNNNNNNNNNNNNNNNNNNNNNNNNNNNNNNNNNNNNNNNNNNNNNNNNNNNNNNNNNNNNNNNNNNNNNNNNNNNNNNNNNNNNNNNNNNNNNNNNNNNNNNNNNNNNNNNNNNNNNNNNNNNNNNNNNNNNNNNNNNNNNNNNNNNNNNNNNNNNNNNNNNNNNNNNNNNNNNNNNNNNNNNNNNNNNNNNNNNNNNNNNNNNNNNNNNNNNNNNNNNNNNNNNNNNNNNNNNNNNNNNNNNNNNNNNNNNNNNNNNNNNNNNNNNNNNNNNNNNNNNNNNNNNNNNNNNNNNNNNNNNNNNNNNNNNNNNNNNNNNNNNNNNNNNNNNNNNNNNNNNNNNNNNNNNNNNNNNNNNNNNNNNNNNNNNNNNNNNNNNNNNNNNNNNNNNNNNNNNNNNNNNNNNNNNNNNNNNNNNNNNNNNNNNNNNNNNNNNNNNNNNNNNNNNNNNNNNNNNNNNNNNNNNNNNNNNNNNNNNNNNNNNNNNNNNNNNNNNNNNNNNNNNNNNNNNNNNNNNNNNNNNNNNNNNNNNNNNNNNNNNNNNNNNNNNNNNNNNNNNNNNNNNNNNNNNNNNNNNNNNNNNNNNNNNNNNNNNNNNNNNNNNNNNNNNNNNNNNNNNNNNNNNNNNNNNNNNNNNNNNNNNNNNNNNNNNNNNNNNNNNNNNNNNNNNNNNNNNNNNNNNNNNNNNNNNNNNNNNNNNNNNNNNNNNNNNNNNNNNNNNNNNNNNNNNNNNNNNNNNNNNNNNNNNNNNNNNNNNNNNNNNNNNNNNNNNNNNNNNNNNNNNNNNNNNNNNNNNNNNNNNNNNNNNNNNNNNNNNNNNNNNNNNNNNNNNNNNNNNNNNNNNNNNNNNNNNNNNNNNNNNNNNNNNNNNNNNNNNNNNNNNNNNNNNNNNNNNNNNNNNNNNNNNNNNNNNNNNNNNNNNNNNNNNNNNNNNNNNNNNNNNNNNNNNNNNNNNNNNNNNNNNNNNNNNNNNNNNNNNNNNNNNNNNNNNNNNNNNNNNNNNNNNNNNNNNNNNNNNNNNNNNNNNNNNNNNNNNNNNNNNNNNNNNNNNNNNNNNNNNNNNNNNNNNNNNNNNNNNNNNNNNNNNNNNNNNNNNNNNNNNNNNNNNNNNNNNNNNNNNNNNNNNNNNNNNNNNNNNNNNNNNNNNNNNNNNNNNNNNNNNNNNNNNNNNNNNNNNNNNNNNNNNNNNNNNNNNNNNNNNNNNNNNNNNNNNNNNNNNNNNNNNNNNNNNNNNNNNNNNNNNNNNNNNNNNNNNNNNNNNNNNNNNNNNNNNNNNNNNNNNNNNNNNNNNNNNNNNNNNNNNNNNNNNNNNNNNNNNNNNNNNNNNNNNNNNNNNNNNNNNNNNNNNNNNNNNNNNNNNNNNNNNNNNNNNNNNNNNNNNNNNNNNNNNNNNNNNNNNNNNNNNNNNNNNNNNNNNNNNNNNNNNNNNNNNNNNNNNNNNNNNNNNNNNNNNNNNNNNNNNNNNNNNNNNNNNNNNNNNNNNNNNNNNNNNNNNNNNNNNNNNNNNNNNNNNNNNNNNNNNNNNNNNNNNNNNNNNNNNNNNNNNNNNNNNNNNNNNNNNNNNNNNNNNNNNNNNNNNNNNNNNNNNNNNNNNNNNNNNNNNNNNNNNNNNNNNNNNNNNNNNNNNNNNNNNNNNNNNNNNNNNNNNNNNNNNNNNNNNNNNNNNNNNNNNNNNNNNNNNNNNNNNNNNNNNNNNNNNNNNNNNNNNNNNNNNNNNNNNNNNNNNNNNNNNNNNNNNNNNNNNNNNNNNNNNNNNNNNNNNNNNNNNNNNNNNNNNNNNNNNNNNNNNNNNNNNNNNNNNNNNNNNNNNNNNNNNNNNNNNNNNNNNNNNNNNNNNNNNNNNNNNUCGGGUCGGGAUCGAGCGGGGCGGGGUNNNNNNNNNNNNNNNNNNNNNNNNNNNNNNNNNNNNNNNNNNNNNNNNNNNNNNNNNNNNNNNNNNNNNNNNNNNNNNNNNNNNNNNNNNNNNNNNNNNNNNNNNNNNNNNNNNNNNNNNNNNNNNNNNNNNNNNNNNNNNNNNNNNNNNNNNNNNNNNNNNNNNNNNNNNNNNNNNNNNNNNNNNNNNNNNNNNNNNNNNNNNNNNNNNNNNNNNNNNNNNNNNNNNNNNNNNNNNNNNNNNNNNNNNNNNNNNNNNNNNNNNNNNNNNNNNNNNNNNNNNNNNNNNNNNNNNNNNNNNNNNNNNNNNNNNNNNNNNNNNNNNNNNNNNNNNNNNNNNNNNNNNNNNNNNNNNNNNNNNNNNNNNNNNNNNNNNNNNNNNNNNNNNNNNNNNNNNNNNNNNNNNNNNNNNNNNNNNNNNNNNNNNNNNNNNNNNNNNNNNNNNNNNNNNNNNNNNNNNNNNNNNNNNNNNNNNNNNNNNNNNNNNNNNNNNNNNNNNNNNNNNNNNNNNNNNNNNNNNNNNNNNNNNNNNNNNNNNNNNNNNNNNNNNNNNNNNNNNNNNNNNNNNNNNNNNNNNNNNNNNNNNNNNNNNNNNNNNNNNNNNNNNNNNNAUUAACCUUUUUUAAAGAAGGUUUCAAUUGAUAAUAAUCAUAAUACAAACUAUGAUAUUCUUUGCAAGUAUAAAUAGAAUGCCAUAAACUACCACAAUGAAAACAUGGAUCUUGUGGUUUAUAUCUAAUACUACUUUUUCUAACUCCAGACUUUGUAGGUAAAGAGUUAAUGUCCUUGUUCUUCCUGCAAAAAUUAAGCAAGAUGAUUAGUAUUACCACAGUUAUGGCAUGUCUUCCUAGGUGCAUUUGGAACAGGCAUGUAGUUAUUACUCUUGUCUAUACCAAUCUUGCCAUUUCUAUUUUUCCUAGGCUCCUUGUUUUUGUCAUCAGACUUUACUUCUUUAAGCUUAUGUUUAAGCUGUUUCUGAGUCAUCAGUCCUAUGUUAACCUGUUUGGGCUUAUCAGAUUUUAAAUUGUUGUUAAUCUCUAAUUUUGGUCUACUCUGUUUAGACUUAGAGGAUUCAACAACAAAUUUAACAGGUUUAACCUUAGGUUUUUGAGUUUUAACAAACUCUGUUUUUGAUGACUCAGCUUCUGAGUUAUCAGUGUAACCUAGUCCCUUCUUCCAGUUUCCACUACCUAAGAUAUCCUGAGUAGUUUUGCCUGAAUUAGUCCAUGUUUUUAUGAUCUCCCUUUCCUUAGCAAGUUCUGAUUGAAGAGAUGCAUACCUCUUUAAUAAUUCAUCUUUGACAAUGACAGCAUCAUCUCUUUCUUUCUGAACUUCCAACAUCUGAACUAAUUCUUUUUCUAGAUAAUCAUUCCUUUUCUUUACACUUAGAGUUUCAGAUUUUAAUCUUUCAUUUUCUAAAGUCUGAUCUCUAAAGCUGAUAUGCAAAGUUUUAAGAAACAAUCUUAACUCAGUUAUAUCUUCAGUAUCAAAGGCAAGAGUAGAAUGAGGUACCUUUGCAGUAGAUUCAGAGUUGUUGUCAGUGUUUGCCAUCAGAGCAUAAUUGACUUCUUCCUCUGAAUCAGAUGUAUCUGUCCAGUUUCCUUUCUUGGUGAUAAAGGCUUUUUCUUUUUCCUUCUUGGCUUUCUUGCAUUCAGAUGCAAAGUGACCUUUUUCACCACAGUUGAAACAGGUAUACUUGUCAGCUUUUCCAGCUUUCCCUUCCUUGCUCUCAUUCUUCCUAAGUUCUUCUUAUCAUAAACUCUGUCAGAGUUUCUGUCUUUCCUUGAAAACUUUUGCCUUUGUUGAACUUUUUGUAGGCCAACUUCUUGAAGCUUUUCACCAUCAAUGCUGCUAACUGCAUCAUCUCAUCAUCACUUAUGGACAUGCUACAGAUCGGGUAUUCUCUGAUCUAUUCUACUGCUUUUGAUUUUGGUAGAUUAGUUCUUAGAAAUAUUGGUGAAAGAAUGCUUGAAAACAGGAAAGUCAUAUAUUUCUCAAGAUUUUGUCAAUUGUUGUUUAAUGCCACUGUUGGAGAAGUGGAUUUUGAUGCUGCAGAUGAGAUCAAACCUUUUAAACUUCAUAAAAGGGCUUUUAAGGAUCUCAUAUCUAAAGAUGAGAAGAGACCAGUUCUCAGGCCUCUGCAAAUCCCAGCUCCAUUCAGGGCAAGGCUGAAUCUUCCUCAGGAACAACAACCACAGCCUCAACAACCUCAACCACAACACCCAACCUCUCCCACAAUCAUCAGAAAACAAAGAUCAUCAACCACAAAACCAUCCAAAUCUACAAAGUCUGAUGACCAACCCUCUACAACCAAAACCAGAACCUCUGUUGAUACACAAGUUCUAAAGACAAAGUCUAAUAAACCAGCAAACUACUGAUGCUGCAAACUACUGAUAAUGUCCACAAUGAAGACUGCUUCUCCUCCAAAGCAGAAGAAAAGAAGAAGACUUGUUGCAGCAUAUGAAUAUGAUGAUCUAGAAACUGCACAAGUUGCAAACUCUGAACCUACUCCAACAACAGUCUCUGAACCUGUUCACACAAGUCCUCAGAAGACAGCAAGAUUCAAGUUACGGGCUCAAAAACCUGCAAAGGCAAAAAUCCCAGAAACUGACAUCACAGACUUCACUGUUGAGGAAGACCAAACACCAUCUACCACACUACCAGAAACUUCUCAAGCUCUGAUGGUGCUUCCUAUUCAAACUGUUCCUCUGAUAUCUCCUACAGUAUCUCCUACAACAUCUCCUAAAGCAUCUCCUACAGCAUCUGCAGUAGAUGAAGAAAUAGAGUGUGAUGCACAAGCUACAACUGAAGCUGGAGCAAAUUUGUCUGAUUCUCAAACUCCAUUAUCUGAUCAUGGUCCAAUUCCUCAAUCUCCAAUGAAAAUUCCUGAGGAUGCCAUUGUUCAUGAUACAGCUCCAGAGAACUACAGGUCUGAUGUAGUUGAGGAAACUGACAAAGUAGCUGUGGAAGCUUUACAAUCUCUUGCUCAGACUGGUGAAAAGCCCAUCAAGUCACAGUCUGAAGCUCAAGAAAAAUCUGCUCCGGAUAAUGUGGAGAAAGUUGCUGAUCCUGUUCCUGAAGAUGAAAAAGCAAACUCUGAUACUGAGGAUGAUGCCAGUUCAGAUACUGCCAAGGAUGAAAAUGAUGGAGUUCCUCUGACACAACAGAAGUGGGAGUCAACUAGCCAGUACAAUGCCAGGCUACAAACUCUGAACACAGACUCUGAGCCACUUCCCAGGGAUCUUCAGGUUGAUCCUCCAACUGAAGUAUGGGAUAAACUCUGGUUGAGUCACCAGCAUUCCUUGGAAACACCUAAAGCUGAAGAGUUCUUAUCUAUGGCAGAGAAGAAAAUUACAAACUCUGAUGUUAUGUCAAGCCUCAAGGGCACAAUUCUAUAUCUGAAGACAUUUCAUCCUGCUCAUGCCCAGACAUCUAAAUCAAUAGAUGGUCUAAGAACAGAGGUGGCAAAAGUCAAGGAGACAAAUGAACUGGAAAAGAAAAGGACCAUCAAUCCUAUGAAAGAAAAUGUACAGAAGCUGGUGACUGCAAAUGAAUCUCUGGACCAAAGGAUGACCAUGAUUGAAUCAAAUCAAGAAAAGAUGUCCAAACAGCUUGAAGCCAUUCAAACUUCACUUUCUCUGAUCACAUCAAUUCUGAUACCUGAUGAGGAUGAUGUCAAAAAGGGGGAGAGAGUAGCUAAAGUCAAAUGCAAGUCUACUAAUCAAACUCUGAAGAGAAAGAAGAAGGAUGAUGAUGAUGAUGAUGAUGAGGAUGACUUCACAAAGCACAAGAGAUUUCAAGCAGGAACUGGUGGAAGAGUUUCAAACUCUGACAGUCAGAAACAAUCUAAGCAAAGCACAAAGUCUGGUCCAACUCACAACAUCACAUCUGGAUCUAAGCAAAGACCAGUGACUGGAUCAGACAAACCCAUGACUGAUGAAGAGCUUGCUAGAUUGGUUUUUGAACAAGAAAAUCCAGAAGCAAAUUUGGAUUUGGAGUUGAUUGCUGCAGAGGAAGCUGAGCUGAAAAAGGAACAUAUUGAAGCCAUAAACUCUGGAAAGAUCCAAAAGCCUGCAAAGUCAACUACCAAGCCAAAAGAAAAAGGAAUACUGAUCAAGGAAGCUACUGUUGCUGAUCAGAGUUUACCAGUCAAAAAGGUAUACUCUGAAGAUGAAUACACCUCCAAGGGUAAAAGCAAAGUAGAUGAAAAUCUGGAGAAAGGCUGGGAAAAGAAGAAGCCUACAACCUCUGACAAGGAUCAAGUUGUGAAGGAAAAGAAAACAGAAGCUGCAAUCUCUGACAAAGCUCAUGUUGCAGAACCUCAAAAAGAAAGAUUGACCUCUGACACAGCUCAAGUCAAUAAGGAAGCAAAGAAAGACACAGUCUCUGACAAAGCUCAAGCUGUGUUCAAACCAACAACUACUCCACUGGCUGGAUUUGCAAAGCCUACUCUGAUGACUGAAAUAAGUUUUGAAAAAGGAUCAAUUAAACCAUUUUCUCAUCAAAAGGCAGGAAGAGAUAAAGGAGGGCUGGGAUCCAAGUAUGAAAAAUUUGAUCAGAGUAUAGGAUCAAGACCAGAUGACCCCUCAUCUCUCUGUGCUCCCAAGACUGGAGUAUUGCAAGACAGGAUGGACAAACUUGAUUCAGUCCAGUUGGUAAAGAAUGACAGAGGAGAUAAUAUCCUUAUCUACUUCAUGUCUGAUGGAACAGUGUUUAGAGUACUUGAAGCAGAUCUAUAUGCUAAACACUGGGAAGAAUUGAGAUAUGUAUCAUACAUAUUUCAAGUAAAGAACAAGUCAGGACAACACAUCUCCAACCUGCUAAAAGAUCAAAUCAGAAGAAAGAUGGGGAUUACAGGAAACAAAAAUGCUGGAUCUUUCAUUCCUAAAUACCUCAAUCAUAAAGGACAGCUGGUGGAGAUGAAGAAAAAUUCAGCAAAGAUUGAAACAAUAGGUGGAAUCAGAACUCUUGCAUUUAUUGAAGAGUCUGAUAAAGCUUACAAUAUCAGGCUGGAUAGGGACUUGAAGAAGAACAAGAUUUAUGAUCUCAGAGCUGCAAUUUAUCAAACUGGAGUUUCAGAUCCAGAGCUGAGAGAGAUCAAGAGACAAAUGAUUGCAGUGCUCGAAGAAGCUGAAAAAAAACUCCUCAGAGAGUAUCUAAAGACAGCAAAUGGUGUCUAUGCAGCUAAGGAGUAAAGUAUCUGUAAGUUUUAAAAGUUUUCUGUUAUAUAGUUAAACUCUGUUGCAUUUGACUUAAAUGUUUUGACAUCAUCAAUUAUCUGUUAACUUGCACAUAACUUAUUCAUGCACAAGUUGGGGGAGAUUGUUAGAUAUAAUUGAUGAUUACUAAUGUUCUUAAGGUUUGUUUUAGAACAGGAAUCAUCAGAGUUUAAACUGGAAGCUGAUCAGAGUUUAGUAAAGUCUGACAGAGUUUGAUAAAGUCUGAUCAGAGUUUACAUAGUCAAGACUCGACAGAGUUUACACGUGGAAAGAGCUCAGAAGCGGAUAUACUUCAAGGAAGGAUAGAAGCUGAGGAGUGAUUUGCUGACUAUGGAAACUAAACAGAAAACUGGAGCAAUCUUUGAUUGAUAGAUUUAUUAGCUGAUUUAUAGGAUAUCAAAUCAGAGAUUGAUUUUGUAACUGUGUCUAUAUAAACACAGAUUAGGGUUACUCUAUAUGAGUUGAGUUAUCAAGUAUAUUGUUAAGAACCCUAGCAGCUCUUGGUGAUAGAAUAUAAGUCACUGAGAGAGUUUUUGUAACCAUCAAGUUUUGUGAAUAUAAGAGUUUACUGCUUUCGAUCUCUUAUAUUGUCAUACUGUAUUACAUAUUGUGAUCACUAUAUUAUUAUAUAUAGUGAAUUAAUAGGACCUAACAUUCUAUAAAUAUUAAUUUUGAAUCAUUAAUAUAAUUUUUAUCGGUUGCCGCAAAUUUAUUUUAUUUUAUAAAUUUUAAUAUUAGAUUAUUAAUAUAAUUUUUAUAAUCCGCCGCAACGCGCGGCUUCUCAGCUAGUUUGUAAAUAAAAAUUUAUUCUUGUCAUUAAUAAAAGGAACCGAGUUUCAUAUUUAUUGGGAUAGAAUUUCACUCAGUUAAUUUGAUGUUAGCUUGAAUAAUGUUGUCUUCCAGAUAUUAGAAUUUACAUGUCUUAUAUAAUUAACAAAUAAUUCAAAUUUACAAGGAUAAAAUAAUGAAAUUAUCAUACUAUAAAAAUAGAAAAAGAAUUAUUCACACUAAAAGUUCCAUACAUCAUCAUAUACAAUAUAUUAAUCAUUAAUUUUUGAGAAACUCUUGUUACACAAAAUUUAAUAACAAAAACUGUGUGUAGAUUAUCAUAUUAUAAAAACAAAAACAAAAUUAUUCGCUCUAAAAAUUUUAUACAUCAUGAUCUAUAGUUCACCCCUUUAUGUUUAAUUGCGAUGGAUUGCUUUUUUGAUUCCUUGAAUUGUGCGAGUAAGCAAUCCGGCUACACACGAAGAGUCUCCCCCAUUCAUCACCACAUCCGUUGAUGACAUUUCGACAGCUGCAUAAACUAUUAAUGAUCCAAAUGCAUCGCUGGAUGUUUCUUGUAGUCUCAGCAACUCUGAUUUGAAUUACCACAUUAAACAAAUUUAUGAACCAAACAUUUUAUAUGUUGGAAAUAUUAAACUAUUAGCGCAACAAUGAGGCAGUUAUAUAUCAGGAAUUAACAAGAACAGGCAAGGCACCAAAUAACGAAACAAUACACGAAGGCAAAACAGAAAUAUAAUCAGUACCUUAAAUCGACAAGAAAAGACAGAAAUCACUUAGCUUGCAAAGCUUUAUCAAAUACUGAUCAAAAUCAGAAUCACAGCUGAGUCGCCUAGCCCUUGAAAAGCCUAGACUGUUCUUGAAACGAUAAUUGCCCCACUUACGCUGUGUUGGGUUGCAGCAAUCUCGCCUCCAGGAUAAAACAGCUCAGAUCAACUCGUUCACAGACACGCAAUUAAUCAACAGCGACCUGACCUCAGUUCGCCCAGAAAACCUAUGCAAUCUGUUCUGUAUGUAUUAUUGUAGAGAGAAAAUAGAGAAGAGUAGCAGCUAGGGUUUUUUUUUGUAUUUUUGUUAUCAGUGUAUCUCACAAAACGUUUUGAUUCUGUAUAUAAUACAAAAUAAAACGUAACUGAAGAUAUGGCAUUAAUUACAAUAAAUAUUCUGACUUAAUGCAUUUUAUUUUAAUUGAAUAUAUUUCAGUACAUUCACCACUCAGGGGCACGUACAUUCACCACUCUGGGGCACGUACAUUCAGCACUCAGGGGCACGUACAAUCACCGCUCAGGGGCACGUACAUUCAGCAUCCUGGGGCACGUACAUUCAGCACCCUGGGGCACGUACAUUCAGCUUAAAAUAAAAUUAUAAGUCAUGAUUUAUUUAAUUAAUUAAUUCAAGCUACUAACUUCAACUCAAUUUAUUUAUGGAUUACACUAAGAAAAUGUCUUAGAUCCAAACAUGAAAGUUUAAGUCCUCAUUACAAGGAACAACCUCCAACUGUUAGAUUAAGGUAAUUCCAUCAAGAACCCAUACAAAAUGAGUCUUAAACUUACCAUUUUCUAACAAUCUCCCACUAAUCCAUACAGAAAUGCAUAUCAGAUUUUAUCAUGACUUGUUUUUCAGAGUAGGUACCCUUCCGGGUUUGAACCCUCCUAAGUCCUCUACUUCGAUGGCUACCGGAUAUAGAUGGAAUAUUUCACCUUGAAUCUUUAUCCGUUUGGUGUAACCACACUCCAUAGACGACGACAAGUCAAAGGCUAUGGUACAGAUCUACGGCUUUGAGACGUUAAUGGUCGUGUCUCGAUCCUGUUCGACGAAUGUUUCAAGGAAUAACCCAUUCCUCUAAUUGCGACCACACAAUUACAUUCGCUUAGCUGGGCAUCUCCAAAGAUGUACUGCUAACAUCUCGUCAAAUGACUUGACCCCAUUCAGAGUUUUAAAACUCUUGCUAUACAUGCAGUAACAGUACCUUUUAAGGUUUCCAGGGGAUAGACUCAGAUACACAAGUAUCUAGUUAUAUGUAGUAAAGGUACUACCGAUCCAUCCUUACAACUUGUUAUUACCACAUUGAAUACACUUUGAGGGAUCUCCUCUCAGGUGUAUUGGGUUCCCGCUGUAGAUGAACCAUGAUGGGUUACCAGUCCCAUCCCCAACCUCGACUUAAGGACUACAGCAUGCUCAAGCCCCUUAGUCAACGGGUCAGCUAUAUUAUCCUGAGUUCCAAUGAACUCUAUAGCUAUAACCCUAUCAGAAACAAGACCCCUUAUAGACUUAAGUCUAACUUGGAUGUGUCUCUUUGUCUUAGCGUUAUACUUUACACUUCUGAUCUUGUCAAUAGUUGUACGGCUAUCACAAUGAACAGAAAUGGCAGGAAGCGGUUUGCUUACUACAGGUAACAUUGACAUCAGUCCAUGUAACCAUUCAGCCUCCGUCCCCGUGGCAUCCAAUGCACACAACUCAGCCUCAAAAGUAGACCGAGUAAUCAAAGUCUGUCUAGAAGACUUCCAGGACACAGCUCCACCCGCUAGGGUAAACACAUAUCCAGUCACUCCAUUGGAACCGGAUUUCUUAGCUAUCCAACUUGCAUCACUGUACCCCUCGAGUACCCCCGGAAAUCUCCGGUAAUGCAAGCCAAGAGAAAUAGUUCCCUUGAGAUAUCUAAGAACUCUAUCCAGAGCCUCCCAAUGAGUCUUGUUCGGACAGCUUGUAUAUCUGGCUAACUUAGACACAGAAUAAGAAAUAUCUGGUCUAGUCACGUUAGCAAGAUAUUGCAAACUACCAAUAAUCUGAGAAUACCUUAACUGAGACACAGGUACACCUGAACUAUUCUUGACAAGGGCCACUUUAGGAUCAUAGGGUGUACUUGCGAUUCUACAAUUUGAAUAACCAUACUUCUCAAGUAUAGAUUUCUCUAUAUAAUGAGACUGUGACAAGGUUAUUCCAUCAGUUGACAGUGUUAACUUGAUCCCAAGAAUCAUACUAGCCUCACCCAUAUCCUUCAUCUCAAAGUGCCUUUUCAAGAAACUCUUUGUCUCGUUAAUAAUCGCAAUAUUGGUUCCAAACAACAAAAUAUCAUCAACAUAUAGGCAUACAAUCACACAUUCAUUUCCUCUAACCUUAUAGUAGACGCACUUAUCACUUUCAUUAACUAAAAACUCGAAUGCUAAAACAGUUUCAUCAAACUUUUUAUGCCAGUCGAUAGGUGCUUGUUUAAGGCCAUAGAUGGACUUGACUAGUUUACAUACUUUCCUCUCGUUACCGGAAGCAAUAAAUCCUUCAGGCUGAUCCAUGUAAAUCUCUUCUUCAAGGUCACCAUGAAGAAAAGCAGUCUUUACAUCCAUUUGAUGGACGAUAAGACCAUGCACAGAAGCCAAUGCUAUAAGCAUUCGGAUGGUUGUCAUUCUAGCAACAGGAGAGUAUGUAUCAAAAUAGUCUAUACCUUCUCUUUGCCUAAAACCCUUAGCAACUAGCCUCGCCUUGUACUUAUCUAUUGAGCCAUCCGGGUUCAACUUCCUCUUGAAGACCCACUUACAUCCUAUAGUAGAACACCCAGGAGGGAGAUCGACUAACUCCCAUGUUCCAUUAGAAACAAUAGAGUCCAUCUCACUCUUUACAGCGCCUUUCCAAUGCCUUGACUCCGAAGAGUCCAUGGCUUGACGGAAAGUUAAAGGUUCAUCCUCGACAUUGUAAGUGAGAAAGUCACUUCCAAAGUCCUUGACUACCUUUGCACGCUUACUCCUUCUAGGUUCCUCUACUUCGUUAGGAGUAGAGCUACUACUAGGAUUCGCCCCCACAUUUGUCAUCUUUUCCACAUGAUCGGGAAUAGAACUCGAUGUGAGAGUCGGAUCAUCCUCAGAAUUACCCUGAGGUAUACCAGUCUUCAUAGGGAACACGUCCUCAAAGAACGUUGCAUCACGAAACUCAACUAUCGUAUUAGCCACAAUGCCGUCUAUGUCAGAUUUUAUAACUAAAAAUCUCAUAGCGGUUGUGGUCUCUAGAUAGCCCAAAAAGAUACAAUCAACAGUCUUAGGCCCUAGUUUCUUUCUCUUGUGUUCAGGUACAAGUACCUUUGCAAGGCACCCCCACACACGAAGAUAAUUCAAACUAGUUUUACGUUUUCUCCAUAAUUCAUAUGGUGUCUUAUCCAUGUGUUUCAAAGGGACCCUAUUCAGAAUAUGGCAAGCCGUAUUCAGAGCCUCUCCCCACAUGUAUUUAGGCAACCCCGAAUUAAUCAACAUGCUGUUAAUCAUAUCUUUAAAAGUUCUGUUCUUUCGCUCUGCCACCCCAUUAGACUCAGGUGUGUAUGGUGGAGUAACCUCAUGAACUAUACCAUUGCUUGCGCAAAAUUCAUUAAACAAGUUACUUGUAUACUCACCACCUCUAUCAGAUCUCAAACGUUUAAGUACUUUGCUCGUUUGUGUUUCAGCUUCAUUUUUAAACAUAAUGAAUUUUUCUAGUGCUUCAUCCUUAUGUUUAAGCAAAUAAACAUAACAAUAUCUACUAUAAUCAUCUAUAAAGGUAAUGAAAUAUCUAUAAUGAUCCUUAGUCAAAACACCACCGAAUUCACAUAUGUCUGUGUGAACUAAAUCUAACAAUUCAGAAUCCCUAACAACAUUAUGAAAAGGUUUCUUUGUUUGUUUAGCAGUCACACAUACUUGACACUUAGAUUUCUUAUCAAUGGAAUGCUUUGGAAUCAACUCUAAAUUCAUCAUAUUCUUUAGAGCACCAAAAUUUAAAUGACCAAGUCGUGAGUGCCAUAAAUCAGAUGAUUCAACACAAUUAACAGAAGGAACAUUAAUAAAACCACCCAAAACGGGUUCCACAUUUAUCAAAAAUAAACCAUCCGACAAGUAACCCUUGCCAACAAAUGUACCAGUUUGAGUAAUCACAACUUUAUUACAUUUAAAAGAAAGUUCAAAGCCAUUUUUAACUAAAUAGCUUCCACUUAUAAUAUUUCUAUGAAUAGAAGGAACAUGAUGCACUCUAGUGAGGGUCAGAACACGCCCAGAAGCAAACUUCAGGUCCACGUUUCCAAUUCCUAGCACUUGAGCAGCACUUGCAUUCCCCAUUCUCACUGUCACUCCAUGACACUGUUGAUAAGAUACAAAAAGAGUAAUAUCAGCACAAAUAUGCACAUUAGCUCCUGUAUCAAUCAACCAUUCAUGAGACAGAUAAGCGGAAAACAGUUCAGGGUUGUAGGCAACAUACCCGUCAUUGGUUUCAGAGGCAACAACCUCACCAACAACCAUGUUAGCCACAGGCCCACUCGUGGUUCCAAGCACAGUAUUAUCCUGAGCUACCACACCAGCUUUCUUAGCUUUCUUCAUGGGACAGUCCUUGCUCCAAUGACCAACCUGUCCACAAGACCAACAUGGCUUGUUUGCCUUUGGUUUCUUAGCCUGGUUCUUGUCCUUCUUAGGUUUAUCCUUCUUAGUGACAGAUUUCCUUUUCUGUCCUACAGUUACUACGUUCACCUUCGAACUACUCCCAUGCUCAGCAGGCAUCACAUGUCCUUGUUUGGACUUGUGCUGCUCCUGCACAGAGAUGUCCAACAUCAGAUUAGUCCAAGUGAUCUCUCCUUUCUGUCUUUUCAGGGAGAGAGCAAAUUCUUCCCAAGACUUUGGGAGUUUUUCAAUCACGGACAUAACCUGAAACUUUUCAGGCAGGUCCAUUCCGGACUCCUUCAAAGCAUGCACCAACAUCUCAAAUUCAUGCACCUGUUCCGUCAUGGAUUUUCCAUCCACCAGCUUGAAAUCAAGAAACCUCGCCACACUAUACUUCUCAAGACCUUGAGAAUCAGUAUUGUGGGUUUGGUCCAGCUUCUCCCACAAAAGCUUAGCAGUAUAGGCAUCCGAUGAAUAUACAUCGAAUAGAGUGUUCGCUAACGCUGCCAAAAUAGCAGCCCUAGCCACCCCAUCCUUUUCAGCCCACAAAGCAUAAACCUUUGCAGAAUCAGCCUUCUCUUGAUCCAAAACAGGAGGAUCAUACUGCACCACUGGCCAUAAGCCCUUAACCGUUAACCAGAGCGUUAACCAGAGCUUCAUCUUUUUCUGCCAACGAGAAAAAGAAGCCCCCCCACUGAAUUUAUCAGGCAUGCCUGAUAAAUCAAUAGGCUUAGGGAAACUGUACGUAGCCCAAUCAAUGGUAGCAGUACCACCAGAACCAGAACUAGGAGCACCAACAACAGUCACAGGAGUUUCAGUUUCGUUAACCAUCUUGCUAAUAACUAUAUAACACAAAUUAUCGUUUCAAGAUUGUUGGAAAUAUUAAACUAUUAGCGCAACAAUGAGGCAGUUAUAUAUCAGGAAUUAACAAGAACAGGCAAGGCACCAAAUAACGAAACAAUACACGAAGGCAAAACAGAAAUAUAAUCAGUACCUUAAAUCGACAAGAAAAGACAGAAAUCACUUAGCUUGCAAAGCUUUAUCAAAUACUGAUCAAAAUCAGAAUCACAGCUGAGUCGCCUAGCCCUUGAAAAGCCUAGACUGUUCUUGAAACGAUAAUUGCCCCACUUACGCUGUGUUGGGUUGCAGCAAUCUCGCCUCCAGGAUAAAACAGCUCAGAUCAACUCGUUCACAGACACGCAAUUGAUCAACAGCGACCUGACCUCAGUUCGCCCAGAAAACCUAUGCAAUCUGUUCUGUAUGUAUUAUUGUAGAGAGAAAAUAGAGAAGAGUAGCAGCUAGGGUUUUUGUUUUGUAUUUUUGUUAUCAGUGUAUCUCACAAAACGUUUUGAUUCUGUAUAUAAUACAAAAUAAAACGUAACUGAAGAUAUGGCAUUAAUUACAAUAAAUAUUCUGACUUAAUGCAUUUUAUUUUAAUUGAAUAUAUUUCAGUACAUUCACCACUCAGGGGCACGUACAUUCACCACUCAGGGGCACGUACAUUCAGCACUCUGGGGCACGUACAUUCAGCACUCAGGGGCAUGUACAAUCACCGCUCAGGGGCACGUACAUUCAGCACCCUGGGGCACGUACAUUCACCGCUCAGGGGCACGUACAUUCAGCACCCUGGGGCACGUACAUUCAGCUUAAAAUAAAAUUAUAAGUCAGGAUUUAUUUAAUUAAUUAAUUCAAGCUACUAACUUCAACUCAAUUUAUUUAUGGAUUACACUAAGAAAAUGUCUUAGAUCCAAACAUGAAAGUUUAAGUCCUCAUUACAAGGAACAACCUCCAACUGUUAGAUUAAGGUAAUUCCAUCAAGAACCCAUACAAAAUGAGUCUUAAACUUACCAUUUUCUAACAUUAUAAAGAGUAGACAAUGAAGAGAGACCAUCUAUUUUUUUUUAAAAAAACUAAUCAAACAUUAUAAAAAUAAUUAACUCUUUUUUGAAAAAAAAUAGCUAAGUAUAAGAAUUUGAAUUAGAGAUUCUAGAACGGUGCAAACAUGUGAAAUAUACACUUGUUGAAGUUGGGCCUGUUGAUGACCCACGAAAUAAUUAAUGCAGGACCCAUACAAUGAUGGAUUAUAGGUCACUUGAGGCCCAUGAAAGGAGAAACUUGGGUUUGGAAUCUCGUACCCAUGUGCCUGAUAUGGAGGGUUGAUGUAACUGUAAGUUGUUAAAAAGGCCUGAAGUUGCCGAGAGCAUUUCUGGAUACAUUUUUCUUUCUCGGUCUUUCAAGCUUGAUGUAUAUGUCUCGAUCUUUUCCGAAUUCUUGACUAAUGUCCUACUUAUAAUAACAAGGAUUCUAUUUAAGUAAUAUAUCACGUACAAACAAAUUCUUGUCAUAUACACAACAAUUUCAAUCCAGCCAGACAAUUUUGCAUAUUUAUGAUACAUAAGUCAAUUAUUACAAAAUUUUAAUAAGCACAGAAGAUAUAUUACCUGUGGGUGAUAUUGAAAGAGAUCUGGAGCAUUUUCUUCAUCAUUUACUACAAUUAUUGAAAUAAAAAAAAUUAGAAUAACAAUACACGCUAAUUAAUUUUUUAAACAAAUUUUUUAUGAAACACAAAAUAAAUUUAAUAAAUUGACAUAUGCAAUAUGAGAGAAAAAUGAAAUUGAUUUUAGAAACUUACCUUAUCAGUUGGAAUCGAAAGAGUGAGAGAAAACUCACGGCGAUAUUAAGAACUUCAAAACUUGUACAAAUCUCAGAAAAGAUUACAAAAUUUUGGCAAGUGGGUCGACAAAUCAUUUUAAAAUCUUGAUUUCAUAAAAACAUAACAUGUGUUUUAUCAAAUCAUUAUAUCUAGACGGUAGACUAUAGACAGAAGUAACCGGAAAAUUCUAGAUUUAGUCAGAAAAAAAAUAUAUUUUGAAGUAUGUUUAUGAAUUUGGGAGAGAACGAUGAACUAAUAAGCGGCGGAGUUGGGUUUGAAAACCUAAGGUAAACAUCGUGCAUUAUUUAUAAGCAAGAGAUUAUAUCUCACGGUCCAUAUCUUCUAAAAUUUAUCAUCCGACGGUUGUUAAUCACCUAAAAUUAGAAAGAUUAUUCUUUUAACCAAAUGGGUCCAAGGGUUGAAAUAUGGGCUUGGAUUAUAUCCAGGCCCGGUUUUGAGGGUAGUAUGGAGAGGCAACGGCCUAGGGCCCAUAAUUAAAAGGAGCCCAACAUUUUUAAGUUAUAUAAUUAUAGUAUAUAUUUUUUUAUCAGGCCGGGUAGUAAAUAUUAAAAUGCAUUUAUAGGAAUUAAAUUGUUAAUAAAAUUUAACACACACAAUUUUUCUUGAGCUUAUUUGUCUUUCCAUCUGAUACAAUAAUGAGUUGCACUCUAGAUGUUUUGAAUGGCGACAGAGAUGAUUGGCCGUUAAGAGUAAGAGUUUGUAGAUGUGGCAGUCGACAAAUCCAAACACGCGAGAACAAUAUAGUCUUGACAUGAUAUUCAUGGAUGGAAAGGUUAAUAAAUUAACUGUUACGGAUAUAUGUUUGUUCUUUAUUAUUUUAUAAUGUUUGUUUUGUUCAUCGGAUAUGUUUGUUAUUGUUAAUUUUUAUAUGGUUUACUUUGUAUACUGGAAAAGAUUAUUCAUGCAACACUAUCACAAUAUCUAUUUGCUCGGUUCAAGCACCUUUUAAGUGAAGGCUGUUUAUACAACAUAAAUAAAGGUUGUGGCAAAGGUAGUUAUAGACCGAGAUCUCGUGGAUUUAAAUUGAUGUUUUUGCAUUCAAUCAAUCCAAAAAAAAGAACAAAUCACUAAUACACCUAUGCAUGGAUACAUCACGAGAUGAUUAACGUUCGUAAAACCAGAACAUAAUGUUUAUCCCUAUUAAAAUUAGGGAUGCUUUCGAUGUUGUAUCUCAAUAUCUUUUAGAAUUUUACGCAUCUAUGUUAAACACAACCAAAAUUAGGAUUUGUCGUGCUUUGAAUCGUUAAUUACAUGCAGAUUUUUAUUGGGAUAAAUAUCAAAUAGGUGACUCGUUUCGUCCAAAUAUAUCAAUUGAGUUACUGCUUUCCAAAUUGACUCAAAUUAGACACUCAUUAAAAAAUUUUGUAUCAAAAAUUUCACUCUAUCGUUAGUCGAAAUUUUGAAAGUAUUAUAUAUUGAGUUUCGCACAUUUUAUAUAAAUGGUAUUACAUCCAAAUGAAAGAUUCCGAGUCCUAAUAUUUUCUCUAAUAUUUUUAGAUUUUUAAAAUUUUAUCAACUAUUUAUUUUUAAUUUUUUGAUUGUUUUAUUUGAUUUAAAUAAAAAUAAAUAAAAGAUAAAUUUUUAAAAAUCUAAAAAUAUUAUCUAAAAUACUAGAACUCAGAAUCUUUCAUUUAGAUGCAAUACCAUUCAUAAAAAAUGUGCGAAACUUAAUAUAUAAUACUUUUAAAAUUUCGACUAACGAUAGAAUGAUAAUUUUGAUACAAAUUUUUCUAAUGAGUGUCUAAUUUGAGUCAAUUUGGAAAUCAGUAACUCAAUUGAUACAUUUGGACGAAACGAGUCACCUAUUUGAUAUUUAUCCCGAUUUUUAUUUUUAUUUUUUCAAUCAUGAAUUAAGUCUAAUUUUGCAAUUUUAUAUAUUAAUAUUGGUAUUGCAUCGAGAUGUUUAUAAUAUAAAAUUAUUUUAUUCUAUAAAUAUUAAUUUUGAAUCAUUAAUAUAAUUUUUAUCGGUUGCCGCAAAUUUAUUUUAUUUUAUAAAUUUUAAUAUUAAAUUAUUAAUAUAAUUUUUAUAAUCCGCCGCAACGCGCGACUUCUCAGCUAGUUUGUAAAUAAAGAUUUAUUCUUGUGAUUAAUAAAAGGAACUGAGUUUCAUAUUUAUUGGGAUAGAAUUUCACUCAGUUAAUUUGAGGUUAGCCUGAAUAAUGUUGUCUUCCAGAUAUUAAAAUUUACAUGUCUUAUAUAAUUAACAAAUAAUUCAAAUUCACAAGGAUAAAAUAAUGAAAUUAUCAUACUAUAAAAAUAAUAAAAGAAUUAUUCACACUAAAAAUUCCAUACAUCAUCAUAUACAAUAUAUUAAUCAUUAAUUUUUGAGAAACUCUUGUUACACAAAAUCUAAUAAUUAACAAAAACUGUGUGUAGAUUAUCAUAUUAUAAAAACAAAAAUAAAAUUAUUCACUCUAAAAUUUUUAUACAUCAUGAUCUAUAGUCCAGCCCUUUAUGUUUAAUUGCGAUGGAUUGCUUCCUUGAUACCUUGAAUUGUGCCAGUAAGCAAUCUGGCAACACACGAAGAGUCUCCCCCAUUCAUCACGACAUUCAUUGAUGACAUGUUAACAACUGCAAAAACUAUUAAUGAUCCAAAUGCAUCGCUGGAUGUUUCUUGUAGUCUCAGCAACUCUGAUUUGAAUUACCACAUGAAGCAAUUUUAUGAACCAAACAUUUUAUAAAGACUAGACAAUGAAGAGAGACCAUCUAUAUUUUUCAAAAUAACUAAUCAAACAUUAUUCAAAUAAUUAACUCUUUUUUUAAAAAAAAUAGCUAAGUAUAAGAAUUUGAAUUAGAGAUUCUAAUAAAACGGUGCAAAAAUGUGAAAUAUACACUUGUUGAGGUUUGGCCUGUUGAUGACCCACGAAAUAAUUAGGAGUCUUAUAGGUCACUUGAGACCCAUGAAAGGAGAAACCUGGGUUUGGAAUCUGGUACCCAUGUGCCUGAUAUGGAGGGUUAAUGAUUGUCAUAGUAAUUUUCACCGAAACCAACGUGAAUGGGUGAAAAACCUGGUGGGGGAGAAUGGGUCUUCACAUAAAUACUGUUUUGGAUCUGUGGCUGUGUUGGAUUUUGCUGAUUCGAGUUGUUAAAAAGGCCUGAAGUUGACGAGAGCAUUCCUGGAUACAUUUUUCUUUCUCGGUCUUUCAAGCUUGAUGUAUAUGUCUCGAUCUUUUCCGAAUUCUUGACUAAUGUCCUACUUAUAAUUAACAAGAAUUCUAUUUAAGUAAUAUAUCACGUACAAACAAAUUCUUGUCAUAUACACAACAAUUUCGAUCCAGCCAGACAAUUUUGCAUAUUUAUGAUACAUAAUUCAAUUAUUAAAAAAAUUUAAUAAGCAUAGAAGAUAUAUUACUUGUGGGUGAUGUUGAAAGAGAUCUGGAGCAUUUUCUUCAUCAUUUACUAUAAUUAUUGAAAUUAAAAAAUAUUAGAAUAACAAUACACGUUAAUUAAUUUUAGAACAAUUUUUUUAUGAAACACAAAAUAAAUUUUAAUAAAUUGACAUUUGCAAUAUGAGAGAAAAAUGAAAUUGAUUUUAGAAACUUACCUUAUCAAUUGGAAUCGAGAGAGUGAGAGAAAACUCACGACGAUAUUAAGAACUUCAAAACUUGUACAAAUUUCGGAAAAGAUUACAAAAUUUUGGUAAGUGGGUCGAGAAAUCAUUUUAAAAUCGUGCUUUCAUAAAAACAUAACAUGUGUUUUAUCAAGUCAUUAUAUCUAGAUGGUAGACUAUAGACAGAGGUAACCGGAAAAUUCUAGAUUUAGUCGGAAAAAGAAAAUAUUUUGAGGUGUAUUUAUGAAUUGGGAGAGAAUGAUGAACUAAUAAGCGGCGGAGAAUGAUGAACUAAUAAGCGGCGGAGUUGGGUUUGAAAACCUAAGGUAAACAUCAUGCAUUAUUUAUAAGCAAGAGAUUAUAUCUCACGGUCCAUAUCUUCUGAAGUUUAUCAUCUGACGGUUGUUAAUCACCUAAAAUUAGCAAGAUUAUUCUUUUAACCAAAUGCGUCCAAGGUUGAAAUAUGGGCUUGGAUUAUUUCCAGGCCCGGUUUUGAGGGUAGUAUGGAGAGGCAACGGCCUAGGGCCCAUAAUUAGAAGGAGCCCAAAAUUUUUAAAUUAUAUAAUUAUAGUAUAUAUUUUUUUAUCAGGCCGGGUAGAAAAUAUUAAAAUGUAUUUAUAGAAAUUAAAUUGUUAAUAAGAAAAAUGGGAAAAAAAUAAAAGCAAUUGAGAGGUAUAAGAAGUUUUAGAUAUAAAAGAUUAAAAAUUGAUACAUAAGAAAUAUUAGAAAAGUAAAUCAAUCCAACACACCCAAUUUUAUUUUAUCACAUUAACUCAACACGCCUCUCGCCUUCUCUUUUUGUCUCCAUCGUUCUGGUUUCUACCCGCCAUUAAGUGUGAUUACCUUCGAAAAAACAAACCGUUGUAAUCAUUAAAUUUCUUAGAAUUUUGAUCUAUUCUUAACUAUGAUAAUUAUUUUUUUCUAUCAUUUGUAAGCUUUAGCAUCAAUGAAUUGAUGUUAUUCAAAAAUUCUGCACUUGAUAAUUCAACAGAUUUUUUUUCUCGAAAAUUUUAUUAUUGGCGUCGCUUUACCAAAGAUGGUUGAUUAAUUGAUUAUUGUUCUAUUGGACAAUUUCAAUUAUUCAAACAUCUUCAAUCUUGCAAUUGGUUGCUUCUUGUCUAAGGUGUUUUCAUUUCAUUUCCUACUUUUUGUGUCAUUUUAUUUAAAUGUUUAAUUUACUUUUUUAUACUAUAUUUUCUAAAAACAUUUACAUAGAAGUGCAAAAAGGGAAAAGAGGUAACUUGAGGAAAAUUAAAUUAAGAAAAAGAUAUAAUUUAUGUUUUUAUCGUUCAAAUAAUUUAGAUCUAACUCCAAAGUUCACAAAGUUGAUAGUUUGAACGAUGUGACUAUAAAGAUGCGAAAAUUAUACAAAAAAUCAAAUUUUCACCAGAUAUAACGACUUGUUAAAUAGAUACAUAACAUAAGUACGAUGAUAAAAUCAUAAAUUUUAAAUUAUAAAUGUCAUUGCAAAAAUGAUAUUACAUUAUUUUAACUUUCAAUUGAAAUAAAAACUGUUGAUAAUAUCAUAUUCCCGAGAUUAUGGAUAAUGAAAAAUAUUUAUAAAUAUAAUAAUUGAGUUGAACUUAUAAAUAAAUUCUCUAGUAUGAAUUUAGAAAUUAUUUUAAUGAUCAUUCAAAUAUUAGAUGGAUUAAUGAUAUUCGAAAAUUUUAUGCUAUAUAGUUAGUGUUUGUGUCCCAAAGACAACAAUAUUAUAUUUUAGUUAAAUAUAUUUGGAUUAUUAAUAAAUAUGUUCAAUCGAUUAUUCUUUAUUUAGUAUGGCUUUAUUUACUAGUGAUAUAAAUGUUAGAUUAAUAAAUGUCCUUGAAAUAUGAUAUGUGUUUCAUAUCUUUAAGUACGUUACCUGGAAAUGUGAUUAUGAGAAUAAUAUUGUUAUUUCUAAAGGUCCCUAAUCGAGUAUAUUAUAAGGGGCAAUAAUAAAUGCAUAUAAAAUUUUAUGUUUGUUGAUGGAUGAUCACAUUUUAUUGAUCAUAGGUAUAGUCGUACAGUGAUACUAAUUAAAGUCGAAAAUAUGAGCACAUAUAAAGGUGGAUAUAUAGUGUUGGAUUGACUUGACAUGAGAUUCUACAUGUUAAAAGUGUUACAAUUGAAAUAUUAUAUUUCUAUGCAAGAACUAAUAUAUUUUAAUUACAUUAAAAGUUAUCUUCAACCAGGUAAUGAUAAAAGUGUAUACUUGGUAUAUUAUGAAUCGUAUGAGAAAUAUGAAUAAUCUAGAUGAUAUUUACCCUUUUAUAUAUUAGGAGUGAUAUUAUUGACCUUUUGUUUGAGUGAGACCAUGAAAUACAUGAUCAUGCUCAAAUAUUGAUUUGAAUAAGAUAGUCUAUACUUCGAUCAUGAAAAUCUAAAUUAAAUUAUGAAACUGACACAAAACUUGCCUCGAGUUUAAUUUAUAAUAUAUGAUUAACGAGAUUAUAUUAUAUGAAAUAUUAGUCACGAAAUGUUUAAUCGAAUCACUGAUUUUUUAUUAUUUGGGUAGCAUUGAUAUAUUACCAGAUGCGGCUCAUUAGUUACUAUUUCAAAUUAGAUUUAAAAUUUGUUUUCAAUGUAAUAAUAAUAUAUAGGAUCACACAUAAAGAACUCUUAUAGGAUUAUUUAAUUAACAUAUAGAUUCAAAUUAAAUUUAAGUAAUUCGAAUUAUUUAUUAAUUUAUAACUUAAUUAAUUUGAUAAAUAAUGAUAUUCGAAUUUACAAAUAUUAAUUCGUAAUUUACGGGGGUGUAUUCGAUUGGGAUUUUAAUGGAUUGUUUUUAGUGUAUGGAUUUUAUUGGAUUGUGUGUGAUUUUGAUUUUGCGUGGAUUCUUGGUAAAAUGUCGCAGAGUUUAUAAGAUUUAAGCACAAUGCUUCAAAAUCCCAUUGAUUUUGGUGGGAUUUCAAAAAACUUAAAAUACUGAAGAAUGCCACAAAAUCCAUCAUUUUAUGAAAUGCAAAAAAAUCCAUCAGCAUUUGAAUACCAUCAGAUUUUAAUGGAUUUUAAACAAUCCCAAUUGAAUACCAUUGGAUUUUAAAGCAUAAUUUAAAAUCUCAAUUGAAUACCACCGGAUUUUGUAGCAUGAUUUAAAAUCCCAAUUGAAUACCUCAAGAUUUUAUUGGAUUUCAAACAAUCCCAAUCGAAUACCCUCGGAUUUCAUGAAUGCAAAAAAAUGCUUUAAAAUCCCAAUCCAAUACACCAAAAAAAUGCUAUAAAAUAAUUAAGUGAGACUUUAUUAUAAUACAUAUAUACUUUUCAGAUUAAUAAUAACUCAUAAUUAGUUAGGAUUUAUGAUUCAUUUUUCUACUCAUAUAUAAUAUCUCAUGUGGCCUCUGUUCUAAAAGUCGGUGAUUAAUCACGAUUAGUCACCGAUUAAUCCUUGUUUCAUAACUCAUCGAACUGAUUAAUUCUCCGAUUAAUCACCGAUUAAUCCGAUUAAUUUCCGAUCAAUUCAAUUAAUCCCUGAUUAAUCCUUGUUCCGCGACUUCACCGAUUAAGUCCGAUUCCCGCUUGGCUGAUUUUUAAGUGAAAUUUUUUUACAAAAAUCUUAGCACCAAAAAAGAAGAGAUAUAAAGGAAGAAGAAAAACGAUUUUAUUCCAGUACACAUUCUAUCUUUUUUUUAGCAUUCUUGUGGACAUUGAUAGAGCAUAGAUUGCGAGAGCGAGAUGCUAGUGAUUGAGCAAGAUUUGGGUCUCCAUAAUUAGUCUUCCAUUAAUGAAUUGUUAAACCUUCUUUGAUAUAAAGUUUCUAACCAUGAGUUAAGUAUUAAUUGAGCAUGUUUUCGUUGCGUGUAGAUGCACGAAACCCUUCACACACACAUACACAUACAUAUAUAAUUUUGCUACAAACUACUAAAUAGAAACUAAAAUAUAAAUCAAUGAUUUUAGAAGGAUGGAGAGAUUUGUAAUCUUCGAGAAUGGACCCCGAAUCGGGUCUCGGCAAGACCUAGAUGGGGCACAUUGAGCGUGGGUGGGAUUUAGUGGAACAUGGUGGAGUCAAGUAUUGGUUCUAUAACUUGUCUAGAGCACCUCUUUAAUCACUACGGAGUACGGAGUUUUGGUGAGACUUUAGAGGAUCCGAGAUGAAUUGAGUAAGAUCGAGAGUAUAUUCCGGAAAAGCGACGGUGGAAGAUGACAUUAGGGGGUGGGUGAUGUCAUAUAAAACUUGAAUCUCUUAUUUGUAUUUGAUCAUAUAAUUCGUUAGCGGUAUAUAUCAUAUAUUUGGACACUAUUUUUAUCCCAGAUUCAAAUAUUUACAAUAUAUCAAACCAGAGUAAAGUCUAUGCCCCCAAAGAAAAAGGGUAAGGAAAGAGAAGGCCAUGAGGCCCGAGAGACUCCGAUCACUAUUAACUAAUAAUGUGGUGACAGAAAUACAAUUUAAGGUCGGGCCAGAUUUACAUAACUUUCAAAAGAUUAUUAUAUGAAAAUUGUUUAUGUGUCUUUUUUUAAUUAUAUGAGUAUUUUUAGUGUGUGUUGGAACGAAAAUUUGUUUAUGUUUCUUCGUUUGUAUUGGUAUUUUUGAUGUCUCAUUUAAUUGUACAUAAGAAAAUUCGUAAAUUAUAUGAGAAAAUAAAUCGUGGAAUACUAUUUAGUACCCUGAUCAUAUACAUAUUACUUUCUGUAUUAGUAAUGUUCGAUAAUAUUUUUUGUUGAUUGUCUUUUAAUGUUUGUUCGUGUUUAACCUUAGAAAAUAUUAUUUCUAAACAUCAAGUCUUUGUGUUUUGCCCGUUGAUAUUAAGCUUCAAUUCCUAAUAUAUGAAGAGAACAACCUCAAAUUACAUAUUUAAGCAAAAUCAAUGUUUAUAAACAUUAAAAGUAAUAAAUGGUUUAAAGAUGAAAAAUGAGAUUAGUAGUAAACAGAUGAGGACUCUAAACAGUAGAUAUAUUAUAUUGAUUUGAUUGCAAGGGGUUGAAUAACUAGCAAUGUAACAUAUGAGAUUAUUGCAACAGACAUGAUCUCCAUAGCAAAACUGCAGAGUUAAGCUGAUCAUUACUGAUAAUUAAAGUCAUCCUACAAUAUAAAUUAGCAGUUAAUAGUAUUAGAUUACUUAUUCAAGUCUCUCUUUCUUAUGCCUUGCACUGAUGCUUCACAUAAUCACAUUCAAGGGGUCCAUGUAGGAUCCCUGGGGCUAAAGAAGCGAGCCUUCACAUUCGAAUCGAGUAGUUUGAGUGCAGCCGAGGAUUUGAUGCAUCUGGGUGUUUUGUACUGAUUAAUGGAACCUCCUUGGUUGAUAAAAAAAUCCAUCAGUGACUCGAAAGUCCCUGGCUUCACUACACGGAUCUCAAGCGGUCCAAUGGACUUAUCAUUGGCGCGACAACGCCUGUAGUUGUAGUCCAAUUCUUCCUCAACUGCAAUGCAGCAAUCUUCGAGGACGUUCAGAUCGAGCUGGUUAGUCAAAAUCUCAUUCAUGGUUUUAUUUUUUACUAGAGAUGAUGAUAAUGCUGAUGAGCAUUGUAUUAUUUCCCAGUAGAUAACAUAGUGACCGGGGACAGAGGACGUCUCUGCAUAGCUAGUGUACUCUACAAGCAGAGCAUUGUAUGGUUCUAGGAGCUUUUUGGCCACAGUAAUGCUCUUGUGAAGGUCUUCUUCGUUGGUUUUGUCAUUGUCUAUGCUCAGAACAACAUUUCUUCUGCAGAUGAAGCGAAAUUGAGGGGCUUUAUUGUGGAAGCCAGUCACUUGCAGCACAUCGCCAAUUCUAUAUCGAUUUAGUCCUGAAUCAACCAAACAUAAUCAAUAAGUAUUAUUAGAAUAUAAUAUCAGGUUUCGGGAGAAUUGAUCAUUUAACAUGGUAUCAGAGCUCAGGCUCACGGGAAAAUUGAUAAAAGUAAAGAUGCUAUUACAUACCAGAAAAUGUGGUAACCACUAGUUCAUAAUAACAACCAAGUUUAACAUCCACUAAGCCGAUGAGCUUACUCUGCGGCACCUCUUCAUCUUCAUCCACAUCUAAAACAAGUGUCCCAUUCACUCCCAGAGGUAUGAAUUCAAAGUAGCCCAUGUUAGGCAACAGAGUAAACGAAACUUUAUCCGGUGAACACAAAGGCUUCAAAUUCACACCAAAAUAGCACUCUGAGGAAGCGUACAUGGGACAAACCAGUGGCAAUUUCUCAUUACUAUAGUACUGCAGAGAUGGUAUAUAUUGUGCCAUAGAGCCUGUGACAACAGCUUCAAUGUACUUAGCUUUAGGCCAAAGCUGACAAAUUAUGCCCUUCCAUGAAUCCCUGCUACAUAUGGCCUCGAUUUCGUCUGCCAAACGAGGGUCUGGCCUUAAUAGGAUUGCUGACAUAGCAGUCCUGCAUUUAGGGUCAGUGACCUCUGUAGGGUCUACUUGACCAUCCCUUAUGUCAUUGCAUAUAUUCAUCCAUUUACGUUUAAGAAAAGAGAUGGCUAGAAGAAAGGCGGUUGCAAAAACAGCUCCGAGGCGUAGGACUUGGUUGCGAUGAACUAGGCCAGCUAACAAUUGACAGUACAUGCUUUGGUUGCUGUCAUUGCAGAGAAUAGCUUCAUCAGGGCUUGUGAAAUCAGUGUAGGGAUCGCGUGACCGGAAUUUGAAGUGCUUGCUUUUGUAGUAGCUGGUGAGGACAGUCGGAGCCGGUAAGCCACAAGGGGUGGACAUCUCGGCCUUGACAAAGUAGAGGAACAUGGCCUUGCCUUCAUCAAGGCCUGUAAUGUACCUGAAAUCAAACCAUGUAAACUCAUGUUGAUUGCAUGUCUAAGGACUGAGGUUGUAACAUUAACAAGAUCUAAUAAGAGACACGGGAACAAGUGUCCUCGGAAAAUUUAAAAUAUACACAUGUUUUUCAAAUAUUUGCUUGGUAGCCCUUUUGUUUCAAAAAAUAUUUGCUGGGUAGCCUCUAAUUAAACAGUUCUAGAUCGCCCUGAACAUUAGCAAGGUGGAAUCUUGAAAGUAAAAACUAAUUAGAACACUGGAACUUAAUACUUAUACCAAUAGAAAGAAAACUUGCCAACAGUUGAUAUGGCCGAGUUGGUCUAAGGCGCCAGAUUAAGGUUCUGGUCCGAAAGGGCGUGGGUUCGAAUCCCACUGUCAACAUUAGCUUUUUCUUAGUAUUUUUUAUGUAUGGGAUCGAUUUUUUUUCUUUUUUUUUUUUUGUUUAGGCUUUUCAGGUGUAAGUUACUUUUUAAAUUCCUUUCUUCAUGUAAAAACCUGCGAAAUGGACAAAGAUAAACGUAUUCUCAACUCAACUGAUUCAUGAUAGGCAUGAUGAGGUUAUAAAGAAAAGUUCUGCGAUCAAGAUCUUCUUCAAUAGAGGGCAUCAGCUUCGGCUCUCCAGCAGACGUGCCCGAGCUGCAAACAUACACAAACUAACUUUAGCCUGUACAACUAACUUUACGACAGACCGGACAAGACUUGCGUCUAGGACCCGACAUUUAACCGUCGCAAAAAUAAAAUAAAACAUGAUACAUAAAGGUAGAGUGAGGGACCUGCACAGCAUCUCAGUGAUGGGAUGAGCAGUAAUGAGAGAAGAGGCUUCACCAUUGGCAAUCCUCUGAAUGUAAGGACGGAUGGCCUUAUACGUGAUCACAGGCACGCUUUUCUUGAACUCCGAGAUAUCUUUCGAUCCAAACAAGUACUUGUUCAAGUACUCAGUCUCGCCAUUUCUUGUUAAAAUCUCUCUGAGCAGGUUCUCUUGAACCUCAUCGGCUUUUCGGGUCAGCUUGUCGAGCUCCUUGAGUGCCUUGUCACCUUUGUACUCCAGCUUCUUUCCAUCCAUUUUGUGUAUGUUUAGCUGAGAAUGAAGAAGGUGGGUAAACAAGUAGAGAUGAUCAGGUAAGAAGCUGAUUUUUAAGUGAAGAAUGGUUGAAUAGUUUAAGAAGCCUUGUGGUGCUCUAUAUAUAGAGUUUUGUUAGGGUGUGUUCAGUAAAUUGCUGCAGUGGAAUCACUUAUAGUGCCAUAUGUUAUAUUACCUCGAUCUCACUUAUUUAUAUAUAUUUUUUUCGCCGCACAUAUUUUAAUACAUCUAUGACCGGUCAAGUAUAGGUUUAUAAUUUUAUUUAAUUAUUCAGUAAAAUAAAUUUUAAAAUUAGAUUAUGAAAUCAUAUUUUACAAAAAUAUUAAAAUACGUAUCAUAUUCCCAUCCUUCAAUAUAUAUAUAAUAUAUAUAUAUAUAUAUAUAUAUAUAUAUAUAUAUAUAUAAUUCGUGGGACGGGGAUGGAGUCUUUUGAUAGAAUGAGAUUAAUUUUUAGACCAGUGUGUCAUGCUUCUUGAUCUCAUAUUGAAGUAUAUGUGGCUCCCCUAGGUACCCUUACAAUUAAAUUUCAGUAACGAACUGCUGUUUACUCUGACAUAUAUAUGUUAAACAGGUCGGACGUCAAAUUUUGAGAGGUACCAAAUAAAUUAUAAAAAGACAUUUAUAUAUUUUAAAUUUUGUGAGACAUUUUUAUAUAUAAUUUUGUAAAGUUUAAAAUAGUGGAAAAGAAAUUAUAAAAUUAAAUUUUAUGAAGGACGUGUCUCUUCCUAGAUAUGCCCCUAUUCCGAGUACCAAUGUUAUUGUGAGAUAUGAGAUCUAAUCUCAGCCACACGUUUUAUAUCUUAUAUCAAUCUCUCACCUCCCAUUAAUUUUUAAUAUUUAAAUAUUUUAUCACCAUCUUCAUUCUAAUUCCACCACCUUCCACCACCACCUCCAGCGACCAUCGUAAAAUCACCACCGGCAAACAUAAAAUCACCACUGUCAAACCGAAAAUCACCACGAAAAACUAAAAAUCACCCCUGGAAAAAUAAAAUCCACUGUCAUAAAAUGAAAAUCACCACAUCACCACCACCAUCUACAGACCUCCACCACCAUCUACAAACCCCUAAAAAUGAAAAAUCACCAACUACAAAGCAAAAUCAGCACCAGAAAACAAAAAUCACCACCGUAACAUUAAAAAUCACCACUAGAAACGGAAAAAAUCAACGUCGCCAACUACACACACAAUGUCUACGGACAAUUCAUCAUCAGACAAGAUGAUAUACCAACACAGAGACAUGAAACUCCGCAUCUUGGAAGCGCGUUCACUCCCAAACAUGGACUUAAUCACUCCCAAAUCUCUCUCCGCAUCUCUCUCAUUUCCUACCGCCGUGCUCCCUCCCCCGUCGACCGUAAGAUCGGCCGCCAGCGUAAGAAAUUAUUAAGAGAGAAAGCGGAGGGAGAGAAACCGUCGGUGGAAGGUCGGGGAUGAAGGCAGGGUCGGCGAAACGACGGCGCCCAUCCGCGGAGAUGUUGGGGAGACUGCUGCAGAUCUGGUGGCGGCGACACCACAACAGUUGUGUGGAGAAAGAGGGAGAGAUAAGGCAGUGGUGGGUGGUGUGGGAGGUGAAUGGAAGAGCGAUAAAAAAACAAAAUGGGGCAGCUAGCAGCAAUGAAGAUACUGGAAGAAAUAAGGGGCUCAGAUUAAAAGUUUUUAUAUAAAAUGGAGGGUUGAGAUUAGAUCUCAAAUCUCACAUUAAUUGGGGUUCUCAUUUGAGCACUUGCCUAUAUAUAUAUAUAUACAUACUCGAUUUAUAAGUUAUUAAAAAAAAUCAGAUACAAUCACAAAUCAUGAUAUAAAUUAGAUAAUUGUCGUCUUACUUGUUAUAAAUUUAUCAAAAAUUAAUAUUUUUAUCCGUCAAUAUAUAGAUUAAUUUAUAUUUUUACGCAUUAUGGCUAUAUAAUCACGCAGAAUAUAUGCAUUAUACAUGUAGUUUAAAGUGUAUACAAUAAAGCGAUAAAUAUUUUCCGCUUUAUAUAUUUAUUUGUUACCUUACGUGAGACAUAUUUGUGUGAUCGUGUCAAUCAAUAUAUUCCUCCAACUUGUAGAAGCAUCACUAAAAGCCAAUUUGCCAAUCGAAUUAAAGCAAUAUGCCUAUGCGCAUAUAUGCAAUCGACUACUUUGUAGUUUCUCCUAAGACCUCACUCGAAUACUUUCGAACUUCAAUUAUAAUUCAAUUAAUUUUAAACAGUUUAUUAACAAGAUCAGACCUGACUCAAAAUAAAAAAUUCGGAAAUUAUUUGUUAGAUACUGCUAUAUUUGAGUGAUAUCAGAAUUCAAACUCGACACGAAUCGUUCCGCUACUGAAGACGACGCCUUCCCCGGUUUAUCACAGCGCUAGGGUAUUCUAGAUGGCCACUAUCUAAUAGACCUAUAGACGUAUUGAGAUUGUGAGUUCUGAGUAGGGUUCGACAUCAUCAUGGAUAAAUGUGAGUACUGCAAUCGUAAUUGCAAGUACAUAUUUUCUUUACGGAAUAAAAAUUAAGUCCUGUCCACAUCUUUCAAUCCUGAUCAAGUGAAAUCUGAAAAAGAAAAUGCUUGUGAUGUGUAAAACAUAAUAUCCGAUAGCAACCCUAGUGGUCAUCAAUUUUUCCCUUGAAAAAAAGCAGUGAAUGUCCGUACUUAGCUUGAUUAAUCAGGCUCUAAUCACUUUUUAUCAAAGUGUAGAUUUAAGUAGACCAAGAUUACGGACGGACAUCACCAGAAAGUCACUUCACUUUAACAGAAGCAUGGUACUCCCUCUGUCUCUUUAUUCUUUUCCCAUAUGGGAUGUCGGCACUGUUCAUAACAUGAGACAAAUUAUUAAUUUACAUAUAAUUUAUAGAACCAAAUAUAGCCAUGAGUGAUCUUGUUAGAUUCGUAUUUAUGAGUACUUUAAUACGGUGAAAUUUUUAUAUUUAAUAUUAAUACAAAAUUAAAGAUAUUAAUGAUUAAAAAUGUGUGUUGGCAAACGUGUCGAAGGCAAACAGGAAAAGUAUUAAGAGACGGAGGGAGUAGUUGCAUUUAUAUUCUGAAAAUGAGGUAGAAAUAAAUUAGAAACAGGAAAUUUUGCAAACUGGUAUACAGAGGGAAUAUAUUUAGUAGCUAGAGAUAUCGAAUAAUGAAGAGAGUAGCUAGCUAGCUAGCUAUAGCCUCUAACUAGGUUAGAAUUUAGCCACCACAGGGAUGAGAUUGGAGCUACAAAUAACGGAUUGAGGGAGUAAUAAUCACAGCCAUACAAAAAAGUUCGAGAUAUGUAGGUGCACAGGAAAGAAAUUCGAGCUGUUAGUCUCGUGGCACAUGCUAACACUAAAAUUUAUAUGUUUGACUGAUUUUAUUUGGCUGCUAUUUCACAAUAAUGAUAGAUACUCUGCAAAUACAAUAACCACAUUAAUCAAAAUGAGCCAAAUAUAUAAAUUAAGAUCAAUAUUACCUCGGUUAAAAUUUAAAAUUUUAGAUGGAAGGGUUUUCAAUAUAGUAUUGAGCAAGGAGGGUAUUACUUGUUGGGCCGCGCAACACCCAUUUGUUUUCGGGCUCCUCCCAAAAGGCCUCAUAGUAAUGGAGUUCUUUAGCUGUUUAUAUUCAAGAUAAAUUUUCUUUAUCUUUCCGACGUGAGACUUAGGUUGAACCCACUCAACAUUACUUUGCGCUGUUCGACCUUCUUCUAACAUUUUAAGAUUGUAGAUAGACAAAUUCUCUGUCAGGCCAGUGCUACGUAAACUAGCUACUGUUUGUAUAGCGUCUGCAGAAUCUGGAAUGGACCUAAGAAAAAGAAAAAGCCAAGAGUGCUGAUGCUUUUGGUCGUUAUCCACAUCUCUAAAGUAGGGCUGUCAAAAAAAUCCGAAAGAUCCGAUAUCCGUCCGAAAAAUCCGUUACCGUAUCCGGAAAAAAGCGGAUAUAAUCCGUAUCCGGAAUAAAACGGAUAUUAUCCGUAUUCGAAUCCGGAGUUUGCGGAUACGGAUAUGGAUAUAGGCGUAUCCGUAUCCGAAAAUAUCCGUAUCCGAAAUUAUUAUUAUAUGUAUAUAAUAAUACUUAUAUAAAUUUAUUAUUUACUUAUAUUUUUUAUUUUAUCAUAAAGAAUUAAUAUUUAAAAUAAUAGAAAUAUUAAGUAUCUUGCAAAUGGAGAAAAUGGAACUAUCUUCAUUAAGCUUUUUCUUUUUAAAAUUGUUGCAGAUAAUGUUGUUUUGUGAUUUUAAGUUGGUAAAAUUAAUAUUUUGUUCGAAAUAUUUGGCCUGAAUGCCCAAACUUCUGUUAAAGUAUGUUAUUAAUUUCUGACCAGGUAUACAUUUGCUGUUGAACGGUUCAAAAUAUGUUUUUUAAUUAAUCUCAGAAUGUAUAUUUGAUUUUUGGUGAUGUUUGAAAAAGCGGAUACGGAUAUUAUCCGUAUCCGGAUAAUAUCCGCGGAUCCGGUUUUGAGUAGGCGGAUACGGAUACGGAUAUGGGCAAAUCCGUAUCCGUUUUAUCCGUUUGACACCCCUACUCUAAAGAAGCAGCAGCAACAAUCCAUGCUGAUGUCGAUGGCUGAUCACUGCUCAUCCAUAUAUAUCCCAUCAGGUUGGUGCUCGCCGCAUCCUUGCUCACUCAUCACCAUCAUUUCUCCACUUUUGCUUUACAAAAGCAGACACAGAUGUGCAUCCAAAUAUGCUGUAACUCUGAGUUUUGGUGCAUGUUUCUCAGUUUUUGGCACUUGCAUUAUCACCCCUAGGCCUAGCUGCAACAGUGUUCAACUAUAGCGUGCGUCACCCGAAUCAUAUUGUCUACCAUUAUGUUAUAAAAUCUUGGAUUUGUUAUCCCUGCGGAUAUAAUUGUACGGGUUUGUGCUGCGAUGUACUUUUCAUAUAUCUGCAUGAGCCCUUUACGUUAUGUUAUUUUUAAGUGCAUUGGUUGUACAUUAUUGGCCGUAUUUCCUCUUUGGUUUAUUGUCGUUGUCACUGGAUAUAUGAAGAUAUCUUCAUGUUGUUUCUCCACAAUUAUGUUCCCUUAUCUAUCAAACCCGUGGGUUGAGAAAACAUACGGCCAGGUUGAAAAUUAGAGACUGUUUAUUGGGGGUUUUAAGUCCGAUUUAAGGUUAUUUUCGACUGAAACGUGUAAAUAUUAGAGACUGAAUAUGAGUUGAGAAAAUUAGAGACUACUAAUAAAUAAGGUAAAUUUUGCUAAACCUAUACCGAUGUGCUGCAUGCUAUAUUUCAUUAAUAUUUCAAUUUGUCAUAGGUAAAAUAUACUCUCAGUCUCGAAUACAAACAAAUUUGUGUUGGGCACCGAGAUGAAGGCAAAGGUAACUUAAGAAAAAAAAAAUGUGAAAAAAGAAAAGUUAAUACAUUUUAUACACUUGCUCAUUAUUAUUUUUAUUGAGUGAAUAAUAAAAUAUUUUUAAACAAGUACCAAUUUUGUAUAAUGAUGAGACUGAUUGAUAUUUGAAAUAUAGAUAAAGUGAGUAUAUUGGAAUAAAAUAGUGAGAGUGAUUAAUUUUAUAUUACUAAAUUUUACUAUUUUGGUUAGUUUAGAAUCAUAAAGAAUUUGAAAGACAUCUAGAAAAGAAAGUGUAAAAAAUGGUGAGACAUAAAAAUAUAAUUUUAUUAUAAAUAAAUUAUGUGUAAUUUUUCUAUAAAUUUUCAAAAUUGCGAUAAAUAUAGACAAAAUUAUAGGAUUGGCUAAAUAUUUUAGUACGAGAAAUGCGUAGCGGAUAGGUAGAAUAUUUUUACAAAUGCGUAGGUGUCCAUAACGUUGAUUGUAAUAAACCCAAGGCACUAGCUAAUGACAUCAUGUUUUAGAACCUUAACCUCGGCCUGACCGGACAGGAUAGUGCGAUAUAUGUAAAGUUCUAUUACUCCCACUUUCGGUGUGUUCCACCAAAUUACUAGAGCAUUAGAAAACGUGCAUUCUCAGUCUCUCCAUUACGAUAAUUCGCCAUAUGAAUCACUAUGCUUGCUUAAUAAUGGACUGACUAAGUGGGUGUUUGGCAACAACUUUUAAGCUGGGCUUCUCGGUUUAUAAGUUAAAAGCACUUAUUCGUACUGUUUGUAUAAAAAGUCAAGAAGCACUUAUAAAAAGCUAGGAAUGCUAGCUUUUGUUUCAGGGUUUCUACUUAUUUCCCAAACACUUUAAUCACUUAUAAGUCUUAUCUUGCUUCUAACUUCUACUCCACUUAUUUUUUUUAAGCAAGAAGCACUUAUUUUAAACUCACCCAAACGGCCCCUAAGAAUCCUCUUGCUCUUCAUCUGCAGCUACAUAGAGUCGGCCAGUUGGCUUCUUCUUUUGGCGUUUCAUAACUAGGCCAUCCUUUACUUUCUUCCACGUACUUUGUCUCUAGCCAGCCGUAUCAAAACGUUAGUUCCAACUACUUCAUUAUUCAUUGGACAAGGUCACGUUGUCUUGUUUAGUAUUAUUGGGGUUUUAGCAUGUAAAAAACAGUUUGAUAUAUCUGAAAUCAAUUUUUCGGAAUAAUAAUUUUUACUUUUUAAGAAAAGUAGGUCCUUCUUUUUGAAAAAACUGCUUUUUAGAUUUUACGGAAUGUUGUUAUAGAUUUAACUAUUAAAUCUCAUAAAAAAAAUAUUAUUUUUUAUAUUAUAAUUUAAAAUAUAUGAAUAUUAAAAAAAUUACCAAAUAAUUUAUUUAUAAUAACACCACCCUUUUUUUAAUAAUAUUUUUUCCAACAGUCCCGAAGGGACUCUUAGCCACAGCCCCAAAGCCUCACGACAAAAUUAAUACAGCACAUGGCACUAACCUUUUUCUACUCGUAUAUGUUACCAGGGCCGGCUCAAGACAUUUUGGGGCCUUAGGCGAAAACAAAAAUGAGGCCUUAAUUUUUUAUAAAAUAAAUUUUAUUUAAUAAAAAUAUUGAUAUAUAUUUUAAACAUUACAAAAUAAAAUUACCUAGUAAAUACAAGUAUAUAUAAAAUUAUAAUCAAAUUAUUAUUUAAUAUAUGAUAUAACAUCAGGUCUUCUCCUCAUAAUAUUCUUUUUGGGACAGAAACCAUCUCAAAAUACCUUUUCUAUGAGCAGCCAAUAUAUUAUUUUUAUAUACAUAGCAUUAAAUAACUUUUAUACAUAUGUUGUACAUGUAAAUGUUAAUUUUAUCUAACAUCAUUACGUAAAAAUUGUAUUACUUGAUAUUAGUAUUUCUACUAUAAAAAUAUAAUAUGUAUGGUUUAGUAUGAAGAUACUUAUGAUUUUCAGUUGAAUAAAAUAUCUUUCGUAAAUAGAUAUUCUAAAUUUAAUAUUAAUAAUUGACAUGAUUUUAAUCUAUUCUUUAUUACUAAAUAAUUUAUUAUUAUUUGGAAAAUUUAAUGUACAAUAGUGUACUAGUAAAACUAAAAGUUAGAAAUUAAAUAAUUAUAAAAAAAGAGUUAGAAAUCAAAAGAAUAAAUAAAAAUAAAUUGAUAUAAUAAUAUAUAUAUUGUUCAAUAACUCAUUUUAUGAUAACUGUCGCCUCUUUUUUGACAACUAAAACUUGUAUUUAGAUUAACGAAAAAAUAAUCAUUGAUUGACAUUUAUUAGGUUAUAGAUAUAAGUAGAAAAAUUAUAGAUAGUAUUAUAUUUUUGGGGCCUCAAAAACUUGUAUUAAUUUUAUAUUUUUAAUUUUCUCCACACAUAUAGAUACCUGUAUAUAUAGAUAGUAUUAUAUUUUUGGGGCCUCAAAAAUUUGGGGGCCUUAGGCGGUCGCCUAAGUGGCCUAUAUGUAGAGCCGGCCCUGUAUGUUACAAUAACAGAAACUAUACUAACAAUAUUUGUCUGUUAUUAAUUUUGUAUCAACUAAAUGUAGCAUCCCCGAUCGACCUGUAACAGUUUAAACUUUAACCAACGAUAUUUACGGCAUUUAUAGAUUAGGAGUUGAUUUAUUGCGGUGUCGAAAUCGUGAAGAAUAAAAAAGCGAAAAUUGUCGUAAUAAAUGUCACCAUAUAAAAUUAUGCUGAGAUAUUCAAUAUUUCAAUUUAUGGUUACUAUGGAAAUAUUUGGAGGGUUUUGCUGUUGAUUCAUAUCAUGUCUACCUUAAUGAGAUUUUAUAUUAUCAAGCACUUCUCAUGCAGAUUUUAUCAAUGUAUAACUCUGAAAUCAAUCAUCAAUAUACUUAUAUAAAGAAGAAACGUGGAGCGUGUAGGUGGCGCCUCUCACAUCGCUCCGUUCUAUUUUUCUAAUUUUCUGGAAUUUUUGGAUUAAAAAUUUCAAAAAUUAGAACUACCUUUUUUAGUUUCAGGUAUAUUAGAAGUAAGUUUCAGAAUAUGAUUUUGUUUCAAAUUAUUUAUGGAAUAUAGUAGCUUGAAAGUUUUAAUCUGAUUUUAUUUCAGAUUAUUUAAUUUGGGAAAGAGCAGCACACAUUGUUUCAAAUU
rnacentral:lncRNA from 1 species